rnacentral:lncRNA from 1 species
GAAGCAAGCAUUCGAUUAUUCUAAGUAUAAAUGUGUGAUCCAGCAAGAAUCCAUUAUUGCAAGCUCGGGCUUAACAGCAAGAGCGCCCGAUUCCUUAUACACACACACACACAUACAACCAGGUGUCUGUCUAGGGCUGGAAAAUUAGCUCGAGGCUCGCGAGCCGGCUCGAGCUCGGAGCGGCUCGCGAGCCUCGAACGAGCCGAGCCGAGCCUCUUAUUCGAGCUCGUUUUUGUAGCGAGCCGAGCCGAGCCAGCUCGCGAGCCUUGCAAAAAUGAUCAAUUUAUGGAAUAAUAAUGAAUAUUAGAUAAUUUUAUGGAUAAUACCUCAUUUUUUAGUCUUUGAUGAUGAAUAUAUAAUGUUAAUUCACCAAAUAAUGCAACGAUAAGUACCAGAAUAUGGCUCGCGAGCCGAGCCGAGCCGGCUCGCGAGCCAAGGUCGAGCCGAGCCGAGCCUCCUUCGCCAGCUCGUAAAAUGGAUGAGCCGAGCCGAGCCGAGCCGAGCUCGGCUCGGCUCGUUUCCAGUCUGUCUACACGGUGAGUUCCGUCCUGGAGACAAGAAUGCCAUCAGGGUCGGCGUAGAGCCACUCGCCGUCGCAAAUCCUGGUUCCAGCGAUGUUGACGGGGACGUGCUUCUCGCCCAUCCCCUUCUUGUUGGCCUUCAUAGGGUGCGAGCUGAGAGCCCGGACACCGAUGUCGCAGCCGUUGAUCUCAAUUCUCAUCCACGUCCUUGAUGCAGCCGUUGACCAGGAUACCAGCCCACCCGUUGUUCUACGCAUGCUGGACGGGGUUGUCGCCAAGAAUGGCGCAGCGCAUGCUGCCGCCACCGUCAACCACGAGGACCCUACCGUGGCCUUUCUCCUCGAGGAACUCGCGGACCAGGACGUUGUCCUCCUAGACCUUGAGCGUGACAAUGGGGCCGGCGAAGACCUGGCACCGUCCGUAGAUCUGGAAGAUGGGCUGGAGCGCGCGGAGCUCGCCGUUCAUGAUCAGGUGAGGGUUAGCGUCGCAUACUUCGGCGGUGGCCAGUGGCAGGGCAGCCAUAUCUUCUUUUUUUUUCUUUUUUUACUUCUCACUCCUGCUGCUGUCAUGAGAAGACAGGGAAAUCAGAGACUGGACACCAGGAGAUUGAUUCCCCGUCACUCAGUCAGCGGUGUGCAUUCGAUUCUUGGCCCAGAGGAACAUGUGAUUGUGGUGCAGUCACCGGCGCAAUACGGGCUAGCACUUACUUAUGCAUCUACCUACCUACCUUUCCUUUCCUUUCGCGCUCUGGGUCGUGAUUUCGUUGUUGUCUAUCUAUGAAUAUGACUGGAGUGUAUAGGGAAGGGGAUAGAAAUUGCUACCUUGGAUCUGAUUAGACAAUAAUAAUACAGUAUAAGACCAAAGGACAAGGAUAUCGAUAGGAAGGAUGACUCACCAGCACAAGCACAAACGGAUCGGAUCAGAUCUCCGGCGGCGGCGAGGGGAGGGGAGCGGCGCCAAUGGAGUGCGGGUGGAGGGGACGGGAUUUGGGAACGGACAGGAGGGGAAGUGGCCAGUGGGUGGGGUCAAGACAGGCGGCAGACCUAGGCAGCUGGGACUGGGACUGGGAGGACUGGCCGCCUGGGAGGCUGGGACUGCCGGACUGGCCGGCUCACGGCUGCUGGUGCGCCGUGCGCGUGUGCGCGUGUGCGCGCUGCCGCGGGCCCGCGGUGCGCGUGAGUUCGUGACUGCGGCGGUGCAGCCGCCUGCCGCCUGGAGUGAGGACGCCACCCGAUGCUGGGAAGAUUGGCCGUCUGGGACUCUGGGAGUACGCCGCCGGCCGCCUGGGAAGACUUGAAGCGCGUGGGAGUGGGAGGCUGGGAGCUAGGGUUGCGAGUUGCGACAUCAGGCCAUCAGGGAUAUCAACUGGGCGUGGCCCGUGGGCUGUGCCGCUGUUGGACUGGCGGUUCGUGCAGAAGCGUAGGAUCACUGCCUCUGGCGACCAAGAACGCACCAGAACGGAAACACAUCUCUAACGAACAAGAACGCACACAUGUCACGGCAAUGUCCGUCCAACUGACGAGAAAGAAAAACUUGAGUUCCUGGUAAAGGCAGCUUACCCUGACGCGGUUGCCGGCACCCAAUUUCUCGAGUUUGCGCACGAACUGUUCGAAGGAGUAGUAGGGGAUCAGGCGGGAGUGCCAGUCCGCGUAGAGCUUGAUGAGGUUGGCGAGGUCGUCCACCUCGUGGCCUGGGCGGGGGCGGGGCUUGAACGCCUUGGGAAAGUAGCGGAGCACGAAGCCGAUGCCGCCGUCGGAGAGGAGCAGGUCCGGCGUGAGCUUUGGGCGCGUCGUAAGACCUAAAUGCUUGGUUUCUAUUUGGGGUGGCACAUUUUAUAGAAAAUAAUUCUCCUAUAGGUUUAGUUUCUAUUUAACUAAGCAUGUGCACAACUAUACUUAAAAUAAUUAAUUGUCAAAUAACAUCUAAAUUGAUCUAUACAUCAUGUUGGACUUUAUUUGAUUGUGCACCUAUAAAUAAUAAAAAUAAUAAUAUCAGUGACAAUAUAUUAGUAUCCAAUUUAGGAUUUACUACCUAAUUUACAACUUGGAAAAUUUGAAAUGGCAUAGAAGGAGAAAAGAAGGAAAAAACACUAUACAAGAUAAAACAAAAUAUAUAGAUAAAUAAAAUACUACCAUACUAGUAUGUUUAUUUUGUACAUUUAAUUUAAGUACAAAUUCACAUCCAUAGUUGAAUUCAAAUUGUGAAUUUAAAAUAAAAGGAAAAAUGAAAAUCAUAAAAAGAAAAAGAAAGAGAAACAAAAGAAAAAGAAGAAGUAAGCUUAGCUGGGCCUCAACCCUGAAUUCAGCCUGUCACCUCUUUCUCCCUCGCGCGCGGCGGCCCAAACCCUAGAAUGGGUGCCGACCGGUGUGCCCGGCUUGUCUGCCUCUGCGCGCCUCCACCUCUGCACUACUGGGCCCACAAGUCAGCGGUUGCAUUCGUGUCCGCGUGCGCGCAGGUAUCACCUUUUGUCUCUGACAGGCGGGACCCGCGCUCCAGCGUCUCAGCCGUUCACCAGUCGUCGUCCUCGCGCUAACCACUUCCGUGCGGGUCAUCUUCGUCAGCUCCUCCGUCUUUCUCGUCGUGCUGUAACAGUCACCGUCGAAAUCGCCGGGACGUGCAGCUCGUGCGAACGACUCAACCAUCCCGUCCACGCGUCUAUAUGAAGAAUGUGCUUCCCAGCCGCGCUCACAAUAACCCAGACCACCGAGAGCCUCACCGCAUUUUGGAGGAUUCGACACGGCGCCGCACGCCGUGGAGUUACCUCGGUGUCGCCGCUCCGUGCUCGUAGAGCGGAACCUGGAACCCUCCCAAGCCGUCUGGUGGGUGCUCUCGGCUCUCCCUCAACUCAAUUCCUCCCUGUGCGUCGUGAAUUGUUACCGGUGUGGGCGGAAUUCCACGAAGUCGUACCUCAUCGCGACUCGUCGGCCGCACUACUCAAAACUCUGGUACGAUGUCACCACAUCUUCCGCUUGUUUGUCUUGUAUGUAUAAUUCCUAGAAUGGGGGUCGAUGGUUGUUCUAACCGGGUGGAAUCCCUCACUGGAAUUUGAAAUCGCGGGGGGGGUGGUACGCGGGUCACGUGGCUAGGAUUGUGAGUACUCCCAUUUCAUGUAGGACUGCCCGGAGCAUGUGCAGAUGAGUGUCAGCAACAUAAAACCUCGGUAGAACUUAGGUUCAGAGAGCCAGCAUCGCAGGUCCCCAUCUCCGGUGGGUGCUCCGCCGCGGGAGCGAGUCGGCCGCCACCCGUCAUUUGGGCGUGUAGGAAGACGAUGUAUCGUCCGUAGAUCGGGGAACCGACGACUAUGAUCGGUCGCACAGAUCGUUUGGGAAUGAUUAAAUCCGAGCCGUGGGUAGCGAAUCGGAGGGUCAUAGGCGCGUACCCCUUCGCAUCGAACUCAACCUAAUCUGAUCCGUGGAUGUUAGAUCUAAUGGUUGAAAAGAGGUAUACAUUAUAUGCUGCACGAUCUAAUCAUGCGCGUCGGUUUGUGAUCGGACGGAUCUGGUUUAUCCAUACCCUUUUCGGCCGAGUAAAUAUGCAUAAGAGACCCUGGGUUAUCACUGAAUCAACCUGCAGCCCAGUUUAACUGUGCGCUGAGUCUUAGGAAAACUUGCGAGUUGGCCCUGGCUUCUCUGGAAAUUGAGGCACAGUCCAGACAGUGAGAAAAACCUAUAAAAUCAUUUAGAAAAUGAUUUUUAAUAUGAAAACAAUUUCAGAACUUGUAAAAUUCAUAUAAAAUUCAUUUUAAUUCCUUUUUAGCCCAUUCCAGUUUCUGUAAUUUUGUAAUAAUAUUGUCCAUCACAUAGUGUCUCUCGUUUGACAUGAAAACUAUAUUAAAACUAACCUCUUAAUUAAUCUUGUAUCGAAUACAUAAAACCUUUGAAAAUUCAUAACUUCUCCAUUUUAACUUCGAAUUGACCUGUUCCAGUUGCGUUAGCUUCAUAUGAAUAUUUACUAUGCAAUAACAACAUUUAUUGUACCAUGUCUCAUUCUUUUAUAAUUAGAACUUCAUUUAACUUAUGUUGGUUAGUCUUGUUAAUCUUCUUAUCAUUAUAAUCUACUAAAAUAUGAUCUAUGGUCAAUUUAUAAUUUAGAUUAAAGUUGAAUUAAUUACUACUUUAGGUUAUCUUUUCUUUGGAAUUAUAAAACAAACAUAGAACCUAGUUUUUAAUCAUUUAAUCACAUCAUAACUUGAUGACCGUAACUCCGAUUUUAGUGGUUCUCGAACCCACGAUCUCGUAGCGACGCGUAGAUCAUUAUUAUGCAGUUUGUUUUUAUGUUUGGUGUGAUGUUAAUUUUUUUCUAUACACUGUUUGUUUGUAUUGCUACGACUAGCAUGAGGUUACGAGAAUCCGAGGAUCAUCCUGGUACCUAGAAUCUCAAGUCCAGGCAAGUUGUGCCCAUGACCACUUUUUACCCAAUAAUGUUCUUUAUUAUUACUUAUCAAUGCAUAGGUUUAAUUUUGAUGGGACCCAAUAUGUCACCCUAGACUGGUUAUCCUUUUUACCUUGUUUAUCCCUGAAUCAUUUGGGUAGUUAUGAUAUUGCUUUAUAUGGUUUUGGGUUAAAUAUUACAUUAUGUACAUGUUCCAAUUAUUCUGUUAUUUUAUUUAUGUUCAUGUCAAGAUCAUUAUCUUUAAUUGGAACAUGGAGCUUAACUUGAGAAACAUGUGUGUAACAUCCCAAAAUCCUAACCUAGGUUUGAAACCCUAAACUACUCCUCUCCCCUUUUUCAUCCUCUAAUUCCAAGAACUCCCUUAGAUUUUCUUUCAUCAUAUGCAUACACUUUGUUUGAUCACAAGCACCUCACUUAGAUUUUAUUUUUCAGCACCUAAGAUUAUCUAUUAAAAUUAAUUGUUCAAAGAAAAAGAUAUAAAAAUGGAUAAAGGAAUUAGAAAAUAAAAAGAAAAAGAGAAACCCUCUCCCCUAGCUGGGCUGAAUCCAGCCCAUGCCGCGGCCGCUUCCCCCCCUCGCGCCCGCGACUCCCUCCCCUCGGCCCAUUUCCGGCUUGCUCCCGCGCGCGCGCCAGCCCGCCCUGCGCUCUCUCUCUCUCCCUCGCUGACGAACCGACCCCACCCGCCAGCCGCCCUCUCUCUCGCACGCUCACUCCCACUGGCAGACCGGCCCAGUUGUCAGCCACUUCGUCGUCCUUCUUCCCCCUCCCCGCGUACGGCCCAUCACGGUCACCUCCGGCCAUCGCCUCUGUCCCCUCCUCCGUCUUCUCGCCGCACAAGGAAGUUGGGCACCGCCCCGUCCUCGCCGCAGCGGCCGCGUCCUUGCACGGCACCACCACCGUGUGGUCUCGUCAUCGCCGCUGUGCGGCAUUCACUCCGGUACGGUGCGCCUCACCGGCACCGCGGAGCUCCGCCGCUCCCCUUCCCUCGGGCGCCUAUAAAAGGGCCGCCCCGAGCUCCUCCUUCCCCGCACCGGCCUCAGCCACCCCUCUCCUCCCUCGUCUGAGCUCAAUUCGUGGAAGAACCGCCAUCGUCUUCCUCCCCGGUGAGCCCUUCCCUCUCUUCUCCCUGCCCCUCUGUUGGUCCAUCAAGCGAUUGCUUAAGCCUCCUAGCUUCGCCACACCGCCACGAACGCAGUACACCACUCACCCACCCCGAUUCCUCGCCCAAAGCUCACCGACGGCAACCCCGCCGUGGAGCUCCGCCACCUCCCCGCGGACAACCCCCCUCCCUGCCCCCUCUAGCCAAAUUGAGCCCACCCCCAGGUCCACCAGACCCUCACCAAGCUAGGGCAACCGCCCGUUGCCCGAGAACCGGGCCACCGGCGGCAAACCGCCGUCGAGCCCACCGCCGAUCGGUUUUCCUCCCCUCAAACGGCCGGUUCGCCCCACGCCGUCGACCGUUGGCGCCGUCUUCCCCUCCCGCUCUCUCUGUGCGUGGGCCCCGCGGCGACGACGUUUUCCCCUGCGCCCGCGUUGUCUCCCCGCCUUGGGCCGCUAAUGGGCCAGCGCCCUCGCGCCCGCGCGCCCCCCUGCGUCGGUUGGGCCAGAUUCCCCCUCCCCGGCCCACCAGCACCAAACUCCUUUUCCUUUUUCUUUUUUCAGCCCUUUUUCCUCUAAUUAGUUUUUCUCAAUAUUUUAUGUACCAAAAAUCAUCAAAACACUUUCUAGAGUCACAUGUAAUAAUAAUGACACACUAUGAUGGUGAAACCACUGAUUGAUGUAUUUUUUUAUUGACUGUUUUCACUAGAAGAAGCGGGGACCGAGGGCCCGGAACCCGUAGCCCCGGAAGAAGGGCCGGAGCCCGAUCUCCCGGAAAUAGAUCUUUUGUGCCAGGAAAGCUUCGACGAAGGCAAGUUCAUCCUUCCCUUGAUGCAUAAAUUACCUAUUCUCUCUACCACUGCCUAGGCCGGGAAUUCAGGGGGAAUAUUGCAUUGUGAGUGAGAGAUGGCCCGCAUUAACAUAUACAUUCUGGAUACGAAAUAUGGAUUGAGAAGAAGGGAAAUGUGUUUCUUCAAAUAAAAUCUCUUUUUGAAAAGUUAUGUGAUGAAGGGUACUCACCCUCAUCACCUUGGGAGUGGGAUGAUCAGGGACUCCCUGGUUUAGGGGAGGGCCUAAGGUGUUGGCUCAGCUGGUUUAGGCAUGAGCAGAAGGAUUGUCCCCUCAUAUAAGGACCGGCUUGUCAUUUUCACUACCUGUACUCCUUUGUCGUACAACCACUUGAGACUGUGUGGGCAGUCACUCAAUCCGAACUCGUGCGGUCCAACCCCAGGGUUAAGAAGGCUGGGGAGCACCAGGAGGAUAAGGAGGGGGAAAGUUUUGUCCGGUUUGGACAUGGUGGUGGCCUGACUCCUUCCGGAUAACCGUUAAGGUUAGGACGUACGAGGAAGGAAAGAGAUCCGGCAUUCGGGUCUCGCGACGGUGAGAUCGCAGAAACCAGGCUAGUGGGUAAAGUGUACCCCUCUACGCAGAGUCGAAAACCUAUUCGAAUAGUCCGUGUCCACUGGUAUGGACGGGUCUGGUAUGGCAUGGCAAUUAGAGAUUUUUCUAUGAGUUUCAUGAAAAGGGAAAUGUGUGAUUAAAUGGGUGUUAAGAAAGAAACUAAGGCCACGGGAGCGGGAAGCUCAGUGGUGGUUGAGUUUUGGUUACUUUUAAGACUAUGGGAAAAACCUUACAGCAAGUGCCUUUCUCUAAGAAAAUGAUGAGUGACUUCAACUACACCAAAUAAAGCAUGUAUAUUAUAGGUCUCUUCCUCUCUACGGGAGCGGGGUGGGCUUGCAGAAUACCUAGUGUAUUCACCCAGAUUUAUUUAUGUUUUUCAGCAGCCGAAGACUUCUUUUCUGCUAUGCUUGAUUGAGAGGGCUGUGUCUGCACCCAGUUCUGCCUGUGGCUUGGGCUAGUAUUUCUUUUCCUACUGCGCUUCCUAUUUUGGCUCUCUCGAGCUUGUACCUCGGUAUUGUAAUAACAAUUAUCUAAACUCUGUACUAUUUGAAGUAAGGAAUGUGUUUACUAGCCUCCUGGGACUAGUAAUUGUGUCACAUUUGAGUCCCAAAGGAUCGGGACGUUUCAGGUGGUAUCAAAGCCAUAGGACUGGCCGUAGGUCGCAGCCCUGACCCUAAAACUUGCCCUAAAAAGAAAAUACCUCUUACCCCAAGAAAAGUUUUCUCUCCUCUUCCCCGAUUUUAACAAGACCCUUCUUUUCCUAUUCCAGAUGGAAGACUCUCUGGCCAUUAGGACAUCCUACUGCUCAGAGGUGGAAGGGUUCCCACACCUGUUGCGAAGCUGUGCGCUUCGCAUGGGAAUUCGCAAGAAGCCGGAAUACGUCUGGACGGAGUAUAUUGAGGGCGGAAUGGAAAAAUGCUCUAUGGCAGUCUACCUGGGGGAAAGCCGAAACUAUCCAAACCAUCCUUCCUUCCAAGUCACUUUUACCGGAUACCGCUUUCCAGAUACUUGCCAGAAUGUUGCCCGAACAGCCCUCCGGCAACUAUGCCAGAAUUACAAUAAAGUGAUCUUUGAAACCCCCCUUCGCUACUUUCCACCCAGCAACAAGAAUACCCCCACCUGGAGGAAAAGACUUCAGGCCCUGUCAGGAGGAGAUCCUAUUGAGGAUGAUCCCACCAUCGUCUACAUGGCUAGAUACCUUCACACCCUUGAUAACCAAUAUGAUGACCUCACCCUCCACUGCACCUACCUAACCUCCCGGGUGGAAAGCCUGGAGCAAAAAGUCAGGGAACUUUCAGGGGAAAAGGCGUCCCUUCAAGAGAGCCUCUCAAUAGCUGAAGGCGAGGAAACCAAUACCCGUGAGGCUUACCGCACCCUGAAGAUGGACUAUGACAAGAAACUGAAGAAGCUCGCCCCCGCAAGAAAAAUCCGGAAGAAGACCAAAAGUCAAGGAUGUCAGACUGAGCAGGAGGAAGAAAACUCUCCAACCCUACCCCCUCCCGGGUUAAGGAACUCGUCCGACACCGAGGAGAUGUCCCUGGCCAGCCUUGAUGACCUUCUCAAGGAAUUUGGGGACACUUUAGAGAAGGAGUUCGGGAGUACCCUAGAUAGCACUCGUGGGUGAUGACCUUAUGGUAGCAGUGUGAUGUAUUAUGUAAUGGCUUGAUGUAAUGAAUAAAAUAACUAGUUAAAAAAUGGCAUGUGCAUGAUAGUGACUCUCUUCCCAUGGCAGAUGGCUUCGGAUAAAACCACGCCUACCGCCUUCGGGAUUGGAGCAAGAUUCCCUCUAAGAGCUGAAGGAGAGGCUGGCGGAGAAGGGGGUGAGACCCACCUCCCCGCACCUCCGGAACUACCACUAGACCUAGCCCAAGUUCUAGCCAAUCAAACCCGACUCAUUGAAGUCCUCACUAGAAGUCUGGAAAACCAGCGCCCAGGUGGUGGAAGGCCACAGGACAGGAUGGGAGAAUUUUUGAGACUCAAGCCUCCCACGUUCGCGGGAUCCAGCAAUCCCCUCGAUGCAGAUGACUGGCUUCGCACGAUCAAAAGGAAGCUGGAAGCCAUCGGAUGCCCCGAAAAUCAGCGUGUCCAACUGGCAGCUCAUUAGCUUUCAGGAAUGGCUUUAGCAUGGUGGGACACUUUCAGUGAGGCCGUCAGAGAUGCUACCUGGGCAGAAUUCGAAACAGCCUUCCGUGAGCACCAUGUACCCCAGGGGAUAGUUCAACUCAAGGAGGAUGAAUUCCGGGAGCUAACUCAAGGCGGGAGGACAGUCAGUGAGUAUGUGCACAAGUUCACAGAGCUGGCCCGUUACGCGCCUGAGGAUGUCAGCACCGAGUCCAGAAAGAUGGCCCGUUUUCUGAAAGGACUAAGACCCGAGCUUAAGACCAUCCUCGCCAGCCAAGACUUCCUCAGCUUCUCUCACCUCUCCAACAAGGCUAUCCAAGUGGAAAGGGCAAAAGAGGAAGAAAAAGGGCACCUCAAGAGAAAAUUCCAAGUCCUCCGAGCUCAACAGCAAGAACGUCACCAGAGAGCUCGACCCUUUGGACUCCCACCCAGGGGUCCAAGCUUCAAUAAACCAUCUGGACCCACUCCGUCGCGCUACAGUCAGCAGAGUCAGAGCUCCCUUCAGGCACCCUCCGUUGUAAGCAACCAACCGCCAGCAAAUGCCUGUUGGCACUGCUGGGACCCCAGUCACUUUAAGAAUAACUGCCCUCAGUUAAAGGCACCCGGACCGACCUACUCCAACUUGGUGAAUGGCCCCAAGAUUCUCUCAGCACCUACCUCCAAGGCACCUCCUUCCAACAGCCAGCAGAGCAGGACUCAGUACCAGGGCAGAGCCCGAGUCAACCACGUCGACGCUCAAGAAGCCCAGCAAGCCCCGAGAGUAGUGCUCGGUGAGUUCCUUGUUGAAUUUACUCCAGCUACUGUGCUUUUUGAUUUGGGAGCAUCCCAUUCUUUUAUAGCCGCUAAGUUUGUGGAAAAACAUGGCAUCCCCUCUACACCCCUAGCUGUCCCUUUGGUCACCCGAACCCCGGGAUCAGACCUCCUGUGCAAACUCAGGUGCUCCCAAGUCAGAAUUCUUUUAAGUGGGGUAGUGUUCCUGGCAGACUUAACUAUCUUGCCAUCCCAAGGGAUUGAUGUGAUCCUAGGAAUGGAUUGGCUAGCUAAGCACAAAGGUAUCAUCAGCUGCGCAAGCAAGACUGUUCUUCUCACAGAUCACCAAGGAAAGGCAGUUUCCUGUCAAGCCCAGCCGCCCGCAAAUGAUCCGAUGAUGUUUAAUCUGGUAGCAGAAAACAUGUCUGUAAUCAAAGAGUUUGAAGAUGUAUUUCCAAAAGAGUUGCCCGGGAUGCCACCAGAAAGAGGAGUGGAGUUCUAUAUAGAUCUCAUUCCUGGCACUGCGCCCAUCACAAAGAGACCAUACCGCAUGGCUCCCACAGAGUUGGCGGAAUUGAAACUUCAGAUUUCAGAACUGCAGCAAAAAUGGUACAUCUGUCCUAGUUCGUCCCCCUGGGGAGCACCCGUCCUCUUUGUUACUAAAAAGGAUGGGAGUAUGAGAAUGUGUAUUGAUUAUCGGUCCUUGAAUGAAGUUACAAUCAAGAAUAAGUACUGAGAGCACCUAGAGGGGGGUGAAUAGGUGAUCCUGUGAAACUUGAAAACUUAAGCCACAAAAACUUGGUUAAUCGUUAGCACAAUAAUUGCCAAGUGGCUAGAGAGGAGUCAAAACACAAUAACCACAAGAAAUCAAACACAGAGAUGGCACGGUGGUUAUCCCGUGGUUCGGCCAAGUACAAAACUUGCCUACUCCACGUUGUGGCGUCCCAACGGACGAGAGUUGCACUCAACUCCUCUCAAGUGAUCCAAUGAUCAACUUGAAUACCACGGUGUUCUUCUUUACUUUGAUCUUUUCCCGUUUGCGAGGAAUCUCCACAACUUGGAGUCUCUCGCCCUUACAAUUGAAUUUCACAAAGAAGUACGGAGUAAGGGAGGGAAGCAACACACACAAAUCCACAACAAAAUGCGCACACACACGGCCAAGAAUCGAGCUCAAAAGACUAUCUCAAAGUUCUCACUAGAACAGAGCUCGAAUCACUGAGAAUGACAAAGGAAUGCGCAAAGACUGAGUGUGGAUGAUCAAGAAUGCUCUAAGGUUGCUUGGUGUUCUCCUCCAUGCGCCUAGGGGUCCCUUUUAUAGCCCCAAGGCAGCUAGGAGCCGUUGAGAGCAAAUCUGGAAGGCCAUUCUUGCCUUCUGUCGUCGGGUGCACCGGACAGUCCGGUGCACACCGGACACUGUCCGGUGCCCGAUUUCCUUCCUUAAACAGCGCAGCCGACCGUUGCAGAUCUGGGAGCCGUUGGCGCACCGGACAUGUCCGGUGCACACCGGACAGUCCGGUGCCCCCUUCCGACCAUUGGCUCGGCCACGUGUCCCGCGCAGAUCGCGCGGCCGACCGUUGGCCCGGCCGACCGUUAGCUCACCGGACAGUCCGGUGCACACCGGACAGUCCGGUGAAUUUUAGUCGUACGCCGUCGGCGAAUUCCCGAGAGCGGCUUCUUCGCCCGAGGCAUCCUGGCGCACCGGACACUGUCCGGUGCACCACCGGACAGUCCGGUGCCCCAGACCGAAACAACCUUUUGGCUGUACACAACCAACUCUUCUCUGACUCGUUUUCUCCUGUUUUCUAACACUUAGACAAAUACAUUAGUACACAAAACCAAUGUACUAAAGCUUAGAAACAUACCUUUACUCAUGAUUUGCACUUUGUUCAUCCAUGGGCAUAAACUCACAUUUAAGCACUUGUGUUGGCACUCAAUCACCAAAAUACUUAGAAAUGGCCCAAGGGCACAUUUCCCUUUCAAUCUCCCCCUUUUUGGUGAUUUAUGCCAACACAACAUAAAGCAACUAGAACAAGUGCAAUAUCACUUCAAAUAAAACUAAAUUUGAGUUUUAAUCAAUUUUGGCAUAUAUGGAUCAUCCUUUGCCACCACUUGGUUUGUUUUUGCAAAUCAAACUCAAAUCUCUAUCUCUAAGUCAAACACACAUGUUGAAGCAUAAAUAGAGUCAUUCCAAAAGAGAUUGAUCAAAGAUUUCAAAACCUCCCCCUUUUUCCCAUAAUCACUACUUCUCCCCACAAGAAGCCAACUUUUGACAAACCAAAAGCUCUACUCUACUAUUUUCAAAUCUCUCAAGUGGUAGCUGAUCCAUUUAUUGCUUUGGCCUUUAUUUUCUCCCCCUUUGGCAUCAAGCACCAAAACAGGAUCAAUCUUGGCCCUUUAACCCCAUUGCCUCACCAAAAUCUUCAAUAAGAAUACAAAGGCAAUAAGAGUUCAUGAGAUGGACUUGGAAUGAGUUACCCUCUCAUCGGAGUGCAGUGGAAGUCUUUCAUGGUCCAAGUCCACCUUUUCCCUUUCAAUUCUCCUUCGAGACUAAAACAAGCAAACUCAAGCAUAUGGUUAGUCUCAAAGGGUCAAGUUGUAACACAUCUCCCCCUAAACAUGUGCAUCACUUUGCAACGGACUUGUGAGGUCCAGGGAAUGUUUGUACAACUUGAGCACCACAAUAAGCAACAAAAUGCAGAAUGAACAUGAUCAAAGGCAUAAACACAUGUAUGCUACAGUUCAAUCCAAGUUCCGCGAAUCUAAGACAUUUAGCUCACUACGCAACCUGCAAAAGGUCUUCUCAUCUAGAGGCUUGGUAAAGAUAUCGGCUAGCUGGUUCUCGGUGCUAACAUGAAACAUUUUGAUAUCCCCCUUUUGCUGGUGGUCUCUCAGAAAGUGAUACCGGAUGUCUAUGUGCUUUGUGCGGCUGUGCUCAACAGGAUUUUCCGCCAUGCGGAUAGCACUCUCAUUAUCACAUAGGAGUGGGACUUUGCUCAGAUUGUAGCCAAAGUCCCUAAGGGUUUGCCUCAUCCAAAGUAGUUGCGCGCAACACUGUCCUGCGGCAACAUACUCGGCCUCAGCGGUGGAUAGGGCAACGGAGGUUUGUUUCUUAGAGUUCCAUGACACCAGGGACCUUCCUAAGAAUUGGCACGUCCCCGAUGUACUCUUCCUAUCGACCUUACAUCCAGCAUAGUCGGAAUCUGAAUAUCCAAUUAAGUCAAAGGUAGACCCCUUUGGAUACCAGAGCCCGAAGCAAGGCGUAGCAACUAAAUAUCUAAGGAUUCGCUUCACUGCCAAUAGGUGACACUCCUUAGGAUCGGAUUGAAAUCUAGCACACAUGCAUACGCUAAGCAUAAUAUCCGGUCUACUAGCACAUAAGUAAAGUAAUGACCCUAUCAUUGACCGGUAUGCUUUUUGAUCAACGGACUUACCUCCUUUGUUGAGGUCGGUGUGUCCGUCGGUUCCCAUCGGAGUCUUUGCGGGCUUGGCGUCCUUCAUCCCGAACCGCUUUAGCAAGUCUUGCGUGUACUUCGUUUGGGAGAUGAAGGUGCCGUCCUUGAGUUGCUUCACUUGGAACCCAAGGAAGUAGUUCAACUCGCCCAUCAUUGACAUCUCGAAUUUCUGCGUCAUCACCCUGCUAAACUCUUCACAAGACUUUUUAUUAGUAGAACCAAAUAUUAUGUCAUCGACAUAAAUUUGGCACACAAACAAAUCACCAUCACAUGUCUUAGUGAAAAGAGUUGGAUCGGCUUUCCCAACCUUGAAAGCAUUAGCAAUUAAGAAAUCUCUAAGGCAUUCAUACCAUGCUCUUGGGGCUUGCUUAAGUCCAUAGAGCGCCUUAGAGAGCUUACACACGUGGUCGGGGUACCGUUCAUCCUCGAAGCCAGGGGGUUGCUCCACGUACACCUCCUCCUUUAUUGGCCCGUUGAGGAAAGCGCUCUUCACAUCCAUUUGGAACAACCUGAAAGAAUGGUGAGCGGCAUAUGCUAGCAAGAUACGAAUGGACUCUAGCCUAGCCACAGGAGCAAACGUCUCCUCAAAGUCCAAACCUGCGACUUGGGCAUAACCUUUUGCCACAAGUCGAGCCUUGUUCCUUGUCACCACUCCGUGCUCGUCUUGUUUGUUGCAGAACACCCACUUGGUUCCCACAACAUUUUGCUUAGGACGAGGCACCAGCAUCCAAACUUCAUUCCUCUUGAAGUUGUUGAGCUCCUCUUGCAUGGCCAACACCCAGUCCGGAUCUAGCAAGGCCUCUUCUACCCUGAAAGGCUCAAUAGAAGAGACAAAAGAGUAAUGUUCACAAAAAUUAACUAAUCGAGACCGAGUAGUUACUCCCUUGCUAAUGUCACCCAGAAUUUGGUCGACGGGAUGAUCCCUUUGAAUCAUCGCUCGAACUUGGGUUGGAGGUGCCGGUUGCGCUUCUUCCUCCAUCACGUGAUCAUCUUGUGCUCCCCUUUGAUCACACGCCUCCUGUUGAUGAACCUGUUCAUCGUCUUGAGUUGGGGGAUGCACCAUAGUUGAGGAAGAAGGUUGAUCUUGUUCAUCUUGUUCCUGUGGCCGAACUUCUCCAAUUGCCAUGGUUCGUAUAGCGGCCGUCGGAAUAUCUUCUUCAUCUAUAUCAUCACAAUCAACAACUUGCUCUCUUGGAGAGCCAUUAGUCUCAUCAAAUACAACGUCGCUAGAGACCUCAACCAAACCCGAUGAUUUGUUGAAGACUCUAUACGCCUUUGUAUUUGAGUCAUAACCUAACAAAAACCCUUCUACAGCUUUGGGAGCAAACUUAGAAUUUCUACCCUUCUUCACUAGAAUGUAGCACUUGCUCCCAAAUACACGAAAGUAAGAUACAUUGGGUUUGUUACCGGUUAGAAGCUCAUACGACGUCUUCUUGAGGAGGCGGUGAAGGUAGACCCUGUUGAUGGCGUGGCAAGCCGUGUUCACAGCUUCCGACCAAAACCGCUCGGGGGUCUUGAAUUCUCCAAGCAUCGUCCUCGCCAUAUCGAUUAGCGUCCUGUUCUUUCUCUCUACCACACCAUUUUGCUGAGGUGUGUAGGGAGCGGAGAACUCGUGCUUGAUCCCUUCCUCCUCAAGGAACUCCUCCACUUGAAGGUUCUUGAACUCAGACCCAUUGUCGCUCCUUAUCUUCUUCACCUUGAGCUCAAACUCAUUUUGAGCUCUCCUGAGGAAGCGCUUGAGGGUCCCUUGGGUUUCAGACUUAUCCUGCAAAAAGAACACCCAAGUGAAGCGGGAAAAGUCAUCAACAAUAACUAAACCAUACUUACUUCCUCCUAUGCUUAGAUAGGCGACGGGUCCGAAGAGAUCCAUAUGUAGCAGCUCCAGGGGUCUUGAGGUGGUCAUCACAUUCUUGCUGUGAUGUGCUCCUCCCACUUGUUUACCUGCUUGACAAGCUGCACAAGGUCUAUCCUUUUCGAAUUGCACGUUAGUCAAACCUAUCACGUGUUCUCCCUUUAGAAGCUUGUGAAGGUUCUUCAUCCCCACAUGUGCUAAGCGGCGAUGCCACAGCCAGCCCAUGCUAGUCUUAGCUAUUAAGCAUGCAUCUAGACCGGCCUCUUCUUUUGCAAAAUCAACUAAAUAGAGUUUGCCGUCUAAUACACCCUUAAAAGCUAGUGAACCAUCACUUCUUCUAAAGACAGACACAUCUACAUUUGUAAAUAGACAGUUAUAUCCCAUAUUGCAUAAUUGACUAACAGAUAGUAAAUUAUAUCCUAGAGACUCAACUAAAAACACAUUAGAAAUUGAGUGCUCAUUUGAGAUUGCAAUUUUACCUAACCCUUUUACCUUGCCUUGAUUCCCAUCACCGAAAAUAAUUGAAUCUUGGGAAUCCUUAUUCUUGACGUAGGAGGUGAACAUCUUCUUCUCCCCCGUCAUAUGGUUUGUGCAUCCGCUGUCAAUAAUCCAGCUUGAACCCCCGGAUGCAUAAACCUGCAAGGCAAAUUUAGGCUUGGGUCUUAGGUACCCAACUCAUGUUGGGUCCUACAAGGUUAGUGCAAAUAUCCUUAGGGACCCAAAUGCAAGUUUUAUCACCCUUGCAUUUUGCCCCUAACUUCCUAGCAAUUACCUUUCUAUCCUUUCUAUAAAUUGCAAAGGAAGCAUUCAAAGCAUGAUAUAUUGUAGAAGGCUCAUUAACUUUCCUAGGAAUAUUAACAACAUUUCUCCUAGGCAUAGUAUGAACAACAUCCCUUCUACCAACAUUUCUAUCAUGCACAUAUGAAGAACUAGAAGCAAACAUAGCAUGAGAAAAUUCAUCGUACGCAUUAUAACUCCUAUAAACAUUUCUAGUUUGUCUCCUAUCAUGAUACAAAAAGGCAUGGUUCUUUUUAGCACUAGUAGCCAUAGGGGCCUUCCCUUUCUCCUUGGCGGAAAUGGGAGCCUUAUGGCUUGUUAAGUUCUUGGCUUCCCUCUUGAAGCCAAGUCCAUCCUUAAUUGAGGGGUGUCUACCAAUCGUGUAGGCAUCCCUUGCAAAUUUUAGCUUAUCGAAAUCAUUUUUGCUAGUCUUAAGUUGGGCAUUAAGACUAGCCAAUUCAUCUUUUAAUUUGGAAAUUGAAACUAGAUGUUCACUACAAGCAUCAAUAUCAAAAUCUUUACACCUAGUGCAAAUCAUAACAUGUUCUACACAAGAAUUAGAUUUAUUUGCUAUUUCUAACUUAGCAUUCAUAUCAUCAUUAAUGCUCCUUAAUUUAGAAAUUGUCUCAUGGCAAGAAGAUAACUCACAAGAAAGCACUUCAUUUCUUUUAACUUCUAGAGCAUGAGAUCUUUGAGCUUCUACAAAUUUAUCAUGCUCUUCAUACAAUAAAUCCUCUUGUUUCUCUAAGAGUUUAUCCUUCUCAUUCAAUGCAUCAAUGAGUUCAUUUAUCUUAUCUAUCUUAGAUCUAUCUAAACCCUUGAGUAAGCAUGAAUAGUCUAUGUCAUCAUCAUCACUAGACUCAUCAUCACUAGAGGAAGCAUAAGUGGAGUCUUGAGUACUCACCUUCUUCUCUCUUGCCAUCAGGCAUGUGUGAUGCUCGUUGGGGAAGAGAGAUGACCUAUUGAAGGCGGUGGCGGCGAGUCCUUCAUUGUCGGAGUCGGAGGAGGAGCAAUCCGAAUCCCACUCCUUUCCGAUAUGUGCCUCGCCCUUGGCCUUCUUGUAAUGCUUCUUCUUCUCCCUUUUAUUCCCUUGGUCCUGAUCACUAUCAUUGUCGGGACAGUUAGCAAUAAAAUGACCAAGCUUACCGCAUUUGAAGCAUGAGCGCUUCCCCUUGGCUUUGGUCUUGCUUGACUGUCCCUUGCGACCCUUAAGCGCCGUCUUGAAUCUUUUGAUGAUGAGGGCCAUCUCUUCAUCGUUGAGUCCGACCGCUUCAAUUUGUGCCACCUUGCUAGGUAGCGCCUCCUUGCUUCUUGUGGCUUUGAGAGCAAGAGGUUGUGGCUCGUUGAUUGGUCCAUUCAAGGCGUCGUCCACGUACCUCGCCUCCUUGAUCAUCAUUCGCCCGCUGACGAAUUUUCCUAGGACUUCUUUGGGCGACAUUUUGGUGUACCUGGGAUUCUCACGAAUAUUAUUCACCAAAUGAGGAUCAAGAACGGUAAAGGACCUUAGCAUUAGUCGGACGACGUCGUGGUCCGUCCAUCGCGUGCUUCCGUAGCUCCUUAUUUUGUUAAUAAGGGUCUUGAGCCGGUUGUAUGUUUGAGUUGGCUCCUCGCCCCUUAUCAUCGCGAACCGUCCAAGCUCGCCCUCCACCAACUCCGUUUUGGUAAGCAAGGUAACGUCAUUUCCCUCAUGAGAAAUCUUGAGGGUGUCCCAGAUCUGCUUGGCGUUGUCCAAGCCGCUCACCUUGUUGUACUCGUCCCUGCACAAAGAGGCUAGCAACACAGUAGUAGCUUGUGCAUUUUUAUGAAUCUGUUCAUUAAUAAACAUAGGGCUAUCCGAGCUAUCAAAUUUCAUUCCAUUCUCUACAAUCUCCCAUAUGCUUGGAUGGAGAGAGAAUAAAUGACUACGCAUUUUGUGACUCCAAAAUCCGUAGUCCUCCCCAUCAAAGUGUGGAGGUUUGCCAAGAGGAAUGGAAAGCAAAUGCGAAUUCGAACUAUGUGGAAUACGAGAAUAAUCAAAUGAAAAGUUCGAAUUGACCGUCUUCCUGUAGUCGUUGUCGUCGUCCCUUUGGGAAGAAGAGGAUUCGUCGCUGUCGUAGUAGACGAUCUCCUUGAUGCGCCUUGUCUUCUUCUUCUUCCCAUCUUUGCGCUUGUGGCUUGAGCCCAAGUCGGUAGACUUGUCAUUCUUCGGCUCGUUGAAGAUAGACUCCUUCUCGUUGUUGUCGACCACCAUCCCCUUUCCCUUAGGAUCCAUCUCUUCGGGCGAUUAGUCCCUCCUUGAAGAGAACGGCUUUGAUACCAAUUGAGAGCACCUAGAGGGGGGGGGGGUGAAUAGGUGAUCCUGUGAAACUUGAAAACUUAAGCCACAAAAACUUGGUUAAUCGUUAGCACAAUAAUUGCCAAGUGGCUAGAGAGGAGUCAAAACACAAUAACCACAAGAAAUCAAACACAGAGAUGGCACGGUGGUUAUCCCGUGGUUCGGCCAAGUACAAAACUUGCCUACUCCACGUUGUGGCGUCCCAACGGACGAGAGUUGCACUCAACUCCUCUCAAGUGAUCCAAUGAUCAACUUGAAUACCACGGUGUUCUUCUUUACUUUGAUCUUUUCCCGUUUGCGAGGAAUCUCCACAACUUGGAGUCUCUCGCCCUUACAAUUGAAUUUCACAAAGAAGUACGGAGUAAGGGAGGGAAGCAACACACACAAAUCCACAACAAAAUGCGCACACACACGGCCAAGAAUCGAGCUCAAAAGACUAUCUCAAAGUUCUCACUAGAACAGAGCUCGAAUCACUGAGAAUGACAAAGGAAUGCGCAAAGACUGAGUGUGGAUGAUCAAGAAUGCUCUAAGGUUGCUUGGUGUUCUCCUCCAUGCGCCUAGGGGUCCCUUUUAUAGCCCCAAGGCAGCUAGGAGCCGUUGAGAGCAAAUCUGGAAGGCCAUUCUUGCCUUCUGUCGUCGGGUGCACCGGACAGUCCGGUGCACACCGGACACUGUCCGGUGCCCGAUUUCCUUCCUUAAACAGCGCAGCCGACCGUUGCAGAUCUGGGAGCCGUUGGCGCACCGGACAUGUCCGGUGCACACCGGACAGUCCGGUGCCCCCUUCCGACCGUUGGCUCGGCCACAUGUCCCGCGCAGAUCGCGCGGCCGACCGUUGGCCCAGCCGACCGUUGGCUCACCGGACAGUCCGGUGCACACCGGACAGUCCGGUGAAUUUUAGCCGUACGCCGUCGGCGAAUUCCCGAGAGCGGCUUCUUCGCCCGAGGCAUCCUGGCGCACCGGACACUGUCCGGUGCACCACCGGACAAUCCGGUGCCCCAGACCGAAACAGCCUUUUGGCUGUACACAGCCAACUCUUCUCUGACUCGUUUUCUCCUGUUUUCUAACACUUAGACAAAUACAUUAGUACACAAAACGAAUGUACUAAAGCUUAGAAACAUACCUUUACUCAUGAUUUGCACUUUGUUCAUCCAUGGGCAUAAACUCACAUUUAAGCACUUGUGUUGGCACUCAAUCACCAAAAUACUUAGAAAUGGCCCAAGGGCACAUUUCCCUUUCAAGUACCCACUCCCUCGGAUCGACGACCUCUUCAACCAGCUGCAAGGAGCCAAAUAUUUCUCCAAGAUAGACCUCAGGUCAGGAUAUCACCAACUGAGAAUCAAGGAAGCAGACAUUCAGAAGACUGCAUUCGUCACCCGGUACGAACAAUAUGAAUUCACAGUGAUGCCAUUUGGGCUAACAAACGCACCCGCCUUUUUCAUGAACCUCAUGAAUAAGGUAUUUAUGGAAGAAUUGGACAAGUUUUUCGUAGUCUUCAUAGACGACAUCCUUAUUUAUUCCAAGAAUCGUAAGGACCAUGAGUGUCACCUCCGAAUCGUUCUCGGAAGACUCAGGGCACAUCAACUUUAUGCUAAGCUCAGCAAGUGUGAGUUCUGGUUAGAAAAGAUAGCUUUCCUGGGGCAUAUCUUGACUGCAGAAGGGAUAGAAGUAGACCCAUCCAAGGUAGAAGCCGUUUCAAAAUGGAAGCAGCCAUCCAACGUCAGUGAAGUACGAAGCUUUCUGGGAAUGGCAGGGUACUACAACCGCUUUAUCAAGGGGUUCUCCAGCAUAGCAAAACCUAUGACCGAACUUCUCAAAAAGGACAAUAAGAUUGUGUGGACUCCCAAAUGUGAGGAAAGUUUCCAGAUCAUCAAGGAAAAGCUUACAACUGCGCCAGUUUUGACACUGCCAGAUAUACACCAGGAUUUCGUCAUCUACUGUGAUGCUUCAAGGCAAGGCUUAGGGUGUGUCUUGAUGCAAAAUGAGAAAGUUAUUGCCUAUGCAUCCCGCCUACUCAAGCCACACGAGCAGAACUACCCUACCCACGACUUGGAAUUGGCAGCCAUCGUGCACGCCCUAAAGAUAUGGAGGCAUUAUCUGAUCGGGAACAAAUGCCACAUCUUGACUGAUCACAAGAGUCUGAAGUACAUCUUCACGCAACCGGACCUCAACCUCCAUCAAAGAAGAUGGCUUGAAUUGAUCAAGGAUUAUGACCUCGAAAUCCACUACCACCCUGGGAAGGCCAACGUGGUAAUAGACGCCCUCAACCGAAAACCUUUCGGGAUUAAAGGGACCAACUUUUUAGAAGAUUGGAAGAAAGAAUCAGCUCAGCUAAAUGCAUGUUUGGGAGACAACAGUAGCCUGGAAGUCAAGCCCAAUCUAGAAGAUCUCAUAUGCAAGGCUCAACACCUGGACGCAGAGACAACCAGACUUAUGGAAAGAGCUCGCAAGGAGCAACUUCCGGACCUUAGGAUAGAUGAGCAAGGAGUCCUCUGGUUCAAGAACCGCCUGUGUGUACCAGUGGGAGAGGCACGGGAAGCCCUGCUCAAUGAAGCCCACAACUCAGCUUACUCCAUCCACCCAGGGACCACCAAGAUGUACCUAGACCUCAAAACCAGAUACUGGUGGAAAGGGAUGAAGAAGGAAAUAGCACAGUAUGUGGCCCGGUGUGACACCUGUCAGCGAACAAAGGCCGAACAUCAGAAGCCUGCAGGCCUACUUCAACCCCUCCCAGUACCCGAAUGGAAGUGGGAAGAAAUAGGCAUGGAUUUCGUGACCGGACUGCCCCGAACAUAGAAAAGAAAUGAUUCCAUAUGGGUAAUAAUCGAUCAUCUCACCAAGGUGGCCCACUUCGUUCCAGUAAAGACCACUUUUGGAGGAGUCGCCCUUGCCCGAAUAUACCUUAAAGAGAUAGUCAGGCUCCAUGGCAUUCCGCGGAAGAUAGUAUCAGAUAGAGGAACGCAGUUCACUUCAAAAUUUUGGAAGGGCCUCCAGCAAGCCAUGGGCACCAAGCUAGAUUUCAGCACCGCUUACCACCCCCAGUCAGAUGGUCAAACAGAAAGAGUCAACAAGAUCCUCGAAGAUUUGCUAAGAGCCUGUGUGCUAACAUUCGACAGGGAUUGGGAGUCCAGUUUGCCGUACGCUGAAUUCUCGUACAACAACAGCCAUCAGGCCAACAUCAAAAUGUCACCGUUCGAAGCACUGUACAGAAGAAAAUGCCAAACUCUCCUAAUGUGGUCCAAUGUAGGGGAAAGAACACUAGAAGGACCCGACUUUGUUAAAGAAGCCGAAGAGAAAGUUGCCUUGAUCCACAGGAGGUUACUUGAAGCUCAGAGUCGACAGAAGAGUUACACAGACAAUAGACGAAGGGAACUCAGAUUUGAGAAAGGAGAUUUUGUUUAUCUCAAGGUCUCCCCGAUGCGUGGGGUCAAAAGGUUCCAAAUGAAAGGAAAGCUAGCACCACGUUUCAUUGGUCCCUACCCCGUCAUUGCCCGAAUAGGACCCGCAGCAUACCGUCUUGAGCUACCAGAAUCCAUGUCAGAUAUUCACAACGUGUUCCAUGUGUCUCAACUCUGCAAAUGCUUAAAGGUACCAGAAAACCACAUCGAGGCAGAUGCAAUUCAGAUUCAAAAGGAUCUCCGGUACCGGGAAAAGCUAGUGAAGAUUCUCGAUUCAGCAGUCAGAAGGACCCGCAACUCAGAAGUGAAACUCUGUAAGGUUCAGUGGAGCAGAGAUGGAGAAGAGGAAGCCACCUGGGAAAGUGAGGACUCUCUGAGGAAGAAAUACCCUUACCUUUUCUCAAGCCCCGUCUGAAUCUCGAGGGCUAGAUUCCUUUAAGUGGGGGUAGGUUUGUAACAUCCCAAAAUCCUAACCUAGGUUUGAAACCCUAAACUACUCCUCUCCCCUUUUUCAUCCUCUAAUUCCAAGAACUCCCUUAGAUUUUCUUUCAUCAUAUGCAUACACUUUGUUUGAUCACAAGCACCUCACUUAGAUUUUAUUUUUCAGCACCUAAGAUUAUCUAUUAAAAUUAAUUGUUCAAAAGAAAAAGAUAUAAAAAUGGAUAAAGGAAUUAGAAAAUAAAAAGAAAAAGAGAAACCCUCUCCCCUAGCUGGGCUGAAUCCAGCCCAUGCCGCGGCCGCGUCCCCCCCUCGCGCCCGCGACUCCCUCCCCUCGGCCCAUUUCCGGCCUGCUCCCGCGUGCGCGCCAGCCCGCCCUGCGCUCUCUUUCUCUCCCUCGCUGAUGAACCGACCCCACCCGCCAGCCGCCCUCUCUCUCGCACGCUCACUCCCACUGGCAGACCGGCCCCAGCUGUCAGCCAGUUCGUCGUCCUUCUUCCCCCUCCCCGCGUACGGCCCAUCACGGUCACCUCCGGCCAUCGCCUCCGUCUUCUCGCCGCACAGGGAAGUUGGGCACCGCCCCGUCCUCACCGCAGCGGCCGCGUCCUUGCACGGCACCGCCACCGUGCGGUCUCGUCAUCGCCGCUGUGCGGCAUUAACUCUGGUACGGUGCGCCUCACCGGCACCAUGGAGCUCCACCGCUCCCCUUCCCUCGGGCGCCUAUAAAAGGGCCGCCCCGAGCUCCUCCUUCCCCGCACCGGCCUCAGCCACCCCUCUCCUCCCUCGUCCGAGCUCAAUUCGUGGAAGAACCACCGUCGUCUUCCUCCCCGGUGAGCCCUUCCCUCUCUUCUCCCUGCCCCUCUGUUGGUCCAUCAAGUGAUUGCUUAAGCCUCCUAGCUUCGCCACACCGCCACGAACGCAGUACACCACUCACCCACCCCGAUUCCUCGCCCAAAGCUCACCGACGGCAACCCCGCCACGCAGCUCCGCCACCUCCCCGCGGACAACCCCCCUCCCUGCCCCCUCUAGCCAAAUUGAGCCCACCCCCAGGUCCGCCAGACCCUCACCAAGCUAGGGCAACCGCCCGUUGCCCGAGAACCGGGCCACCGGCGGUAAACCGCCGUCGAGCCCACCGCCGGCCGGUUUUCCUCCCCUCAAACGGUUGGUUCGCCCCACGCCGUCGACCGUUGGCGUCGUCUUCCCCUCUCGCUCUCUCUGUCGCGUGGGCCCCGCGGCGACGACGUUUUCCCCUGCGCCCGCGCCAUCUCCCCGACUUGGGCCACUGAUAGGCCAGCGCCCUCGCGCGCCCCUGCGCCGGUUGGACCAAAUUCCCCCUCCCCGGCCCACCAGCGCCAAACUCCUUUUCCUUUUUUUCAGCCCUUUUUCCUCUAAUUAGUUUUUCUCAAUAUUUUAUGUACCAAAAAUCAUCAAAACACUUUCUAGAGUCACAUGUAAUAAUAAUGACACACUAUGAUGGUGAAACCACUGAUUGAUGUAUUUUUUUAUUGAUUGUUUUCACUAGAAGAAGCGGGGACCGAGGGCCCGGAACCCGUAGCCCCGGAAGAAGGGUCGGAGCCCGAUCUCCCGGAAGUAGAUCUUUUGUGCCAGGAAAGCUUCGACGAAGGCAAGUCCAUCCUUCCCUUGAUGCAUAAAUUACCUAUUCUCUCUACCACUGCAUAGGCCGGGAAUUCAGGGGGAAUAUUGCAUUGUGAGUGAGAGAUGGCCCGCAUUAACAUAUACAUUCUGGAUACGAAAUAUGGAUUGAGAAGAAGGGAAAUGUGUUUCUUCAAAUAAAAUCUCUUUUUGAAAAGUUAUGCGAUGAAGGGUACUCACCCUCAUCACCUUGGGAGUGGGAUGAUCAGGGACUCCCUGGUUUAGGGGAGGGCCUAAGGUGUUGGCUCAGCUGGUUUAGGCAUGAGCAGAAGGAUUGUCCCCUCAUAUAAGGACCGGCUUGUCAUUUUCACUACCUGUACUCCUUUGUCGUACAACCACUUGAGACUGUGUGGGCAGUCACUCAAUCCGAACUCGUGCGGUCCAACCCCAGGGUUAAGAAGGCUGGGGAGCACCGGGAGGAUAAGGAGGGGGAAAGUUUUGUCCGGUUUGGACAUGGUGGUGGCCUGACUCCUUCUGGAUAACCGUUAAGGUUAGGACGUACGAGGAAGGAAAGAGAUCCGGCAUUCGGGUCUCGCGACGGUGAGAUCGCAGAAACCGGGCUAGUGGGUAAAGUGUACCCCUCUGCGCAGAGUCGAAAACCUAUUCGAAUAGUCCGUGUCCACUGGUAUGGACGGGUCUGGUAUGGCAUGGCAAUUAGAGAUUUUUCUAUGAGUUUCAUGAAAAGGGAAAUGUGUGAUUAAAUGGGUGUUAAGAAAGAAACUAAGGCCACGGGAGCGGGAAGCUCAGUGGUGGUUGAGUUUUGGUUACUUUUAAGACUAUGGGAAAAACCUUACAGCAAGUGCCUUUCUCUAAGAAAAUGAUGAGUGACUUCAACUACACCAAAUAAAACAUGUAUAUUAUAGGUCUCUUCCUCUCUACGAGAGCGGGGUGGACUUGCGGAAUACCUAGUGUAUUCACCCAGAUUUAUUUAUGUUUUUCAGCAGCCAAAAACUUCUUUUCUGCUAUGCUUGAUUGAGAGGGCUGUGUCUGCACCCAGUUCUGCCUGUGGCUUGGGCUAGUAUUUCUUUUCCUACUGCACUUCCUAUUUUGGCUCUCUCGAGCUUGUACCCCAAUAUUGUAAUAACAAUUAUCUAAACUCUGUACUAUUUGAAGUAAGGAAUGUGUUUACUAGCCUCCUGGGACUAGUAAUUGUGUCACAUUUGAGUCCCAAAGGAUCGGGACGCUUCAAUGUGCCACCACAAGGGUGGAAUGAGACGCCCUUAGCUGACUAAUUAGGAAAGCUAGUGGAAGACUACCUUACCCGAAAGGGGUAAGGGCAGUAGGGGAGUAGGCAUGCAGGGAGGUUCUCGGGUUGAUUUUGCUGCGAUGGCGGUCAGAUGAGGGAUUCUUGUAAUUGCUCUUCCUAGAAACUAUAGCGGGUUUUCAGAAGCUAGUGAAACUUUGUAAAGGCCUCGUAGUGUUACCCUGCCUCGCUUCCUUGGUAGCGGUGUAUGGGACUUAUGACCCCUUGGUAGAUGGGUAACAUGACUUGUGGGUACAUAGUACAACCUCUGCAGAGUGUAAAACUGGUAUACUAGCCGAGCUCACGGUCAAGAGUAGCUCAGGACUCUCGCAUGAUUAAAUUAUGGAACUAAAUUCAAUUUGUCAUAUGCAUUGCAUGAGAUUAUUUAUUAAUUUUGUUCUAUUAUUUUUAUUAUGGUUUGGUAUUUACUUAUAUUUAGUAACUGCUAAUAAAAAUUUGACCAACUUAUUAAAAUCAAUGCUCAGCUUUAACCCCUAUUGUUGAUCAGCCUUACACAUCACAUGAACUCCCACUUUUGGUGAGUUCAUGCACAUUAUUCCCCACAACUUGUUGAACGAUGAACAUGUGUGAGCUCACCCUUGCUGUCUCACACCCCCCACAGGAGAAGAACAGGUGGUUCAAGAGGAGCCACACAACGAAGAGUUCGACUUGAUCUAGGUGGCGUCUCCCAGUUGAAUUUAUGGCGCCAAGGAUGGACUUUAGUUUGUUUUAUAUUUAUAAUUUAUUUUGUAAGACUUCCGCUAUGUAAUAAGUACUCUGAUGAUAUUAUGACAUUUAUCUCUAUACACUCUGUUAUUAUAUGUGUUGUCUUCUUUGGCGCAUAUAUGAGAUGCACCCGGCUUUGUCCCUUAAAUCGGGUGUGAUAGUGUCCCUCUCCUUCUUCUUCUUCUUCCCCUUGCCGUCCUCGCCAUCCACCGUAGCCGCGGGGGGCUGGGCUUGGCGUUGAAGCGGGAGGCGGCGGAGGGGUGGCUAGGGUUGGUGGGCGCGUCGGCGACGGCAGGAGGGUUGGUGGAGGCGGAGGAGGGGCAGUCGUGGGACCAGUGGCUGGGGCGGCCACACUUGAAGCGUCCCGUGGGCGGCGACGCGGCCAUGGCUGCUUAGGGUUGGGGAAUCGGGGAUGGAUGGAUGAAUGGAUCUUGCUCCUGGUCCUGGGCAAGGGGGGAAAGGAAAUCAAGUGUUUUGGCGGGAGUUGGGAGGCGAGAUGGCGCCAAAUACAGAUCGAAAGGACAAAAAGGAAGAAAAAAGAAAAAAGGGGGCAUUCCGAGAAUUGAACUCGGGACCUCUCGCACCCUAAGCGAGAAUCAUACCACUAGACCAAAUGCCCUUUGGUGAAUGUGGUCUUUGAUCUAUCAUAAUUGAACAACAAACUGGAUAUGUACCAAAACAGGCUAUAUGCUGAGAUGACAUCGUCCCAAGUCCAUGUGACUUGUGAGAUGGAUGGAUGAAUCUUCUGGAGCACGUGAAUGUGUGCUUUUGGUUUGGCUACGUGAUAGUCGCCUAGAGGGGGGGUGAAUAGGCGAAACCUGAAAUUUACAAACUUAAACACACACUAAAGGCCGGGGUUAGAGUUAGAAUUAAAUUCAAGUCAAAAGAAUAUUUCUCUUGCUAAGAGUUGCUCAAAGAAUGUGGAUGAUGUAUGGGAGCCAACUGAAGUCAAUACUAGCAAGGAAAUGUUAGAGGGAAAACAAAUCAAACGAGAAUCAAGGUGAGUGAACACGAUGAUUUGUUUUACCGAGGUUCGGUUCCAAAGAACCUAGUCCCUGUUUAGGAGGUCAUAAAGACCGGGUCUAUUUCAACCCUUUCCCUCUCUCAAACGGUCACUUAGACCGAGUGAGCCUUUUCCUUAAUCUCACGGGUCACUUAGACCCUGCAAGGACCACCACACACUUAGGUGUCUCUUGCUUCGAUUACAAGUUUCUUAAGAAUAAGAAGGGAAAAAGAAAAGGGCCAAACCAAGCGACAAGAGCAACAAAGAACACAAGUGAUCCUCUCACAAGCCCUAAUGCACUAGAGUUGAUUUUGGGGCCUUGAGUGGAUGGAUUGCUUUGAUUGUGUCUUGGAGUGUUGGACUUUUGCUCUUGCAAUGAAUGAGAAUUCAUAAAUGCUUGGAUAGGAGUGGAUGAGGUGGUUGGGGGGUAUUUAUAGCCUCCCAACCACUUCUAGCCAUUGGCUAAUUUCUACUGAUGAUGGGUGCACCAGUGCGCCACCAGACAAUCACUGUGCACUGUUCGGUGCGCGCCACGCCAGCGCAACCGUUAGGGUUCGGAGCAGUUGACCGUUGGAGAUGUUUGUCUUCUAGCUACACCGGACAGUCUGGUGCCCUCUGACUUCUGUGCUUCUGACUUCUGCGCAGCACUGUUCCGCUCUGACAUCUCCAUAGUCGACCGUUGGAUGAGCAGGGAGCCGUUGCUCUGCUGGCUCAGCAGACAAUCCGAUGUCACAUCGGACAGUCCGGUGAAUUAUAGCGGAGCGCGCCCUGGAAUUACUGAGAGUGGCUGGUUCGGAGUUGUACGGCCCGGGUGCACCGGACAGUCCGAUGCGCCAUUUUUCAGCACACUCAAGUUCUUCGCUUCAUUUUUUAUUGUGUCCCUAACCGGAUUUCUUGCUUGGUUUGUGUAGAACCUUAUGCACCUGCAAUAUAUGAUAUCUGGAAAAACUAGUUAGUCCACGUGUUUGUGUUCAUCAUCAACCACCAAAAUUAGUUAUAGGAAAUGGUUAACCCGAUUUCCCUUUCAAUCUCCCCCCUUUUGGUGAUUGAUGCCAACACAAACCAAAGCAAAUAUAAAGUGCAGAAAUGUAACUAGUUUGCAUUUAUGACGAAUGUGCAUAUAUUACUUGGAGUUAAACCAAUUGAAAUUAUCACUAAGAAUGAAUGGUUUGCUUUUCUUUUUAUUUAACAUUUUGGACCACAUUUGCACCACAUGUUUGUUUUUGCAAAUCUUUUUGAAAACCUUUUCAAAAUCUUUUGCAAAUAGUCAAAGGUAUAAGAAUGUGAUUUCAAGAAGCAUUUUUAAGAUUUGAAAUUCCUCCCCCUAUUUCAAAUGCUUUUCCUUUGACUAAAUAAAAACUCCCCCUGAAGAAAUUCUCCCCUUAGCUUUCAAGAGGGUUUUGAAAUAGAUAUGAAGUGAAAUUAUACCAAUUGAAAUUUUUUCCUACUAAAUGUGAAGUUUUGAAGAUGCCAAUUUGAAAUUUUACUUUCACAUAUCAAUUGAAAAUUAGAUACUAAUUGAAAAAUACACCAAUUGAAAAAAUCAUUUUGAAAAUUUUGAAAUGGUGGUGUGGUCCUUUUGCUUUGGCUUAAUACUUUCUCCCCCUUUGGCAUUAAUUGCCAAAAACAGAGAACUUGAGAGCCCUUUUAUACUUCCUCCCACAUUGAUAAAAAACAUAUCAGUGAAAGAUUAUACCAAUUGAGAGUUUGCGGAGUAACGACAAUGGGUAAAUGAUGUCGUCAGAGUUUGGAGUGGGAGCCUUGCCUUUGCUGAAUACUCCAUUGCCCUUUCAAUCUAAGACUAAUCAUAGAGAUAUACUUGAAAGCACAUUAGUCUUAGCCUUGGAACAAGAAGAAUAAGAAAUAUGCAUUUGUACCAAAUGAAAGAGACAUGAUCAAGGUAUAUGCAUGAACUAUGUGUGCAAUGUUUCAAUCAAAGUUCCGAGAAUCAAGUAUAUUUAGCUCAUUCCUAAGUUUGCUAAAUGUUUUCUCAUCUAAUGGCUUGGUAAAGAUAUCGGCUAAUUGAUUCUUGGUGUUUACAUAAGCUAUUUCGAUAUCCCCCUUUGUUGGUGAUCUCUUAGAAAGUGAUACCGAAUGUCUAUGUGCAUAGUGCGGCUAUGUUCAACGGGAUUAUCCGCCAUGCAGAUUGCACUCUCAUUAUCACAUAGGAGAGGGACUUUGCUCAAUUUGUAGCCAUAGUCCCUAAUAGUUUGCCUCAUCCAAAGUAAUUGCGCACAACAAUGGUCUGCGGCAAUGUACUCGGCUUCGGCAGUGGAAAGAGCUACUGAGUUUUGUUUCUUUGAAGUCCAUGACACCAGGGAUCUCCCCGGAAACUGACAAGUCCCUGAUGUGCUCUUCUUAUCAAUUUUACACCCUGCCCAAUCGGCAUCGAAAUAACCUAUUAAAUCAAAAGUGGAUCCCUUGGGGUACUAAAGCCCAAACUUAGGAGUGUAAACUAAAUACCUCAUGAUUCUUUUCAUGGCCCUAAGUUGAACAACCUUAGGAUCAUCCUGGAACCUUGCACACAUGCAUAUAGAAAGCAUAAUAUCUGGUCAAGAUGCACAUAAAUAGAGUAAAGAUCCUAUCAUCGACCGGUAUACCUUUUGAUCUACGGAUUUACCUCCCAUGUCGAGGUCGAGAUGCCCACUGGUUCCCAUGGGUGUCUUGAUGGGUUUGCCAUCCUUCAUCCCAAUCUUCUUAUGUAUGUCUUGAAUGUACUUUGUUUGGCUGAUGAAGGUGCCCUCUUGGAGUUGCUUGAUUUAAAAUCCUAGGAAAUACUUCAACUCCCCCAUCAUCGACAUCUCGAAUUUCUGAAUCAUGAUCCUACUAAACUCUUCACAAGUUGAUUUGUUAGUAGACCCAAAUAUGAUAUCAUCAACAUAAAUUUGGCAUACAAACAAAUCUCUUUGAAUUUCUUGGUGGACUCUUGGGUGUGGCGGUCUUUGACCCUAAGUUUCUUGAUCAUCUUCCUUGUCUUGAUCAUUUUCAUCUCCCCCUUGAUCCAUGUCUUCCUCUUGAGGUGGCUCAUCUUCUUGAUUUUCAUCCUCAUCAUCCCGAGCCUGUUCCUCAUCUUGAGUUGGUGGGGAUGCUUGAUUGGAAGAUGACGACUGAUCUUGUGCUUGUGUGGGCUCUUUGGAUUCCUUAGGACACACAUCCCCAAUGGACAUGUUUCUUAGCGCGAUGCAUGGAGCCUCUUCAUCAUCUAAUUCAUCAAGAUAAACUUGCUCCACUUGGGAGCCAUUAGUCUCAUCAAACACAAUGUCACAAGAAACCUCAACCAAUCCAGUGGAUUUGUUGAAGACUCUAUAUGCCCUUGUGUUUGAGUCAUAACCAAGUAAAAAGCCUUCUAUAGCCUUAGGAGCAAAUUUAGAUUUUCUAUCUCUUUUAACAAGAAUAAAGCAUUUACUCCCAAAGACUCUAAAAUAUGAAACAUUGGCAUUUUACCAGUGAGGAGUUCAUAUGAUGUCUUCUUGAGGAUUCGGUGUAGAUAUAACCGGUUGACGGAGUAGCAGGCGGUGUUAAUCGCCUUAGCCCAAAACCGGUCCGGAGUCUUGUACUCAUCAAGCAUGGUUCAUGCCAUGUCCAGUAGAGUUCUAUUCUUCCUCUCCACUACACCAUUUUGUUGAGGUGUGUAGGGAGAAGAGAACUCAUGCUUGAUGCCCUCUUUCUCAAGAAAACCUUCAAUUUAUGAAUUAUUGAACUCUGUCCCAUUAUCGCUUCUUAUCUUUUUUAUCCUUAAUCCGAACUCGUUUUGAUCCCGUCUUAAGAAUACUUUUAAGGUCUCUUAGGUUUGUGAUUUUUCAUGCAAAAAGAACACCCAAGUGAAGCGAGAAUAAUCAUCCACAAUAACUAGACAUUACUUACUUCCUCCGAUGCUUAUGUAAGCUAUCAGACCGAAUAGAUCCAUGUGGAGUAGCUCGAGCGGGCUGUGAGUCGUCAUUAUGUUCUUGUGUGGAUGGUGGGCGCCAACUUGCUUUCCUGCUUGACAUGCGCUACAAACCCUGUCUUUCUCAAAACGAACAUUGGUUAGUCCUAAAAUGUGCUCCCCUUUAGGAGCUUGUGAAGAUUCUUCAUUCCAACAUAGGCUAGUCGGCGAUGCCAGAGCCAACCCAUAUUAGUCUUAGCAAUUAAGCAAGUGUUUAGUUCAGCUUGAUUAAAAUCAACUAAGUAUAGCUGACCCUCUAGCACUCCCUUAAAAGCUAUUUAAUCAUCACUUCUUCUAAAGACAGUAACACCUAUAUCAGUAAAAAUACAGUUGUAGCCCAUUUUACAUAAUUGAGAAACAGUAAGCAAAUUGUAAUCUAAAGAAUCUACAAGAAAAACAUUGGAAAUAGAAUGGUCAGGUGAUAUAGCAAUUUUACCCAAACCUUUGACCAAACCUUGAUUUCCAUCUCCGAAUGUGAUAGCUCUUUAGGGAUCUUCGUUUUUCUCAUAGGAGGAGAACAUCCUUUUCUCCCUUGUCAUGUGGUUUGUGCACCCGCUAUCGAUUAUCCAACUUGAACCACCGGAUGCAUAAACCUACAAAACAAUUUUAGGCAUUGUUCCUAGGUACCCAAACAGUCUUGGUCCUUUGACGUUAGAAACAAGCACUUGGGUACCCAAACACAAGUCUUUGGACUCUUGUGUUUGCCCUCAACAUAUUUGGCUACUAUUUUGCCUGAUUUGUUAGUAAGCACAUAUGAAGCAUCAAAAGUAUUAAAUGAAAUGUUAUGUUCAUUUGAUGCAGCAGGAAUUUUCUUUCUAGGCAUUUUAACAUGAGUGGUAUGCCUAGAGCUAGAAGCCUCAUUUUUAUACAUAAAAGCAUGGUGAGAAAUAGUAUGAGGUUUCCUAGCGUGAAUCUUCCUAAUCUUGUGUUCAGGAUAGUUAGGAGGAUAUAAGAUAUAGCCCUCACUAUCCUGAACCAUGGGAGCCUUACCCUUAACAAAAUUAGACUAUCUUUUAGGGGCAUGAAGCUUGACAUUGCUUCCCUGUUGGAAACCAAUGCCAUCCUUAAUGCCAGGGCGUCUACCAUUAUAGAGCAUGCUUCUAGCAAAUUUAAACUUUUCAUUUUCAAGUUCAUGCUCUUUAAUUUUAGCAGUUAAUUUAGCUAUGUGAUCAUUUUGUUGUUUAAUCAUAGCAAGGUGAUCAUCAAUAGCUUCUACAUUAAUAUCUUUACAUCUAGUGCAAAUGGAAAUAUGCUCAACAGUAGAUGUAGAAGGUUUGCAAGUAUUUAAUUCUUCUAUCUUAGAUUUUAAUUUAGCAUUCUCAUCUCUAAGACAGGAAAUAGAAUCAUUGCAAACAUUCAAUUUUUCAAUCUUAGAAAUUAAAUUAGUAUUUUCAGUUCUAAGACUAGAAAUUGAAUCAUGGCAAAUGCUAAGCUCCUUAGAUAAAAAUUUUCACAUUUCUCUACUUCCUGAGCAUAAGCAUUUUUCAAUUUAAUAAAUUUUUUGUUCUUUUUAAUUAGGAAGUCCUCUUGGCUAUCCAAGAGUUCAUCCUUCUCAUUAAUUGCUUCAAUUAAUUCAUUUAAUUUCUUCUUUUGAUCCAUGCUAAGGUUGGCAAAAAGAGACAUUAAAUUGUCUUCACUAUCACUAGAGCUACCCUCAUCACUAGAUGUUGUAUAUUUAGGGGUGGCUCUAGAGUGUACCUUCUUCUUGUCGUCCUUAGCCAUAAGACACUUGUGGCCGACAUUAGGGAAGAGGAGGCCCUUGUUGACGGCGAUGUUGGCGGUGUCCUCGUCGGAGGAGGAGUCGGUGGAGCUCUCGUUGGAGUCCCAUUCCCGACAUAUGUGGGCAUCAUCGCCCUUCUUCUUGUAGUACCUCUUCUUCUCCUUCUUCUCCCCCUUCUUGUCAUCGUCCCUGUCACUUUCACUAGAGAUAGGACAUUUAGCAAUAAAGUGAUCGGACUUACCACACCGGUAGCACACCUUCUUGGAGUGGGAUUUGUAGUUCUUCCCCCUCCUUUGCUUGAGGAUUUGGCAGAAGAUCUUGAUGAUGAGCGCCAUUUCCUCGUUGUCGAGCUUGGAGGCGUCGAUUGGAAGCCUACUUGGUGUAGACUCCUUCUUCUCUUCUUCCAUCGCUUUGAACGCGAUGGGUUGCACCUCGGGUGUGGAGGUGGCGCCUUGCUUCAAGUUGACAAUAUGUUUGGAGUCUUUGAUCAUUAGCUCAAAGCUCACAAACUUGCCAAUAACCUCCUCGGGAGACAUCUGUUUAUAUCUAGGGUCUCCAUGGAUUAGUUGCACUUGAGUGGGAUUACGAAAAACAAGUGAUCUAAGAAUAACCUUGACCAUCUCAUGGUCAUCCCACUUGGUACUCCCGAGGUUGCGCACUUGAUUGACCAUCGUCUUUAGCCGGUUGUACAUUGCUUGCGGCUCUUCUCCUUUGUUGAGAACGAAUCGACCGAGUUCUCCCUCGAUCGUUUCGCGCUUGUUGAUCUUGGUCACCUCAUCCCCUUCGUGCGCGGUCUUGAGGACGUCCCAAAUUUCCUUGGCGGUCUUUAAUCCUUGCACCUUGUUAUACUCCUCUCGACACAAGGAGGUGAGAAGUAUAGACGUGUCUUGGGAGUUAAAGUGCCUAAUUUGGGUGGCCUCGUCCAAGUCGUAGUCCUUUUCCCCUGAAAGUCGCCUAGAAGGGGGGUGAAUAGGCGUAAUAUGAAAUUUACAACUUUAAACACACACUACAAGCCGGGGUUAGCAUUAGAAUUAAAUCUGAGUCCGUUAGAGAGGGGGAAAACAAAGCAACCAAGAAAUAAAGCGGAUGAACACGGUGAUUUGUUUUACCGAGGUUCGGUUCUAAAGAACCUAGUCCCCAUUGAGGUGGUCACAAAGAUGAAAGAAAAAUGUGCCCUUGGGCAAUUUCUAUAAGUAUUUUGGUGAUUAGAUGCCCAACACAUUAUUUGAGUACUAAUAUGCUAAAUGUGAGAAAGGUCCAAAUCAAAGUAAAAGGUACGUUUCUAGACUUAGUACAUUGUUUUUUGUGAACUAACAUUGUUUGUCUAAGUGCUAGAAACAGUGCCGAAAAGAGAGGAAUCGGAUUGCAAAAGACUUGGUUGUGAGCAGCAAAACUUCAGCUCAGACUGGCACACCGGACUGUCCGGUGCGCCAGGCUGGUCUCUGGUGAAAGUGCUGCUCUCGGGAAUCGACGGUGGUGUACGGCUAUAAUUCACCGGACUGUCCGGUGGUGCAUCGGACUGUCCGGUGAGUCAUCCGCGGCGAACUCGUCGCUCUCGGGAAACGAAAAAAGAGACAUGGCUAUAAUUCACCGGACUGUCCGAUGUUGCACCGGAUUGUCCGGUGAGCCAACGGUCGCCAGCGCCAACGGUCGGCCGCGAAAUCUGUGGGCAACACAUGGCAGCUCCAAUGGUCGGCGGGGGGGGGGGGGUGCACCGGACAGUGUCCGGUGCGCCAACGGGCCCGAAGCUGCAACGGUCGUCUAUGCCCGAUUUGGAAGGAAAUCACGCAGCGGACAGGCUACAGUGGCUGUCCGGUGGCACACCGGACUGUCCGGUGCGCCACUCGACAGAAGGCAAGGAUGGCCUUCCAAGUUUGCAUACAACGGCUUCUAGCUGUCUUGAGGCUAUAAAAGGGACCCCUAGGCACAUGGAGGACUUACCUAAGCAUUCACUAAGCAUUCUAAGACUCCCACACUCUGCCUCCGCGCAUUUGAUCGAUUGUGUUAGUGAUUUGAGCUUCGUUCGAGUUGUGAACUCUCUGUGCUACGUUUCGAGCUCAAGUCUUGGCUUGUGUGCGUGUGUGUGCUGCAGAUUUGUGUGUUGUGUGUGUUGCUCUCCUAGCCUUACUCUUGUGCAUUCUUUGUGAUCUUUAUUGUAAGGGCAGAGGCUCCAACUUGUGGAGGUUCCUCGCAAAUGGGAGAAAGACUAUAAGGAAGAAAGCCGUGGUAUUCAAGUUGAUCGUUGGAUCACUUGAAAGGGGUUGAGGGCAACCCUCGUCCAUUGGGACACCACAACCUGGAAGUAGGCAAGUGUUACUUGGCCGAACCACAGGAUAAAAUCGCGUGUCUCUUGUGAUUGCUCUCUUUGUGAUUGUUUUGUCCACAAGAACUCGCCUCAAAACUAUUUAGUCGCACUAACACCUCUUUAACUAAGUUUUGUGGCUAUUUAGUGUUUAAUUUUACAGGAUCACCUAUUCACCCCCCUCUAGGUGCUCUCAAUUGGUAUCAGAGCCGUACUCUUCAUCUAAGGGACUAACCGCCCGAAGAGAUGGAUCCUAAGGGAAAGGGGAUGAUGGUCAACGACAACGAAAAGGAGUCCCUCUUCAAUGAGCCAAGGGAGACAAGCCCACUGACUCAGGAUCGAGUCAUAAGAAGAGGGACGGGAAGAAGAAGAGGCGCAUCAAGAAGAUCAUUUACUACGACAGCGAUGCCUCCUCUUCUUCACCAAGAGACGACGACGACGACUCUUCGUCGAAAAAGAGAACGGUUAAUCAAAACUACUCUUUUGACUAUUCUCGCAUGUCGUACAAUUCAAAUGCACAUCUAAUUUCAAUUCCCCUUGGAAAACCUCCACACUUUGAUGGAGAGGACUACUCGUUUUGGAGUCAUAAAAUGCAUAGUCAUUUAUUCUCUCUCCAUCCUAGCAUUUGGGAAAUUGUAGAGAAUGGGAUGCACUUCGAUAGUACGGAUAACCCUGUGAUAAUUAAUGAACAGAUUCAUAAAAAUUCCCAAGCUACUACUGUCUUGCUAGCUUCACUUUGCAGGGAUGAAUAUAAUAAGGUGAGUGGCUUGGACAACACCAAGCAAAUCUGGGACACCCUCAAGAUCUCACAUGAGAGAAAUGAUGCUACGAUGAUCACCAAAAUGAAACUGGUGGAAGGCGAGUUGGGAAGAUUCGCCAUGAUCAGGGGAGAAGAGCCAACACAAACCUACAACAGGCUCAAGACCCUAGUUAACAAGAUCCGAAGCUAUGGAAGCCCCAGAUGGAUGGAUCAUGAUGUCAUCCGACUCAUGCUAAGGUCAUUUACUGUAAUUGACCCCCAUCUUGUCAAUCUUAUUCGUGAGAAUCCUAGGUACACCAAGAUGACGCCCGAGAAGAUUCUUGGAAAUUUUUUGAGCGGGCGCAUGAUGGUGAAGGAGGCUCGAUACAUGGACGAUGCUCGAAACGGUCCACUACCUAUCUACGAGCCUCAACCUGUUGCUCUUAAGGCAACCAGUAGCAGGGAGGUGCUUCCAAACAAGGUGGCACAAGUGGAUGCUGCUGGCCUCAACGAGGAUGAGAUGGCGCUUAUCAUCAAGCGCUUCAAGACCGCGCUUAAAGGACGCACGGAGUACCCCAACAAGAACAAAACAAGGGGAAAGCACUCCUGCUUUAAAUGCGGUAAGACGGUCACUUUAUUGCAAAUUGUCCCGAUAAUGAUAGUGACCAGGGACAAGAAAAGAGCGGGAAGAAGAAGAAAAAGAAGAACUACAGGAAGGCAAAGGGUGAGGCGCACCUUGGAAAGGAAUGGGACUCAGACUGCUCCUCCUCCGACUCUGACGACGAAGGACUCGCUGCCUCGACCUUCAACAAAUCAUCACUCUUCCCCAACGAACGCCAUACAUGUCUUAUGGCCAAGGAGAAAAAGGUACGUGCUCGGGACACACCCAAGUACACUUCAUCUAGUGAUGAAGAAUCCUCCGAUGAUGAAGUAGAUUACACUAGUUUAUUUAAAGGUUUAGAUAGAGCCAAAGUAGAGAAAAUUAAUGAAUUAAUUGAUGCUCUAAAUGAAAAAGAUAGAUUGCUAGAGAAGCAAGAAUAUAUUUUGUAUGAAGAACAUGACAAGUUUAUUAGUGUUCAAAAAUCCCUUGCUCUAGAAAUUAAAAAGAAAUGAAAUGCUAUCCUCUGAGUUGUCUGCUUGCCAUGAAUCUGUUUCUAGUUUAAGGAGUUUAAAUGAUGAAUUAAAUGCUAAACUAGAGGAAGUUAAUAAAUCUAGUUCAUGUGUAGAGCAUGUUGUUAUUUGUAAUAGAUGUAAGGAUUUUGAUGUUGAUGCCUGUAAUGAACAUAUUGCUUCCAUUACUAAAUUAAAUGAUGAGGUGGCAAGUCUUAAUGCUCAACUUAAGACUUGCAAAAUUGAGUUUGAUAAAUUAAAAUUUGCUAGGGAUGCCUACACUAUUGGUAGACACCCCUCUAUUAAGAAUGGACUUGGUUUUCUAAAGGAAACCAAGAACUUAACAAGCCAAAAGGCUCCCGUUCUCAACAAGGAGAAAGGGAAGGCCCCUAUGGCUAGUAGUUCUCAAAAAUGUCAUGCCUACAUUUAUGAUAGAAAAUUUUCUAGGAAUGCUUAUAAUGAUAGAGACUAUGAUCAUGCUAUGAUUGCUUCUAGCUCUACUUUUGUGCAUAGUAGAAGUAGGCCUAGGAAAAAUCAUGUUGUGCAUCACGUGCCUAGGAAAAUGUGUAAUAAACCUACUACCGUUUUUCAUGCUUGCAACACUUCGUUUGUACUUUCAUGUAAGAAUGAAAAAGUGGUUGCUAGGAAGUUGGGAUCCAAAUGCAAGGGAGACAAGACUUGUAUUUGGGUUCCAAAAAUUAUUGUGACUAACCUUGUAGGACCCAACAAGAGUUGGUUACCUAAAACCCAAGCUUAAAUUCCUUGCAGGUUUAUGCAUCCGGGGGCUCAAGCUGGAUUAUUGACAGCGGAUGCACAAACCACAUGACGGGGGAGAAGAAGAUGUUCACCUCCUACGUCAAGAACAAGGACUCCCAGGAAACGAUCAUCUUUGGAGAUGGGAACUAAUGCAAGGUCAAAGGUUUGGGCAAGAUAGCCAUCACCAACGAGCACUCCAUAUCGAAUGUAUUUCUAGUAGAGUCGCUUGGUUACAACCUUCUGUCUGUAAGUCAAUUGUGUCACAUGGGCUACAAUUGUCUUUUUACAAAUGUUGACGUAUCUGUCUUUAGAAGGAGUGAUGUUUCAUUAGCUUUUAAGGGUGUAUUAGACGACAAACUCUACUUAGUUGAUUUUUCGAAAGAGGAGGCCGAUCUAGAUGCAUGCUUAAUAGCUAAGACUAGUAUGGGCUGGCUGUGGCAUCACCGUCUAGCACAUGUUGGGAUGAAGAACCUUCAUAAACUUCUAAAGGGAGAACAUGUGUUAGGACUAACCAAUGUUUUUUUCGAGAAAGAUAGGCCUUGUGCAGCAUGUCAGGCAGGGAAACAGGUGGGAAGCACUCAUCAUAGGAAGAAUGUGAUGACAACAUCAAGACCACUGGAGCUUCUUCACAUGGACCUCUUCGGACCCGUUGCCUAUCUUAGCAUCGGGGGAAGUAAGUAUGGUCUUGUAAUUGUUGAUGAUUUUUCCCGCUUCACUUGGGUGUUCUUUUUGCAGGAUAAAUCAGAAACCCAAGGGACCCUAAAGCGCUUUCUAAGGAGGGCUCAAAACGAAUUUGAGCUAAAGGUGGAAAAGAUAAGGAGCGAUAAUAGGUCCAAGUUCAAGAAUUUGCAAGUUGAGGAAUAUCUUGAGGAGGAAGGCGUCAAGCACGAGUUCUCCGCUCCCUACACACCACAGCAAAACGGUGUGGUAGAGAGGAAGAACAGGACGCUUAUCGACAUGGCGAGAAUGAUGCUUGGAGAGUUCAAGAGGCCCGAGCGAUUUUGGUCGGAAGCUGUGAACACAGCUUGCCACGCCAUAAACCGGCUCUAUCUGCAUCGCCUUCUCAAGAAGACCUCCUACGAACUCCUUACCGGUAACAAACCUAAUGUCUCCUACUUUCGUGUAUUUGGGAGCAAAUGUUACAUUCUGGUGAAGAAAGGUAGACAUUCUAAAUUUGCUCCUAAGGCAGUAGAAGGGUUUUUACUAGGGUAUGACUCAAAUACAAAGGCGUAUAGAGUCUUCAACAAAUCAUCGGGUUUGGUUGAAGUCUCUAGCGACGUUGUACUUAAUGAGACUAAUGGCUCUCCAAGAGAGAAAGUUGAUCUUGAUGACAUAGAUGAAGAUGAUGUUCCAACGGCCGCAAUGCGCACGAUGGCAAUUGGUGAUGUGCGACCACAGGAACAACAGGAGCAAGAUCAGCUAUCUCCCUCCACAUUGGUGCAUCCUCCAACUCAAGACGGUGAACAGGGACCUCAAGAAGAGGGACAAGAUCAAGGGGGAGCACAGGAAGAACAAGUGAUGGAGGAAGAAGCACCACGUGCCCCUCCAACUCAAGUCCGAGCAACGAUCCAAUGACAUCACCCCAUUGACCAGAUUCUGGGUGACAUAAGCAAAGGAGUAACUACGCGCUCAAGAUUAGCUAACUUUUGUGAGCAUUACUCGUUUGUCUCUUCUAUUGAGCCUUUCAGGGUAGAAGAGGCCUUGCAGAAUCUGGAUUGGUGUUGGCCAUGCAGGAAGAGCUCAACAACUUCAAGAGAAAUGAAGUUUGGAACCUGGUGCCAUGUCCAAAGCAAAAUGUUGUGGGAACCAAGUGGGUGUUCCACAACAAGCAAGACGAGCACGGGCUGGUGACAAGAAACAAGGCUCGACUUGUGGCAAAAGGUUAUGCCCAAUCGCAGGUUUGGAUUUCGAGGAGACUUUUGCUCCUGUGGCUAGGCUAGAGUCUAUUCGAAUUUUAUUAGCCUAUGUCGCUCUCCACUCUUUCAGGCUAUUUCAAAUGGAUGUGAAGAGCGCUUUUCUCAAUGGGCCAAUAAAGGAGGAGGUAUACGUGGAACAACCCCCUGGCUUUGAGGAUGACAGGUACCCCGACCAUGUGUUCAAGCUCUUUAAGGCGCUAUGGACUUAAGCAAGCCCCAAGAGCAUGGUAUGAAUGCCUUAGAGAUUUCUUAAUUGCUAAUGCCUUCAAGGUUGGGAAAGCUGGUCCCACUCUUUUUACAAAGACUUGUGAUAGUGAUCUUUUUGUGUGCCAAAUUUAUGUCGAUGACAUAAUAUUUGGUUCUACUAAUCAAAAGUCUUGUGAGGAGUUUAGCAGGGUGAUGACACAAAAGUUCGAGAUGUCGAUGAUGGGCGAGUUGACCUAUUUCCUUGGGUUCCAAGUAAAGCAACUCAAGGACGGCACCUUCAUCUCCCAAACGAAGUACACAAAAGAUCUUCUCAAGCGGUUUGGGAUGAAGGACGCCAAGCCCGCGAAGACACCGAUGGGAACCGACGGGCAUGUUGACCUCAACAAAGGAGGUAAAUCUGUUGAUCAAAAGGCAUACCGGUCCAUGAUAGGUUCAUUGCUUUAUUUAUGUGCUAGUAGACCGGACGUUAUGCUAAGUGUAUGCAUGUGUGCUAGAUAUCAAUCCGACCCAAGGAAUGUCACCUUGUGGCCGUUAAGCUAAUUCUUAGAUAUUUAGUUUCUACGCCUUGCUUCGGGAUUUGGUAUCCAAAGGGGUCUACCUUUGACUUGAUUGGAUACUCAGACUCCGAUUAUGCCGGGUGCAAGGUUGAUAGGAAGAGCACAUCAGGGACGUGCCAAUUUUUAGGAAGGUCCCUAGUGUCCUGGAGCUCUAAGAAACAAACAUCUGUUGCCCUAUCCACCGUUGAGGUCGAGUAUGUUGUCGCAGGACAGUGUUGCGCGCAACUACUUUGGAUGAGGCAAACCCUCCGGGACUUUGGCUACAAUCUGAGCAAAGUCCCACUCCUAUGUGACAAUGAGAGUGCAAUCUGCAUGGCGGAUAAUCCUGUUGAACACAGCCGCACUAAGCACAUAGACAUCCGGCAUCACUUCCUGAGAGACCACCAGCAAAAGGGAGAUAUCAAGGUGUACCAUAUUAGCACCGAGAACCAGCUAGCCGAUAUCUUUACCAAGCCGUUGGAUGAGAAAACUUUUUGCAGGUUGCGUAGUGAGCUAAAUGUCUUAGAUUCGCGUAACUUGGAUUGAUCUAUAGCAUACAUAUGUUCUAUGCCUUUGAUCAUGUUACUUUAUGCAUUUAAAUCCAUUCUUGUGGUGCUCAAGUUGUACACGUGAUCCCCGGACCUCACAAGUCCAUUAGCAAGUGAUGCACAUAUUAAGGGGGAGAUGUGCUACAACUUACCUUUUGAGACUAACCUGGUUGUUUGAGUAUACUUGAUAUAGUCUAAAAGGUGCAUUGAAAGGGAAAUGUGGACUUGGACGAUGCAAAGACUUCCACUGCACUCCGGUAUUAGUGUAAUUAAUUCCAAGUUCAUACUUCUGCUCUUAUUGCCUUUUUGCUCUUAAUUGACAUUUUUGGUGAGGCAAUAGGGUUAAACGGCAAAAAAUGAUCCGUUUUUGUGCUUAAUGCCAAAGGGGGAGAAAUUAAGGCCAAAGCAACUGGAUCAGCCAACCACUUGAGAAAUUUGAAAAUAGUAGAGUUAGUUUUUGAUUUGUCCAAAAUACUCUUAUUGCAAAAUUAGGUCUCUUGUGGGGGAGAAUUUUGAUUAUGGGAAAAGGAGGAGUUUUUGGCACUUGAUCAAUUUUACUCUUGGAAUAACUCUAUAUGUGCCCAAAAUAAGUGUGUUUGACUUAGAGAUAGAAAAAAGAAUUUGAUUUGCAAAAACAAACCAAGUGGUGGCAAAGAGUGAUCCAAAUAUGCCAAAUCAUAAGCAAAAACAAUUUGGUCUUCAAUUUGAAUCGAUAUUGCACUUCUUUUGUUGCUUUUUGAUGUGUUGGCAUAAAUCACCAAAAGGGGGAGAUUGAAAGGGAAAUGUGCCCUUGGGCAAUUUCUAUAAGUAUUUUGGUGAUUAUAUGCCCAACACAUUAUUUGAGUACUAAUAUGCUAAAUGUGUGAAAGUUGCAAAUCAAAGUAAAAGAUAUGUUUCUAGACUUAGUACAUUGUUUUUUGUGAACUAACAUUGUUUGUCUAAGUGCUAGAAACAGUGCCAAAAAGAGAGGAAUCGGAUUGCAAAAGACUUGGCUGUGAGCAGCAAAACUUCAGCUCGGACUGGCACACCGGAUUGUUCGGUGGUGCACCGGACAGUGUCCGGUGCGCCAGGCUGGUCUCUGGUGAAAGUGUUGCUCUCGGGAAUCGAUGACGGUGUAUGACUAUAAUUCACCGGACUAUUCUGUGGUGCACCGGACUGUCCGGUGAGUCAUCCGCGGUGAACUCGUCGCUCUCGGGAAACGAAAAAGGAGACGUGGCUAUAAUUCACCGGACUGUCCGGUGGUGCACCGUACUGUCCGGUGAGCCAACGGCCGGCCGCGAAAUCUGCGGGCGCCGUGUGGCAGCUCCAACGGUCGGCGGGGGGCACCAGACAGUGUCCGGUGCACCAACGGGCCCGGAGCUGCAACGGUCGUCUGUGCCUGAUUUGGAAGGAAAUCGCGCACCGGACAGGCUACAGUGGUUGUCCGGUGGCACACCGGACUGUCCGGUGCGCCACUCGACAGAAGGCAAGGAUGGCCUUCCAAUUUUGCAUACAACGGCUCCUAGCUGUCUUGGGGCUAUAAAAGGGACCCCUAGGCACAUGGAGGAGUUACCUAAGCAUUCUAAGGCUCCCACACUCUGCCUCCGCAUUUGAUCGAUUGUGUUAGUGAUUUGAGCUCCGUUCGAGUUGUGAACUCUCUGUGCUACGUUUUGAGCUCACGUCUUGGCUUGUGUGAGUGUGUGUGCUACGGAUUUGUGUGUUGUGUGUGUUGCUCUCCUAGCCUUACUCUUGUGUCGUCUUUGUGAUCUUUAUUGUAAGGACGAGAGGCUCCAACUUGUGUAGAUUCCUCGCAAACGGGAGAAAGACUAUAAGGAAGAAAGCCGUGGUAUUCAAGUUGAUCAUCGGAUCACUUAAAAGGGGUUGAGUGCAACCCUCGUCCAUUGGGACGCCACAACGUGGAAGUAGGCAAGUGUUACUUGGCCGAACCACGGAUAAAAUUGUGUGUCUCUUGUGAUUGCUCUCUUUGUGAUUGUUUUGUCCACAAGAACUCGCCUCAAAACUACUUAGUCGCACCAACACCUCUAUAACUAAGUUUUGUGGCUAUUUAGUGUUUAAUUUUACAGGAUCACCUAUUCACCCCCCUCUAGGUGCUCUCAAAAGACCGGGUCUCUUUCAACCCUUUCCCUCUCUCAAACGGUCACUUAGACCGAGUGAGAUUUCUCCUUAAUCAAACGGGGCACUUAGACCCCGCAAGGACCACCACACACUUAGAUGUCUCUUGCUUUGAUUACAAGUCACUUGGGAACAAGAAUGAGGAAGGAAGAAAGCAAUCCAAGCAACAAGAGUGCAAGAACACGAACAAACACUCUCUCAAGUCACUAGGUGGUUGUAAUGAGUUUGGGACUUGGAGAGGCUUUGAUCUUUUGAUUUGUGUCUAUGAGUGAAUGCACAAGCUCUUGUAUUGAAUGAAAACUUUAGAAGACUUGGAUGCUUGGAGUUGCGGUGGUUGGGGGGUAUUUAUAGCCCUCAACGACCAACAAGCCGUUUGGGAAGGCUGGUGUCGAUGGGCGCACCGGACAGUUCGGUGCGCCACCGGACAGUUCGGUGCGCCACCGGACAGUUCGGUGCGCCACCGGACACUGUCCUGUGCGCCGCCACGUCACCCAACCGUUAGGGUUCGGGAGCUGUUGAGCGUUGGCGCUGUUGUCUUCUUGUGGCACCGGACAGUCUAGUGCCACACCGGAUAGGUCCUGUUCACUGUCUGGUGCGCCUCUGACUCUGCGCUCUAACUCUGUCGCGCAUUGUUCUUCACUGUAGCGUUGUCAGCGCUCUUUUUGCAGUCGACCGUUGCGUUGGAUAGCCGUUGCUCCGCUGGUGCACCGUACAGUCCGGUGACACACCGGACAGUCCGAUGAAUUAUAGCGGAGGUCGCCUGGAGAAACCCGAGAGUGGCUGGUUUGAGUUUUACGGUCCUGGUGCACCGGACACUGUGCGGUGGCACACCGGACUGUCCGGUGCGCUGUUCUUUGGCACACUCUGGUUUCUUUGCUCCUUUGAAUUUGGAUCCCUAACUUGAAUAUUUAUUGGUUUGUGUUGAACCUUUAUGCACCUGUAGAACAUAUAUUCUAGAGCAAACUAGUUAGUCCAUAUAUUUGUGUUGGGCAUUCAACCACCAAAAUUACUUGUGGAAAAGGUUAACCCUAUUUCCCUUUCAAUCUCCCCCUUUUUGGUGAUUGAUGCCAACACAAACCAAAGCAAAUAUAUAAAGUGCAGAAAUGAACUAGUUUGCAUAAGGUUAGUGCAUAGGUUACUUAGAGUUAAACCAAUUUGAUAAUUUCACUAGAUAUAAAUGGAUUGCUUUCUUUUAUUUUACAUUUUGGACCACGUUUGCACCACUUGUUUUAUUUUUGUAAAAUCUUUUCAAAAUCUUUUUGCAAAUAGUCAAAGGCAUAUAAAUAAGAUUGCCAGAAGCAUUUUCAAGAUUUAAAAUUUCUUCCCCUAUUUCAAAUGCUUUUCCUUUGACUUAGCAAAACUCCCCCUGAAUGAGAUUCUCCUCUUAGUUUUCAAGAGGGUUUUAAUAGAUACUAAUUUUGAAAAUCUUCCUUUAAAUAUAUCAAUUAUAUAACAAUUUAGAAAAAAAUUGAAACACAAUUAAAAUUAGGUGGUGGUGCGGUCCUUUUGCUUUGGGCUUAAUACUUUCUCCCCCUUUGGCAUUAAUCGCCAAAAACGGAGACUUUGAGAGCCCUUUUUAUAUUUUCUCCCCAGUGGUACAAGUAGAUAUGAGUGAAGGAUUAUACCAAUUGAGAGUGUUGUGGAGUGACGACGAAGGAUAAAUGAUACCGUUAGAGUGGAGUGGAAGCCUUGUCUUCGUCGAAUACUCCAUUUCCCUUUCAAUCCACGACUUAGUAUAGAAAUAUACUUGGAAACACAUUAGUCGUAGCCUUGGUACAUAAGAAAUAUGCAUUUGUACCAAAUGAAAGAGACAUGAUCAAAUAUAUAUAAAUGAGCUAUGUGUGCAAUGUUUCAGUAAAAUUCUGAGAAUCAAGAAUAUUUAGUUCAUUCCUAAGUUUGGUAAAGGUUUUCUCAUCUAAAGGCUUGGUAAAGAUAUCGGCUAAUUGUUCUUUGGUGCUAACAUAAGCAAUUUCGAUAUCCCCCUUUGUUGGUGAUCUCUCAAAAAGUGAUACCGAAUGUCUAUGUGCUUAGUGCGGCUGUGUUCAACGGGAUUAUCCGCCAUGCGGAUUGCACUCUCAUUGUCACAUAGGAGAGGACUUUGCUCAAUUUGUAGCUAUAGUCCCUGAGGGUUUGCCUCAUCCAAAGUAAUUGCGCACAGCAAUGGCCUGCAACAAUGUACUUGGCUUCGGCCAUGGAAAGAGCUACUGAAUUUUGUUUCUUUGAAGCCCAAGACACCAGAGAUCUCCCUAGAAACUGACAAGUCCCUGAUAUGCUCUUCCUAUCAAUUUUACACCCUGCCCAAUCGGCAUCAGAAUAUCCUAUUAAAUCAAAAGUAGAUCCCUUGGGGUACCAAAGUCCAAACUUAGGAGUGUAAACUAAAUAUCUCAUGAUUCUUUUCACGGCCCUAAGGUGAACUUCCUUAGGAUCGGCUUGGAACCUUGCACACAUGCAUACGGAAAGCAUAAUAUCCGGUCGAGAUGCACAUAAAUAGAGUAAAGAUCCUAUCAUCGAUCGGUAUACCUUUUGAUCUACGGAUUUACUUCCCGUGUCGAGGUCGAGAUGCCCAUUGGUUCCCAUGGGUGUCUUGAUGGGUUUGCCAUCCUUCAUCCCAAACUUCUUAAGUAUGUCUUGAAUGUAUUUUGUUUGGCUGAUGAAGGUGCCCUGUUGGAGUUGCUUGAUUUGAAAUCCUAGGAAAUACUUCAACUCCCCAUCAUCGACAUCUUAAAUUUCUGAAUCAUGAUCCUACUAAACUCUUCACAAGUAGAUUUGUUAGUAGACCCAAAUAUGAUAUCAUCAACAUAAAUUUGGCAUACAAACAAAUCUUUGCAAUAGUUUUAGUAAAGAGUGUAGGAUCGGCUUUUCCGACUUUGAAGCCAUUAGUGAUAAGGAAAUCUCACAGGCAUUCAUACCAUGCUCUUGGGGCUUGCUUGAGCUCAUAAAGCGCCUUUGAGAGUUUAUACACAUGGUUAGGUGUAGCAUCCCAAAAAUUCAAAUCUUGGAAUUUUCUCAAACUCGCUCUAAAUUCAAAAUGAAUUUCAAAUUUCAUUUCAAAAUGUUUGUUUGCGAGUUGAUAUCAGCAAAUAAAAUAUAGUGGUCUAUAUUCUCUCCAAAAUCCUCCUCAAAUAUCCUACAAAUGUUUCUCCAGUGAUCCCCCUCAAAUUCUUUCCAGAAAUACUGCCAGAUAUUUCCCGAGUAAUCCCCUUCAAGUUCUUUCCAGAAAUAUUGCCCAAAUAUUCCACCAAUAUAUCUCCAAGUAUUUUCCUCUUGAGAAAUACCUUCAAAAUCAUUUUCAAGUCCCUACAAAUAUUUUCUUCAUAACUUUCCUCAUGCUCAUACGUAUACGUAUGCCUCCAGUGUCAUACGGUGAGCUCUACAAGCUAAUUACACUCAUAUAAGACAAAUCCAUGCUAAUCUCCCACUAAUCCUCUCAUCCUCCCACUAAUCCUCUCAUCCCUCCCCCUAAUCUCCCACCAUGGCUAUAAAUAGAGGGGCAAGGGCCUCCUCUCAUCCCACCCCAAGCCAUUUCAUGGAAACUCUCUUCCCCCCCACACACACCCACUCCAUGUUCCACACAAGCACACACUAGCACAAGGAUCGUUCGAUCGUUCUUCGAUCGUUCGUCCCCCUGUUCUUAGUUUGUUCGUUCGUUCGUCCGAUCGCUCGAUUGUUCGUUCGUCCGUUCGUCCGAUCGUUCGAUCGUUCAUCCGUUUGUUCGUCCAAAUAAUCUUUUUCCUGCCGUUAUGCUGCCGAAAUUCCGAUCGUUCGUUCGUUCGAUCAUUCGAUCGUUCAUCGUUCGUUCAUAGUUCCUAUUCAUCGUUCACCGUUCGUUCAUAGUCCCUAUUCAUCGUUCUUCUAGAUAAUCUUUGUCCUGCCGUUAUGCUGCCGAAAUUCCGAUCGUUCGUUCGUCCGAUCAUUCGAUCAUUCGUCCGUUCGUUCGUCUAAAUAAUCUUUUUCCUGCCGUUAUGCUGCCGAAAUUCCGAUCGUUCGUUCGUUCGAUCAUUCGAUCGUUCAUAGUUCCUAUUCAUCGUUCAUCGUUCGUUCAUACGAACUAUUUACCAUCACUAUUCACCAUUACUAUUCAUCGUUACUAUUCACCAUUAGUAUUUAUUAUCGUUACAAUUCAUCGAUGAUAUCUAUAAUAACUUUUCGUCGUCGCUAUUCAUCGUUACUAUUCAUCGAUCAUCCGAUCGCCCCAAAUUUCAACUACUCAUCCAUCAUGCUGUCCAGUCCACCUAAGACCAGCCAGACCCAUAUUCCAGUCAUACGAACUCCGGUGACUGUGAUUUUCCUUCCAGUAGGGAACUUCCCAUCUGGUCACUCAUCCCAGGUUUCUCCAAGUUGAGCACGCUUAACUUUGAGAUUCCUUCGAACUAGGCUUCCAAACUUAGAUUCCAAUAAUUCUUUUUCUAAAUUCUUAUCGAAUUAUUCCCUAUCCAACCAUGUCAUCCCUUAAGCAUGGUUCAUAUUCCAGAAAACUUCCAAAAUACUCUUGUCCCAUAUUCUGCCUAUAACUCUCCUGUUCAUACUAAGUCAGACGAUUCAUUCGUCACUAUUCUCACCAACAGUGAACUUCACUGUGCUACACCACAUACACCCAGCUAUAAAUACACCCAGCUACCCUCUCCCUCUCCACACACGCUCAACACCCUCAGCCAAGGAAAACACCCCACCCACUCAGUUACUCCGCUCUACCGGCUACACGCAUAGUGUCGCUUCGCCUCCAGUCCACCCUCCUGGUAAGCACCUCCGCUCCACCACCAGUAAUAUCACAACACCACAUGACACAGAUUCUACUCAAGACUCUACACAUCCAUAUAUCGCUAUUCUAACCGCUAUACUAAAUAUUUGUUGGUAUACUUGCUGGUUUGUAUGUUUGCUUGCUCAUGUUGCAUAGUGUUGGUGACUUGUUCUCAAAUGCUAAGAGUUAAGAACAAGGAAACAUAAAAAGUGUUAAAUGUUAAAAUCCUUCAUCUUUCAAGACAUUAUAUCCCUUCGGAUAUAAUGAAUUCCGGACGAAGCUUAUGAAGGAAGGGACCUUCGUAAGUUUCAUAGAUGACAAAGAGGAAUGCACAUAUAAAAUACGAAUAAUAAUACAGAUAUUAUCAUCAAUUUAUUUUUAUUUGCAUUAUCAUAUUUAUAAUAACAAAUUAUAAAUGUACCUUCGGUUUGAUGGAAAGUAAAGGUACAGCGUGAUGCGAAAAGCGAAUGCCAAGUCAGCGUGAACAGUACGGGAGUACUGUUCAUCUAUUUAUAGGCACGGGACGCAGCCCGUGUAGAAUUACAUUAAUGCCCUUUACAUUUAUCAAUAACUCUAUAGUAAUUCUUCGAGGUCUAAUUUGGCUUUUCAUCUUUAAUUCGGUUCCCCUUUUCUGCUGUCAUGCCAAAGCUUUUCUGCGUAGCUUCGUGAUCAUCUUAUCCUUCGUCAUGAGCGCCCUUCGUCCCAUUCAAGCUUCGUCUUGACCAUACUCUUGUAUACCCGUAACCUGAUUCCGAAGAUACCUGUUCACAUAUCUCACUUGGAAAACAUUGUCAAAUCAUGUUUUUGAGGACCUUCGGAAGCCGAAGGCCCCCAACAGUAGCCCCUCGCAAUAUUAAUUUGCUAGAAUGAUAAAUUCAUAUUGCGACAUGGACGAAGGCUUUAAGCCGAAGGUCCGAAAAAACACCUUCCCUUUGCUAGAAUAGCAACAAUCAUUGACAAGCGGGACCCCCUAGUUUUCAACGCACUAGGCAUAUAAAUAAGAGCUCACCACGAGUUUAUUUGGCACGCUUUCUUGUCAUCUGCUCUUGCUCACUCAACUUUUAGCCUGUGCGCAACAACACUUGCUUGGCUUUUUAAAUUUGUAAGCUUCAGUUUCGAGAGCACGUUCUCAGCGUUUGUGAAGAUGUCUGAGGAUAAGAAAGUUGUUGGUGAUUCGAAGCUGAGCCUUUCUGAGGAGAUGCAUCUGGGCUUUCUUCAAUCGAUGUCAAAGACCAAUACAGAGAAGAUUACUAGGGAGAUUUUGGAGGGUUUAUCUGAAGAUACUGGUGACAGUGACAGUUAUGAUGUGGAUAGUGGUGGUGAAGACUCCGAAGAUCGACCUUGGCGACCAAGCCAUGCGGUUUUUGGUAAAUCGAGUAUUAAAGAAAGUCAUCUUGUCAAUAUGAGGGGCAGGUAUUUUCGGGACUUGUCUGUUGUGAGGGCUGACGAGGGAGAGAAGACUUGUCCGACUCCCGAGGAGAAUGAAGUCGUGAUAUUCUGAAGCUUCUUAAAGGCUGGACUACGAUUUCCCUUGAGCAGUUUUGUUGUGGAAAUACUGAAGAUAUUUGAAAUCUACCUUCAUCAACUUACUCCCGAAGCAAUCAUGAGGAUGGGCAUCUUUGUGUGGGCCGUGAGGAGCCAAGGUUUAGAACCUAAUGCAAAAAGUUUCUGCAACAUACAUGAGCUAUUGUAUGAGACAAAACCCUAGGGUAAAGAGCAGUAUCACAACAAUUUUGGCUGCUGCAGCUUCAACGCCCGGUCUGGGUCAAGCUGCCCCGUGCCAACCUUUCGGAAGAGGUGGCCCGGCGACUAGAUGACGAAAUGGUUUUAUGUGAAGAAUGACUUGAAAACACGGGAAGAUAUUAAAGAUAUCAUUAUGCGCCCUAUCUGGCAACGCUUCGGCCUCCGGAGGCCGAAGGUGGAAAUGAAUGAAGCAGCCGAAGAAUGACAGAGAGCCUUCGGCGUGGUUUGCUCUUUUAUUGGGGCAAGGGAUUUGGUUCAAGAACACAUUGCCUUCAGAAUAUGGCCACUUGUAGAACAGUGGGGAAUGCCGAAGGAGACCGUUAAAGAAACUGAUGAAGGUGGGUUGGUUAGGCUAAAAUACACAUUCCAAUAUGGAGAUAAAUUCGUCGAGCCAGAUGAUGACUGGCUAAAAGGUAUUGAGACCGUAAGUGAUGAAUUGCUUGGAGUGUACUCAAAGGUCGAAGAUACUGCAUUAUCAGCGGCCUUCGGAGGCCGAAAGAAGAAGAGACUCAACCGAGUAUUUGAUGCAAUUGGAUUUGUCUACCCCGACUACCACUAUCCAACGCGGGGUCAAAAAAGAAAGAAUACGUCUUCUGCGAAGGAAACUGCUUCAGCUGCUCCUAGCGAGCCAGCGCCGAAGAGGAAAAGGGUAAAGGUUCUCACACACCGGCCACAUUAUAUUGAACCGGCCACAGUGCCUGAGUUCGCCGGUGAGACCUCUUCGGCCACCGAAGCUAAAGAGCCAACCCCCCUGCCAAAUAUUGAAGGGCUGGCCGAAGUGCCAGCGACGAAAAAAUAGAAGAAUCGAGGGCUGAAGAAACAAAGACAUCAGAAGUUUUAAGUCCUUCAACAAAAAUUGAGGCAGCAAAAAGCCAAAAGGGUCCAGCAGUGACCCCCAAAAGAAAAAGGAUGGUUAACGUGCUGGAUGUUUUGGAGACAAUUAAGUCUUCAAGCACGACUCCGAAGAAAAUUGUUGAAACUUCCGAAGUGCACAUUGAAGCCUUUGUUGCUGAAGCUUCAAAGAACCAAGCAGAAACUAAAGCUGGGCCUUCCGAGCCCGCCAAGGUGAAAUCCUUGGAAGCCGAAGAAACAGAAACAACAGAACAAAUUCUGACUGAAGAAACUGGUACUGCUGCCCCCGAAGCAUCUUCCGCAGUACUUGAUUAUAUUGUACGACAUGCUUCGGGAAAAAGAUUAUCUGAAGAAGAGGUUUUUGAAGCUAAUCACUAUGCCCGAGAACUAAAGUAUCCAAAAGGGGCCUUAGUAUUCAAUGGCACAGACGAAGAUGACUUCUUAUACUGCCUCCCAAACAACAAAGAAUUAUCUGUCUGCCGGGAGAUGACUAGAAGUAUGGGGUUCCCGAAGCUUGAAGCUGGCCUCUGCGCUAUGACAAAGAACGAUCUUGCAGAUAGCCUCGCAUAUAAUAGUCUGAAGGUAUGAAAAUUGUAUAUUUGGAAGUUUAUAAUUUUUGAAUUAUUAUUUUAUUUUUAUACUAAUUCUUUUCAUAUAGGGUUUAAUACUUAGCAACGCUUUGAGAGCGCAAAAGAAUGCUGAAGACGAGAGCUAUAAUAUUGCUUUCAACAACCUACGAACAGAGGUUAUUAAGCUGAGGAACGAAGCUUUGGAAAAAGAUAAAAUUCUGCUUACAUUGGUGGAUAAGAUAAAAGAAGACGAAGCUACUUCUAAAGCUCAAGCCGAGGCUCAGAAGCGCGAAAUUGAGGAUCUUCGGAAACAGUUAGCCAGAGCUAAAGAAGAACACAUACUUGAAGAGACGAAGCGAGAACUUAGUGACCAGUGGGCAAAUCAUUUAGAAAGAAACGUUGAAGAGCUUCGUGCAUCCAAGAAAAGGUGCUAUAACAAAUCUAUAGAAUGCGCUAAGAAAAUAAAAACCAGCUUCGCCAGUGUUGGCGCAUUCUCGAGUGAAGAAAACUUCACAAGGGGUGACCCCGAAGGCCCAAUUGAAUGGAUCAGUCACGAAGCUGAGGCCUUUGAGGAAAUCUUGAAUAGCCACGGAGACAUAUGUGCCUUUUCGGGUGCCAGGGGGAUUGCUACUAUUUUGGAGAGGAAAGGCUGUGAGCAUGUGAAAUCUUUGGCACAAUCCGAAACUGCCUUAUCCUCCGAAGAUAUAAAAGGUCCCUCGGCCGAAGCAAGCCUGGUCGGUGGAAAAUUUUUCACCGACAUCUGGGACAAUGGUGGCCGAGAAAUGGCCCAAGAAAUUAUUCAAAAAAGCAAAAAAGGCAUUCAUGAUGCUAGAAAAGUAGCAGAGGCCGCUGAGAAAAGCGCAGAGCCUGAAGGGCAAAUAGGUAUUAAUUAGUGGUUUUUGACUCUUCGUUGUAAUUUUUUGAUUUCGAACUUGUUCACGGUUUGUAAUAGUAAUAUAUCUGUAUCUUCUCUUCCCUCAGAACCUGCUGAGCUAUCUCUGGGCCCCCACACGAAGGGGGAUGACGAAAUUAGACAAAUGGUCGAAGCCAUCAUGGAUAAAGUUGUUGAUCAGCUACUAAACGAAGCUGCAGAAGUAGUCCUAAAGGAAGAUUAGAUGAUGUUGUAAAAACAUUUAGAAUGUAAUGUUUGUUUGAGAAUCAUGUGUAAUAUUUUGCAACUUUGGAUGUAAUAUAUUAGCUGUUUAUAGUUCUAUUCUUUACGAUGCAUGAAACAUCAUAUACAUACCGUUUUUGAGCCUUCGGCGAAAAAAUACCUUCCCUUCUUUUCAUGCUUCGUAAAUAAUAUCCGUGUUCUCAUAAAAUCAGUAACCAAUCCUCGUAAAAUCAAUAAUCAAUAGAUCUUUCCAUUUCAGAGUUUGACGAAGGUAUAACUCUUCAAUGGCUAUUUUUUGUGCCGUGUCACUAUUUCUUCAAAACAAUCUUCGAAUAUCAAUAUCGAGACCCCUCCUUCUUGCGUUGUUGAUGCACUAUGAUGUAUGAUGUUAUGCUAUGCAAAUGAUGUAAUGAUGUGAUGUUAUGCAAAAUGAUAUUUGCCGAAGGUUGACAUUUAUUUUUCACUGUAAGCCUCCUUUAGGAGCUUCUUCGCCUUUUACUUCAGCGGAAUCAGCGUUUAUUUUUCGUUGUAAGCCUCCCUUAGGAGCUUCUUCGCCUUUUACUUUCAGCGGAAUCAGCGCUUAUUUUUUGCUGUAAGCCUCCCUUAGGAGCUUCUUCACCUUUUACUUUCAGCGGAAUCAGCGUUUAUUUUUCGCUGUAAGCUCUGCAUUCCCUUCGGAACGACUUUUGAGCAGAAAACUUACACUGUGCUCCCUUAGGAACGACUUUUGAGGAGGAAACUUACACUGCGCUCCCUUAGGAACGACUUUUUGCUGCUUCGAAGAAAUUGCACUGCGUUCCUUAGAACAAAUUUUUGAUAAUUCGAAGGUCCUCCGUGCCACCAUGAAUUUUCAUGCUUCGGCAACUCAAGCUUAUGGAGAAGAUAUAUUUUCAUUGUGGUAAAAAGCGAAAUUGUUACAAGAGAUUGAAAAACGAUAAAAAGCACUUAAACUUCCCAUAAUUGUUCCUUAUUAAAAAGAAAGUAAUACUGAAUGCAAAAAUACGAAAGGCUGCUGUCGUGGUAGGAUAUUUGUCAGUAAAUGUGCUUCGACUCUGGCACAGUGCUAUUGACUGUGCGAGCUUCGGACUCCUCUCUGAAGUCCCGCUGGAGGUGAGUGUGCUGACUCCCUUCUGGUUGCUGACCUCGUUGUGUUGGUGGUGGCGGUGGAGGCUGUUGCCAAGAUGCUUGGGGUUGGCUUGCCGAAGCAACAGAAGCUGCAGGGUGAUUGCCUACAUAUUCUGGAAUGUAAGGCGAAUGGUACGAAGCAGUAUGCAUGACCUGCUUCGGCUGACUCUGUUGUGCUGCAGCUUCUGCUAUCUCCUUUUGCUUUUGGAUGGUAACAUGGCACAUCCUGGUGGUAUGGCCUUUGUCUUCACCACAGAAUAGGCAGUAAAUUUUUCUUGGCUGAUCCCCAAAUCUUCCCCCGAAGCCCCUGGCGCCUCUGCCCCUUGGCGCUGGCGGCCGGGAAGAGCUUUGCUGCUGCCCCGAAGCUUGCGAGGAGUACUGUGGCCUUUGCUGUUGACUCCCUCUAUCAUCACUUUGAGCAGAAUUGUGAAUUGACCUGACGUGUCUCGGAUGGAAUCUUCCUCCGAAGCCCCUAGUCAUUUCAGAGAACCUGAAUGCUUCCUCCCUUCUUUGGCGAAAGUCAUUGUCAGCUCGAAUAUACUCGUCCAUCUUCUGGAGCAGCUUCUCCAAAGUUUGAGGAGGCUUCCUGGCAAAGUAUUGAGCUGAAGGUCCCGGCCGAAGUCCCUUAAUCAUGGCCUCAAUGACAAUUUCAUUGGGCACUGUUGGUUCGGGUCUAAAUGACCGUCGUACAUGGGGAGCUGGGGUGGCUUGUAAGACUGGGGCCAUGGUGUAGCCUGCAGUUCUGUUGACAGAGGAGAAGCAUCAUCAAAAGCAAAAUUUCCAUGAUGGAAAUCUUCAUGCCAGUCAUCCUCUUUGUAGAAGCCCUCCUGAUGAAGCUCUCUGCGUGGAGGCCUUCGGUUCUGGUCAUCUUGAGCAAGAUGACGAACUUCUUCCGAAGCUUCAUCUAUCUGCCUCUGUAGGUCAUAUAGACGAGCCAUCUUUUCCUUUUUUUCGUUGAACCUGUUGAUGGAGCAUCUCCAAGUUUUGGAUUUCUUGAUCCAAGUCGUCCUCCGGAGGCGUUGGACUUGUGGCCUUCCUCUUCUGGCUUCGGGCCUCCCUAAGAGAAAGGACAUCCUGAUUGGGGUCCAGCGGCUGCAGAGUGGCAGCCCCUGUUGCUGGAGCUUUCUUUGGUGGCAUGACGAAGGUGAUGCUUGCCAAAGGUGUUCAAAACUCAAAAAAUGGAAGUGAGUUCAUCGGAGGUGGGCGCCAAUGUUGGUGACUUGUUCUCAAAUGCUAAGAGUUAAGAACAAGGCAACAUAAAAAGUGUUAAAUGUUAAAAUCCUUUGUCUUUCAAGACAUUAUAUCCCUUCGGAUAUAAUGAAUUCCGGACGAAGAUUAUGAAGGAAGGGACCUUCGUAAGUUUCAUAGAUGACAAAGAGGAAUGCACAUAUAAAAUACGAAUAAUAAUACAGAUAUUAUCAUCAAUUUAUUUUUAUUUGCAUUAUCAUAUUUAUAAUAACAAAUUAUAAAUGUACCUUCGGUUUGAUGGAAAGUAAAGGUACAGGCAUGAUGAGAAAAGCGAAUGCCAAGUCAGCGUGAACAGUACGGGAGUACUGUUCAUCUAUUUAUAGGCACGGGACGCAGCCCGUGUAGAAUUACAUUAAUGCCCUUUACAUUUAUCAAUAACUCUAUAGUAAUUCUUCGAGGUCUAAUUUGGCUUUUCAUCUUUAAGUCGGUUCCCCUUUUCUGCUGUCAUGCCGAAGCUUUUCUACGCAUAGCUUCGUGAUCAUCUUAUCCUUCGUCAUGAGCGCCCUUCGUCCCAUUCAAGCUUCGUCUUGACCAUACUAUUGUAUACCCGCAACCUGAUUCCGAAGAUACCUGUUGACAUAUCUCACUUGGAAAACAUUGUCAAAUCAUGUUUUUGAGGACCUUCGGAAGCCGAAGGCCCCCAACACAUAGUUAUCGGAGCGUUCGUGUCGUCUCGUGGAGGCCAGAUCUGCAAGUCUACGCCAGGCGAUGGAGCCAGAAGCCAGUUCCGCGAGCUCUCCUUCCCCCUUCACCGGAUAAGCACGGCAAGCUCACUGGAUCCCUUUGAUGCAUAAAUUACCUAUGAUUUUUCAACCACAACCCUUAGCCUGUUAUUUUAUGCAUGAUAUGAUUUUGAGACAAGUUAUUAUGGCCACCCAAGCCGCUUGCCACAAUCAAUCCUUAAUAUAUUUGUUACAAAUGAUUUGAGAAAAGGUGUGAGUUUUUCAAAAGAAAAUGCUUUUCAAAAUGUGUAUGAUGAAGGGUUUUCACCCUUAUCACCUUUGAGUAGGGAUGAUCAGGGACUCCCUGGUUUAGGGGAGGGCCUAAGGUGAUGGCUCAGCUGGUUUAGGCGUGAGCAGAAGGAUUGUCCCCUCAUAUAAGGACCGGUUUGUCAUCCUUCACUACAUGUACUCAUGAUAAGUACAACCACUCGAGACUGUGGGCAGUCACUCAAUCUGAACUCGUACGGUCCAACCCCAGGGUUAUGAAGGCUGGGGAGCACCGAGAGGAUAAGGAGGGGGAAUGUUUUGUCCAGUUUGGACAUGGCGGUGGCCUGACUCCUUCCGGUAUAACCGUUAAGGUUAGGACGUGCGAGGAAGGAAAGGGAUUCGGAUUUGGAUCUCAUUGAUCAUGAGAUCGCAGAGCCGGACUAGUGGGUAAAGUGUACACCUCUGCGCAGAGUUUGAAAACCUAUUCGAAUAGUCUGUGUCCACAGGAUUGGAAGAGUCUGGUGUGGUAUGGCAAUUAGUGUUUUGUUUUUUUUAAAAAAUAGGUGCUUUUGAGAAAAGUGGUUUUUAAAAGGUCCGGCGGUUGAGCCGUGAGCUAUGGUGGACGGGAAGUCCAGUAGCUGUUUUUGAAAAUGAAAACCAGUGGGAAACUACUGAGAUACCUGGAUGGUUUAGUCCAGGGGAUUUUGUUCUAAUAUUGAAAAACUUCCUGCUCCCUUGGGAGAGGAUGCGCUUUGCAAAAUACAAAAUGUUUUACAAAACAACCCUGCAUAAAAUAUUGUUGUUUCUGCAAAAUAUCCUGAGCUCCACAUAUUCCAUGCAUUAUAUAUGAUUUCCCCAUUCCGUGGGUGAAGGUGGGCUGCUGAGUACAUUUGUACUCACCCUUGCUUAUUUGUUGUUUUUUAGAAAAAGGAGAUCGGGUAAGAGCUACGACUGUUCCCAACCUUGCCUGUGGCUGUUGGACCGCUGAUUUGCUUCGCUGCGUAUAUCGGGCUGCUUCAGCCCCACUCUGAUGAUAUGUCCCGAGUUGUGGACCAACUCUUAAAGUUGUUCGCCACCUUUAUAGGUUUGUCUCGUUUAAGCAGAUAUGGAAUCAUCUGAUGUAUAAAUGUGUUUACUAGCCUCCUGGGACUAGUAAUUGUAUCACAUUUGAGUCCCAGAGGAUUGGAGACGCUUCAGGUGGUAUCAGAGCUGUUAGGUUGGCUGUAGGACGUAACCCUUAGCCUGAUCCAAAAGUUUUUGAGUCAAAAAUAUUUUCUUAAAAAAAAUUCUUGCUCUCAUCCCUUCAUUUCAAAAAUUAUUUCCCCCUUUCCUUCUCUCAGAAGUCAAAUGGAGGUCCAUUGCCAAACCAGCUUUUGCCAGAAUGAAGAUGGUUUCCCCAAGUUGCUGAGAGCAUGCACAUUUCGCCUCGGAAUCAGAAGCCAGCCAGAGUAUGAUGGUCGUGAAUUCGUCGAGCAUGGCACAGAGAGGUGUGUCGUGACUAUAUACAUUGGAUCCAGUCUGCACCAUGUGGAAUGGAGUGUCACUGCUGCUGGGCACAGAUUCAAAGACACCUGCCAAGUCGUCGCCUGCAAGGCAUUGAGGGUCCUGUGUCAGAUCUAUGAAGAAGAAGUGGCUGACACCCCGCUUAGAUUCUUUCCGCCCUUUCAGAGAAACCGUCCAGUUUGGAUGGCCAGGAUGCAUGCAUUGGAAGGGCAGCAUCUGCUUGAGGACGACCUCACAGUCGUGUACCUCACUGCAUAUCUGCUCACCCUGGAUGCACAGUAUGAUUUCUUGGCUCGGCACCACCGUCAGAUGAUUGCCCGAGCAGAAGAUGCAGAGAAGCGCAACCGUAAGCUCCAUGUGGAUCUCACUACAGCUCAAGCUCGUGCAACUGCCUUGGAAAGUCGUGAAGUCAUUGCUGUUGAACCUCUGAAGCAAGCCAAGGAUGAGCACGUCCAGAAGUUGAUGGAGGCCUACUUGGUCACCCAUAACCAACGUAGAGCCCUGCGGAUCCAAGAGCCCGCUCCAUCCAACCCAGUUCAACACAUGAGAGUUGAAGAUCCCUAGAUUCUUGAAGGUCACCCGGUCUCUAUCAGAGGAGAUAAGAAGUCUUGGGAACUCCCAGAAGGAGCCAUAGUCUUGGAAGGAAUUCCCAUCUUCCCUCAGGCUAUGAAUAAGCAAGAGCACCCCGAGUCCUCCCAAGAUCCCCCGCCAGAGUUGUUUGAGCCCCUCCCAAGGAGAAGAUUCCAGCACCAUCCCUUGAAGUCAAGGAAGAAGCUGCAAGAACCCCGCCAGCACCGCCACCCUCUGAGGAGCUACAAGAGACAGUCCAGCUUGAAGAAGAGUUCGACCCCGUCUUGCCAUCUCAGUUGCCGCUAGAAGAAGUCAUCAACAUCAGCUCCCUGUUGACCCAUCCAGGAGAUGUCUCAGAUUGAAGUUGUGUGCUAGCCUUGCCAGAAGAGAAGAUGCCUGGUCUGAAGUUAGUUAUGCCGAGUCCUCUGCAUGCAUUGGGUAGUGAAGUUUUUCUUCACUUUGGCCAGAGCCCUGCAUGUAUGAGAGGUAAUCGUGUAGACUCGUGUUUUGCAAAACUCUAAUUGUGUGGCCCCCUAGGGCAUUUCAAAAUGAAUUUUGCUUGAUGUUUUCUCCUCUUUUGAGUGCAUAUGUGAUGCUUUAACAUUAGUGCUCAUAAUUCGCGUUUAGCAUAGUUCUCAAUUCAGGAGCUGAGCAAUAGUAGUUAUGCUUAGCCCCCGAAUCCAGGUAGUUCAUGAUUUGGAAAACUCUAUUCUUCCCUUAUUCAAAACAUUUGAUUUGUUUGUGCUUAUCAUUGCUGAGCUUGUGUGUUUUAUUUCUUUUUAAGAAAGGUUUUCUCUAAAAACAUAGAUCACAAAUUAGAUCCAAUCCUCACCUUAUUCUUCCAUUCUCAUCUUAACCCAUCUCAAGAUAAAAGCACUUUACCCAAGAAGAUACCGGGAAGCUUACCCUUGAAGCCUGGAACAAGCUACAGAAGAAACCAGUCCAGCCGCUCAGUCAAAAGGACUGACCGUGAGAAUCAAAGCACUACCCCUGAGUCAAAGUUAACAGAAAAAGAGGUCAAAAAGAGUUAUUACCAUACAUAGAGGCAAAGAUUCUUGAACUAGAGACCACAAACAUCAGGGUCAUUGACCCCACCACUCACCCAUGCCCCCCGCAUACGUGCCCACCUCCAUGUGCACUACCACCACCCCACGCCCCCUUUGUAGCGCACUACCGCCACCCAUGCCCCCUUUUGUAGCGCACCCACCGCCAUCGUUGCCGGCAAUAGGCCCCCUUCCCCUUAUCGCACCUGCUGCCUCGUGUCACCUGCUCCAUCACCACCACUCCGCAACCGAACACCCCCACUCGCCUAUAAAACCCCCACCAGCUCCCUCAGUUCCCAUCCCAAGCAAAGCACACGCCUGAUAAAUCCCCCCUGCCAAAUCACGAGCAAAUCCAUUUUCCACUCCCUCGCCCCUAAGAUCACAAUGCUUGGUGAUUCUUGGGUUGAAGAAUGUUGUACAUGGUUCAUAGUCUUUGGUUUCCUCCAAUGUAUGAUGGUAAUACUCUUUGAUAUAAUCCUCCAGUGGGAAGAGCAAAGAGAAAGAAAGGGUCAGUGAACAGAAGAUAGCGAAGAUAAGAUAAGAAGAAGGUUUUCCCAGAAUCAACCCCGUGUCAGUCAUCUCUCCACAGCCUGCUCAAGCAGCAACAGCAGCAGAAGGCCCCGUAACACCCUUGUUAUGAGGUACUUCAAGGAGUUCAAAUCCCCAAGAUUCAAUAGAUCUACCCUCAUUAUUUUUAAGUGGGGUAGUGUUCUAGUAAGGUUCCUGCUAUGGAGAAAAAGAAGAAGGCCUGUAGCAAGCUUGUGGAGGACCAGAUCAUCGAAGCUUAUAAGUUUCUAGAUGAGAAGUGGUCACCCAAGUUUCGUUGAUGAAGCACCAGAAGACUAAUCAAGGAAGGAAUCCAUGUGGGAGUUCGCAAGAGAAAGGUUUGCGUCUUGGCAUCGAUGCUUCAUCAAUAAGCUAGGUGCCAAGCGAAAGCUAGAAGCCUGAAGAUGAUCUUUGAGUAGCCAGAAUCAGCGUUUGCAAUCGGCAACCAGAUGCUUCUCAAAGGCCAGAUUUUGUGUAAGCUCCGUCUCCUCGAAGAGUCUGCAAAGUGAAGAUAUGUAGCUGAAGUAAAGCUAUACCCAUAACCCUUCUAAGCUGAAUCUCGAGGACGAGAUUCAUUUUAAGUGGGGUAGAUUUGUAGCAUCCCAAAAAUUCAAAUCUUGGAAUUUUCUCAAACUCGCUCUAAAUUCAAAAUGAAUUUCAAAUUUCAUUUCAAAAUGUUUGUUUGCGAGUUGAUAUCAGCAAAUAAAAUAUAGUGGUCUAUAUUCUCUCCAAAAUCCUCCUCAAAUAUCCUACAAAUGUUUCUCCAGUGAUCCCCCUCAAAUUCUUUCCAGAAAUACUGCCCAGAUAUUUCCUGAGUAAUCCCCUUCAAGUUCUUUCCAGAAAUAUUGCCCAAAUAUUCCACCAAUAUAUCUCCAAGUAUUUUCCUCUUGAGAAAUACCUUCAAAAUCAUUUUUCAAGUCCCUACAAAUAUUUUCUUCAUAACUUUCCUCAUGCUCAUACGUAUAUGUAUGCCUCCGGUGUCAUACGGUGAGCUCUACAAGCUAAUUACACUCAUAUAAGAUGUAUAGUCCACUGAUAGUCGCCUAGAGGGGGGGUGAAUAGGGCGAAACUGAAAUUUACAAAUAUAAACACAACUACAAGCCGGGUUAGCGUUAGUAAUAAAGAAACGAGUCCGCGAGAGAGGGUGGAAAACAAAUCGCAAGCAAAUGAAGAGUGUGACACGCGGAUUUGUUUUACCGAGGUUCGGUUCUUGCAAACCUACUCCCCGUUGAGGAGGCCACAAAGGCCGGGUCUCUUUCAACCCUUCCCUCUCUCAAACGGUCCCUCGGACCGAGUGAGCUUCUCUUCUCAAAUCAAAGCCGGGAACAAAACUUCCCGCAAGGGCCACCACACAAUUGGUGCCUCUUGCCUUGAUUACAAUGGAGUGUUGAUCACAAGAGCACGUGAGAAAGAAAAGAAGCAAUCCAAGCGCAAGAGCUCAAAAGAACACGGCAAAUCUCUCUCUCUAAUCACUAAAGCCUUUUGUGGAACUGGAGAGGAUUUGAUCUCUUUGUUGUGUCUAGAAUUGAAUGCCUAGCUCUUGUAAGUAGUUGAGAAGUGGAAAACUUGGAUGCAAUGAAUGGUGGGGUGGUUGGGGUAUUUAUAGCCCCAACCACCAAAAGUGGCCGUUGGGAGGCUGUCUGUUCGAUGGCGCACCGGACAUGUCCGGUGCCCCCGCCACGUCAUCACUGCCGUUGGAUUCUGACCGUUGGAGCUUCUGACUUCUGGGCCCGCCUUGAUGUCCGGUGCACACCGGACAUCUACUGUUCCUUGUCCGGUGCGCCAGUAUGGGCGCGCCUGACAUCUGCGCGCGCAGAGCGCGCAUUAAUUGCGUCGCAGGUAGCCGUUGGCGCCGAAUAGCCGUUGCUCCGGAGUUGCACCGGACAGUCCGGUGCACAUCGGACAUGUCCGGUGAAUUAUAGUGGACUAGCCGUUGGAGAUUCCCGAAGCUGGCGAGUUCCUGAGACUGCUCUUCCUUGGCGCACUGGACACUGUCCGGUGUACACCGGACAGUCCGGUGAAUUAUAGCGCGAGUGCCUCUAGAAAUUCCCGAAGGUGGCGAGUUCAAGUUGGAGUCCUCUGGUGCACCGGACACUGUCCGGUGUACACCGGACAGUCCGGUGCCUCCAGACCAGAGGUGCCUUCGGUUGCCUCUUUGCUCCUUUGUUGAAUCCAAAACUUGAUCUUUUUAUUGGCUGAGUGUGAACCUUUUACACCUGUAUAAUCUAUACACUUGGGCAAACUAGUUAGUCCAAUUAUUUGUGUUGGGCAAUUCAACCACCAAAAUUAAUUAGGGAGUAGGUGUAAGCCUAAUUCCCUUUCAAUCUCCCCCUUUUUGGUGAUUGAUGCCAACACAAACCAAAGCAAGUAUAGAAAUGCAUAAUUGAACUAGUUUGCAUAAUAUAAGUGCAAAGGUUGCUUGGAAUUGAGCCAAUAUAACUACUUACAAGAUAUGCAUGGAUUGUUUCUUACUUAUAACAUUUUGGACCACGCUUGCACCACAUGUUUUCUUUUUGCAAACUCUUUUGUAAAUCCUUUUCAAAGUUCUUUUGCAAAUAGUCAAAGGUAAAUGAAUAAGUAUUUUGAGAAGCAUUUUCAAGAUUUGAAAUUUUCUCCCCCUGUUUCAAAUGCUUUUCCUUUGACUAAACAAAACUCCCCCUAAAUGAGAUCCUCCUCUUAGUGUUCAAGAGGGUUUUGAUAUAUCAUUUGAAAUACUAUUUUCUCCCCCUUUUGAACACAAUAGGAUACCAAUUGAAAAUAUUCAACACUAAGUUUUUGAAAUUGGUGGUGGUGCCGUCCUUUUGCUUUGGGCUCAUAUUUUCUCCCCCUUUGGCAUGAAUCGCCAAAAACGGAAUUAUUAGAGCCCUCGAAGUACUAUCUUCCCCUUUGGUCAUAAAAAAAUGAGUUAAGAUUAUACCAAAGACGAAGUCCUUUUGUUCUCUCCCCCAAAGAUGGAGAGUGACGUGGAGUGAUGGCGAAGGAUGAGUUACGGAGUGGAAGCCUUUGUCUCCGCCGAAGACUCCAAUUCCCUAUCAAUAUACCUAUGACUUGGUUUGAGAUAGACUUGUAAACACAUUUAGUCAUAGCACAUGAAAGAGAUAUGAUCAAAGGUAUAUAAAUGAGCUAUGUGUGCAAUCUAGCAAAAGAAGUUGCAAGAAUCAAGAAUAUUGAGCUCAUGCCUAAGUUUGGUAAAAGUUUGUUCAUCAAGAGGCUUGGUAAAGAUAUCGGCUAAUUGAUCUUUAGUGUUAAUAUAAGAAAUCUCGAUAUCUCCCUUUUGUUGGUGAUCCCUCAAAAAGUGAUACCGAAUGGCUAUGUGCUUAGUGCGGCUAUGCUCGACGGGAUUGUCGGCCAUUUUGAUUGCACUCUCAUUAUCACAUAGCAAGGGGACUUUGGUUAAUUUGUAACCGUAGUCCCGCAGGGUUUGCCUCAUCCAAAGUAAUUGCGCGCAACAGUGACCUGCGGCAAUGUACUCGGCUUCGGCGGUAGAAAGAGCGACCGAAUUUUGCUUCUUAGAAGCCCAAGACACCAAGGAUCUUCCCAAGAACUGGCAAGUCCCCGAUGUGCUCUUCCUAUUGAUUUUGCACCCCGCCCAAUCGGCAUCCGAAUAACCAAUCAAAUCAAAUGUGGAUCCCCGAGGGUACCAAAGCCCAAACUUAGGAGUAUAAGCCAAAUUUCUCAAGAUUCGUUUUACGGCCGUAAGGAGGGAUUCCUUAGGGUCGGAUUGGAAUCUUGCACACAUGCAUACGGAAAGCAUAAUGUCCGGUCGAGAUGCACAUAAGUAGAGUAAAGAACCUAUCAUCGACCGGUAUACCUUUUGAUCUACGGACUUACCUCCCGUGUCGAGGUCGAGAUGCCCAUUAGUUCCCAUGGGUGUCUUGAUGGGCUUGGCAUCCUUCAUCCCAAACUUGUUUAGAAUGUCUUGAGUGUACUUUGUUUGGCUAAUGAAGGUGCCCUCUUGGAGUUGCUUCACUUGAAAUCCCAAGAAGUACUUCAACUCCCCCAUCAUAGACAUCUCGAACUUUUGUGUCAUGAUCCUACUAAACUCUUCACAUGUAGACUCGUUAGUGGACCCAAAUAUAAUAUCAUCAACAUAAAUUUGGCACACAAACAAGUCAUUUUCAAGAGUUUUAGUAAAGAGUGUAGGAUCGGCCUUUCCGACUUUGAAUCCAUUUGCAGUAAGAAAAUCCCUAAGGCAUUCAUACCAUGCUCUUGGGGCUUGCUUGAGCCCAUAAAGCGCCUUAGAGAGCUUAUAGACAUGGUUAGGGUACUCACUGUCUUCAAAGCCGGGAGGUUGCUCAACAUAGACCUCUUCCUUGAUUGGUCCAUUGAGGAAGGCACUUUUCACGUCCAUUUGAUAAAGCUUAAAGCCAUGGUAAGUAGCAUAGGCUAAUAAUAUACGAAUUGACUCAAGCCUAGCUACGGGUGCAUAGGUUUCACCGAAAUCCAAACCUUCGACUUGAGAGUAUCCUUUGGCCACAAGUCGAGCUUUGUUCCUUGUCACCACACCAUGCUCAUCUUGCUUGUUGCGGAAGACCCAUUUGGUUCCUACAACAUUUUGAUUAGGACGUGGAACUAAAUGCCAUACCUCAUUUCUAGUGAAGUUGUUGAGCUCCUCUUGCAUCGCCAUCACCCAAUCCGAAUCUUGGAGUGCUUCCUCUAUCCUGUGUGGCUCAAUAGAGGAAACAAAAGAGUAAUGUUCACAAAAAUGUGCAACACGAGAUCGAGUAGUUACCCCCUUAUGAAUGUCGCCGAGGAUGGUGUCGACGGGGUGAUCUCGUUGGAUUGCUUGGUGGACUCUUGGGUGUGGCGGCCUUUGCUCUUCAUCCUCCUUGUCUUGGUCAUUUGCAUCUCCCCCUUGAUCUAUGCCGUCAUCUUGAGGUGGCUCAUUUGAUUGAUCUUCUUCUUCAUCAACUUGAGCCUCUUCAUCAUUUUGAGUUGGUGGAGAUGCUUGCAUGGAGGAGGACGGUUGAUCUUGUGCUUUUGGAGGCUCUUUGGAUUCCUUAGGACACACAUCCCCAAUGGACAUGUUCCUUAGCACUAUGCACGGAGCCUCUUCAUCACCUAUCUCAUCAAGAUCAACUUGCUCUACUUGAGAGCCGUUAGUUUCAUCAAACACAACGUCACAUGAGACUUCAACUAGUCCAGUGGACUUGUUAAAGACCCUAUAUGCCCUUGUGUUUGAGUCAUAACCAAGUAAAAAGCCUUCUACAGUUUUAGGAGCAAAUUUAGAUUUUCUACCUCUUUUAACAAGAAUAAAGCAUUUGCUACCAAAAACUCUAAAAUAUGAAAUGUUGGGCUUUUUACCGGUUAGGAGUUCAUAUGAUGUCUUUAUGAGGAUUCGAUGUAGAUACAACCGGUUGAUGGCGUAGCAAGCGGUGUUGACUGCCUCCGCCCAAAACCGAUCCAAAGUCUUGUACUCAUCAAGCAUGGUCCUUGCCAUGUCCAAUAGAGUUCGAUUCUUCCUCUCCACUACACCAUUUUGUUGAGGUGUGUAGGGAGAAGAGAACUCAUGCUUGAUGCCCUCCUCCUCAAGGAAGCCUUCGAUUUGAGAGUUCUUGAACUCCGUCCCGUUGUCGCUUCUAAUUUUCUUGAUCCUUAAGCCGAACUCAUUUUGAGCCCGUCUCAAGAAUCCUUUUAAGGUCUCUUGGGUUUGAGAUUUUUCCUGUAAGAAGAAUACCCAAGUGAAGCGAGAAUAAUCAUCCACUAUUACAAGACAAUACUUACUUCCGCUGAUGCUUAUGUAAGCAAUCGGGCCGAAUAGAUCCAUGUGGAGUAGCUCAAGCGGCCUGUCGGUCGUCAUGAUGUUCUUGUGUGGAUGAUGGGCACCAACUUGCUUUCCUGCCUGGCAUGCGCUACAAAUCCUGUCUUUCUCAAAAUGAACAUUUGUUAGUCCUAAAAUGUGUUCUCCCUUUAGAAGCUUAUGAAGAUUCUUCAUCCCAACAUGGGCUAGUCGGCGGUGCCAGAGCCAACCCAUGUUAGUCUUAGCAAUUAAGCAUGUGUCGAGUUCAGCUCUAUCAAAAUCUACUAAGUAUAGCUGACCCUCUAACACACCCUUAAAUGCUAUUGAAUCAUCACUUCUUCUAAAGACAGUGACACCUAUAUCAGUGAAAAGACAGUUGUAGCCCAUUUUGCAUAAUUGAGAUACAGAAAGCAAAUUGUAAUCUAAUGAAUCUACAAGAAAAACAUUGGAAAUAGAAUGGUCAGGAGAUAUAGCUAUUUUACCAAGACCUUUGACCAAACCUUGAUUUCCAUCCCCGAAUGUGAUAGCUCGUUGGGGAUCUUGGUUUUUCUUAUAUGAGGAGAACAUUUUCUUCUCCCCUGUCAUGUGGUUUGUGCAUCCGCUGUCGAUGAUCCAACUUGAGCCCCCGGAUGCAUAAACCUACAAAACAAGUUUAGUUCUUGACUUUAGGUACCCAAAUGGUUUUGGGUCCUUUGGCAUUAGACACAAGAACUUUGGGUACCCAAACACAAGUCUUUGAUCUCUUGUGCUUGCCCCCAACAUACUUGGCAACUACUUUGCCUGAUUUGUUAGUUAAAACAUAAGAUGCAUCAAAAGUCUUAAAUGAAAUGCUAUGUUCAUUUGAUGCAUUAGGAAUUUUCUUCUUAGGCAACUUAGCAUGGGUUGGUUGCCUAGAGCUAGAUGUCUCACUCUUAUAUAUAAAAGCAUGAUUAGAACCAGAGUGAGACUUCCUAGAAUGAAUUUUCCUAAUUUUGUCCUCGGGAUAACCGGCAGGGUAUAAAAUGUAACCCUCGUUAUCCUGAGGCAUGGGAGCCUUGCCCUUAACAAAGUUAGACAAUCUUUUAGGAGGGGCAUUAAGUUUAACAUUGUCUCCCCUUUGGAAGCCAAUGCCAUCCUUGAUGCCAGGGCGUCUCCCAUUAUAAAGCAUGCUACGAGCAAAUUUAAAAUUUUCAUUUUCUAGGUUAUGCUCGGCAAUUUUAGCAUCUAAUUUAGCUAUAUGAUCAUUUUGUUGUUUAAUUAAAGCCAUGUGAUCAUGAAUAGCAUUAAUAUCAACAUCUCUACAUCUAAUACAAAUAGAAGUGUGCUCAAUGGUAGAUGUAGAGGGUUUGCAAGGUUUUAGUUCUACAACCUUAGCAUGCAAUAUUUCAUUUUUACUUCUAAGGUCGGAAAUAGUAGCAUUGCAAACAUCUAAAUCUUUAGCCUUAGCAAGUAAUUUCUCAUUUUCAUUCCUAAGGCUAGCAAGAGAUAUGUUCAAUUAUUCAAUCUUAGCAAGCAAAUCAUUAUUAUCAUUUCUAAGAUUGGGAAUUGAAACAUUACAAACAUGAGAAUCAACCUUAGCUAAUAAAUUAGCAUUUUCAUUUCUAAGGUUGUCUAUUGUCUCAUGGCAAGUGCUUAGCUCACUAGAUAAUUUUUCACAUUUCUCAAUUUCUAGAGCAUAAGCAUUUUUAACCUUAACAUGUUUCUUGUUUUCUUUAAUUAGAAGGUCCUCUUGGGAAUCCAAAAGGUCAUCCUUUUCAUGAAUAGCACUAAUCAAUUCAUUUAAUUUUUCUUUUUGUUCCAUGUUAAGGUUGGCAAAAAGGGUACGUAAAUUAUUUUCCUCAUCACUAGCAUUAUCAUCACUAGAGGAUUCAUAUUUAGUGGAGGAUUUAGAUUUAACCUUCUUUUUGUCGUCCUUUGCCAUGAGGCACUUGUGGCCAACGUUAGGGAAGAGAAGUCCUUUGGUGACGGCGAUGUUGGCGGCGUCCUCGUCGUCGGAGGAGUCGCUAGAGCUUUCGUCGGAGUCCCACUCCCGACAAACAUGGGCAUCGCCGCCCCUCUUCUUGUAGUACCUCUUCUUUUCUCUCCUCUUGCCCUUCUUGUCGUUAUCCCUGUCACUGUCACUUGAUAAUGGACAUUUAGCAAUAAAGUGACCGGGCUUACCACAUUUGUAGCAAACCUUCUUGGAGCGGGACUUGUAGUCUUUCCCUCUCCUUUGCUUGAGGAUUUGGCGGAAGCUCUUGAUGACGAGCGCCAUUUCCUCAUUGUCGAGCUUGGAGGCGUCGAUUGGUUGUCUACUUGGUGUAGACUCCUCCUUCUUUUCCUCCGUCGCCUUGAAUGCGACGGGUUGAGCUUCGGAUGUGGAGGGAUCAUCAAGCUCGUUGAUCUUCCUCGAGCCUUCGAUCAUGCACUCAAAACUUACAAAAUUCCCGAUAACUUCCUCGGGGGUCAUUUUAGUAUAUCUAGGAUUACCACGAAUUAAUUGAACUUGAGUGGGGUUAAGGAAAAUAAGAGAUCUUAGAAUAACCUUAACCACUUCGUGGUCAUCCCACUUUUUGCUCCCGAGGUUGCGCACUUGGUUCACCAAGGUCUUGAGCCGGUUGUACAUGUGUUGUGGCUCCUCCCCUUUGCGAAGCCGGAACCGACCGAGCUCCCCCUCGAUCGUCUCCCGCUUGGUGAUCUUUGUGAGCUCAUCUCCUUCGUGAGCGGUUUUGAGCACAUCCCAAACCUCCUUGGCGCUCUUCAACCCUUGCACUUUGUUAUACUCCUCUCUACUUAGAGAGGCGAGGAGUAUUGUUGUCGCUUGAGAGUUGAAGUGCUCGAUUUGGGCCACCUCAUCCUCAUCAUAGUCUUUAUCCCCUACGGACGGUACCUGUGCACCAAACUCAACGACAUCCCAUAUACUUUUGUGGAGUGAGGUUAGAUGAAAUCGCAUUAAAUCACUCCACCUAGCAUAAUCUUCACCAUCAAAAGUUGGUGGUUUGCCUAAUGGGACGGAAAGCAAAGGUGCAUGUUUAGAAAUGCGAGGGUAGUGUAGGGGGAUCUUACUAAACUUCUUACGCCCUUGGCGUUUAGAAGUUACGGAGGGCGCAUCGGAGCCGGAGGUCGAUGUUGAUGAAGUGUCGGUCUCGUAGUAGACCACUUUCCUCAUCCUUUUUGGCUUGUCCUCACUCCGAUGCGGCUUGUGGGAAGAAGAUUUUUCCUUCUUCUCUUUGUGGUGAGAAUAAGAUUUCUUCUCCUUCCCUUUGUUGGAGGAGCUCUUCUUCUUCUCCCUCCUCUUGGUGCGGGACUCUUCCGAUGAAGUGCUCCCGUGGCUUGUAGUGGGCUUUUCGCCGGUCUCCAUCUCCUUCUUGGCGUGAUCUCCCGACAUCACUUCGAGCGGUUAGGCUCUAAUGAAGCACCGGGUUCUGAUACCAAUUGAUAGUCGCCUAGAGGGGGGGUGAAUAGGGCGAAACUGAAAUUUACAAAUAUAAACACAACUACAAGCCGGGUUAGCGUUAGUAAUAAAGAAACGAGUCCGCGAGAGAGGGUGGAAAACAAAUCGCAAGCAAAUGAAGAGUGUGACACGCGGAUUUGUUUUACCGAGGUUCGGUUCUUGCAAACCUACUCCCCGUUGAGGAGGCCACAAAGGCCGGGUCUCUUUCAACCCUUCCCUCUCUCAAACGGUCCCUCGGACCGAGUGAGCUUCUCUUCUCAAAUCAAAGCCGGGAACAAAACUUCCCGCAAGGGCCACCACGCAAUUGGUGCCUCUUGCCUUGAUUACAAUGGAGUGUUGAUCACAAGAGCACGUGAGAAAGAAAAGAAGCAAUCCAAGCGCAAGAGCUCAAAAGAACACGGCAAAUCUCUCUCUCUAAUCACUAAAGCCUUUUGUGGAACUGGAGAGGAUUUGAUCUCUUUGUUGUGUCUAGAAUUGAAUGCCUAGCUCUUGUAAGUAGUUGAGAAGUGGAAAACUUGGAUGCAAUGAAUGGUGGGGUGGUUGGGGUAUUUAUAGCCCCAACCACCAAAAGUGGCCGUUGGGAGGCUGUCUGUUCGAUGGCGCACCGGACAGUCCGGUGCACACCGGACAUGUCCGGUGCCCCCGCCACGUCAUCACUGCCGUUGGAUUCUGACCGUUGGAGCUUCUGACUUCUGGGCCCGCCUGGAUGUCCGGUGCACACCGGACAUCUACUGUUCCUUGUCUGGUGCGCCAGUAUGGGCGCGCCUGACUUCUGCGCGCGCAGAGCGCGCAUUAAUUGCGUCGCAGGUAGCCGUUGGCGCCGAAUAGUCGUUGCUCCGGAGUUGCACCGGACAGUCCGGUGCACACCGGACAUGUCCGGUGAAUUAUAGCGGACUAGCCGUUGGAGAUUCCCGAAGCUGGCGAGUUCCUGAGGCUGCUCUUCCUUGGCGCACCGGACACUGUCCGGUGUACACCGGACAGUCCGGUGAAUUAUAGCGCGAGUGCCUCUGGAAAUUCCCGAAGGUGGCGAGUUCAAGUUGGAGUCCUCUGGUGCACCGGACACUGUCCGGUGGUGCACCGGACACUGUCCGGUGUACACCGGACAGUCCGGUGCCUCCAGACCAGAGGUGCCUUCGGUUGCCUCUUUGCUCCUUUGUUGAAUCCAAAACUUGAUCUUUUUAUUGGCUGAGUGUGAACCUUUUACACCUGUAUAAUCUAUACACUUGGGCAAACUAGUUAGUCCAAUUAUUUGUGUUGGGCAAUUCAACCACCAAAAUUAAUUAGGGACUAGGUGUAAGCCUAAUUCCCUUUCAUCCACCUAAGACCAGCCAGACCCAUAUUCCAGUCAUACAAACUCCGGUGACUGUGAUUUUCCUUCCAGUAGGGAACUUCCCAUCUGGUCACCCAUCCCAGGUUUCUCCAAGUUGAGCACGCUUAACUUUAAGAUUCCUUCGAACUAGGCUUCCAAACUCAGAUUCCAAUAAUUCUUUUUCUAAAUUCUUAUCGAAUUAUACCCUAUCCAACCAUGUCAUCCCUUAAGCAUGGUUCAUAUUCCAGAAAACUCCCAAAAUACUCUUGUCCCAUAUUCUGCCUAUAACUCUCCUGUUCAUACUAAGUCAGACGAUUCAUUCGUCACUAUUCUCACCAACAGUGAACUUCAUUGUGCUACACCACAUACACCCAGCUAUAAAUACACCCAGCUACCCUCUCCCUCUCCACACACGCUCAACACCCUCAGCUAAGGAAAACACCCCACCCACUCAGUUACUCCGCUCUACCGGCUACACGCAUAGUGUCGCUUCACCUCCAGUCCACCCUCCUGGUAAGCACCUCCGCUCCACCACCAGUAAUAUCACAACACCACAUGACACAGAUUCUACUCAAGACUCUACCCAUCCAUAUAUCGCUAUUCUGACCACUAUACUAAAUAUUUGUCGGUAUACUUGCUGGUUUGUAUGUUUGCUUGCUCAUGUUGCAUAGUUAUCGGAGCGUUCGUGUCGUCUCGUGGAGGCCAGAUCUGCAAGUCUACGCCAGGCGAUGGAGCCAGAAGCCAGUUCCGCGAGCUCUCCUUCCCCCUUCGCCGGAUAAGCACGACAAGCUCACUGGAUCCCUUUAAUGCAUAAAUUACCUAUGAUUUUUCAACCACAACCCUCAACCUGUUAUUUUAUGCAUGAUAUGAUUUUGAGACAAGUUAUUAUGGCCACCCAAGCCGCUUGCCGCAAUCAAUCCUUAAUAUAUUUGUUACAAAUGAUUUGAGAAAAGGUGUGAGUUUUUCAAAAGAAAAUGCUUUUCAAAAUGUGUAUGAUGAAGGGUUUUCACCCUUAUCACCUUUGAGUAGGGAUGAUCAGGGACUCCCUAGUUUAGGGGAGGGCCUAAGGUGAUGGCUCAGCUGGUUUAGGCGUGAGCAGAAGGAUUGUUCCCUCAUAUAAGGACCGGUUUGUCAUCCUUCACUACAUGUACUCAUGAUAAGUACAACCACUCAAGACUGUGGGCAGUCACUCAAUCUGAACUCGUACGGUUCAACCCCAGGGUUAUGAAGGCUGGGGAGCACCGGGAGGAUAAGGAGGGGGAAUGUUUUGUCCGGUUUGGACAUGGCGGUGGCCUGACUCCUUCCGGUAUAACCGUUAAGGUUAGGAUGUGCGAGGAAGGAAAGGGAUUCAGAUUCGGAUCUCAUUGAUCAUGAGAUCGCAGAGCCGGACUAGUGGGUAAAGUGUACACCUCUGCGCAGAGUUUGAAAACCUAUUCGAAUAGUUUAUGUCCACAGGAAUGGACGAGUCUGGUGUGGUAUGACAAUUAGUGUUUUGUUUUUUAAAAAAAGAGGUGCUUUUGAGAAAAGUGGUUUUUAAAAGGUCCGGCGGUUGAGCCGUGAGCUAUGGUGGACGGGAAGUCCAGUAGCUGUUUUUGAAAAUGAAAACCAGUGGGAAACUGCUGAGAUACCUGGAUGGUUUAGUCCACGGGAUUUUGUUCUAAUAUUGAAAAACUUCCUGCUCCCUUGGGAGAGGAUGCGCUUUGCAAAAUACAAAAUGUUUUACAAAACAACCCUGCAUAAAAUAUUGUUGUUUCUGCAAAAUAUCCUGAGCUCCACUUAUUCCAUGCAUUAUAUCUGAUUUCCCCAUUCCGUGGGUGAAGGUGGGCUGCUGAGUACGUUUGUACUCACCCUUGCUUAUUUGUUGUUUUUCAGAAAAAGGAGAUCGGGUAAGAGUUACGACUGUUCCCAACCUUGCCUGUGGCUGUUGGACCACUGAUUUGCUUCGCUGCGUAUAUCGAGCUGCUUCAGCCCCACUCUGAUGAUAUGUCCCGAGUUGUGGACCAACUCUUAAAGUUGUUCGCCACCUUUAUAGGUUUGUCUCGUUUAAGCAGAUCUGGAAUCAUCUGAUGUAUAAAUGUGUUUACUAGCCUCCUGGGACUAGUAAUUGUAUCACAUUUGAGUCCCAGAGGAUUGGGGACGCUUCAUUAGGGUACUCACUAUCUUCAAAGCCAGGAGGUUGCUUAACAUAGACCUCUUCCUUGAUUGGUCCAUUGAGGAAGGAACUUUUCACAUCCAUUUGAUAAAGCUUAAAUCUAUGGUAAGUAGCAUAGGCAAGUCAUAUACGAAUUGACUCAAGCCUAGCUACGGGUGCAUAAGUUUCACUAAAGUCCAAACCUUCGACUUGUGAAUAACCUUUGGCCACAAGUCGGGCUUUGUUCCUUGUCACCACACCAUGCUCAUCUUGCUUGUUGCGGAAUACCCACUUGGUACCUACAACAUUUUGGUUAGGACGUGGAACUAAAUGCCAUACCUCAUUCCGCAUGAAGUUGUUGAGCUCUUCUUGCAUUGCCAGCACCCAAUCCGAGUCUCUUAGUGCAUCCUCUACCCUGUAUGGCUCAAUAGAGGAAACAAAAUAGUAAUGCUCACAGAAAUGUGCAACUCGAGAUCUAGUGGUUACCCCCUUAUGAAUGUCACCGAGGAUGGAGUUGACGGGGUGAUCUCGUUGAAUUGGUGGACUCUUGGGUGUGGCGGUCUUUGGCCCUGAGUUUCUUGAUCAUCUUCCUUAUCUUCAUUUUCUUCAUCUCCCCCUUGAUCAUUGUCCUCCUCUUGAGGUGGCUCAUCCUCUUGAUCUUCAUUUUCAUCUUAAGCCUGAUCCUCAUCUUGAGUUGGUGGAGAUGCUUGAUUGUAGGAUGACGGUUGAUCUUGUGCUUGUGUGGGCUCUUUGGAUUCCUUAGGACACACAUCCCCAAUGGACAUGUUCCUUAGCGCGACGCACGAAGCCUCUUCAUCAUCUAAUUCAUCAAGAUCAACUUGCUCCACCUGGGAGCCAUUAGUCUCAUCAAACACAAUGUCACAAGAAACCUCAACUAAUCUAGUGGAUUUGUUGAAGACUCUAUAUACCCUUGUGUUUGAGUCAUAUCCUAGUAAAAAGCCUUCUACAGCCUUAGGAGCAAAUUUAGAUUUUCUACCUCUUUUAACAAGAAUAAAACAUUUGCUUCCAAAGACUCUAAAAUAUGAAACAUUAGGAUUUUUACCGGUAAGGAGUUUAUAAGAUGUCUUCUUGAGGAUUCGGUGAUGGUAGAGCCGGUUGAUGGAGUAGCAAACAGUGAUGAUUGCUUCCACCCAAAACUGGUCUGGUGUCUUGUACUCAUCAAGCAUGGUUCUUGCCAUGUCCAGUAGAGUUCUAUUCUUCCUCUCCACUACACCAUUUUGUUGAGGUGUGUAGGGAGAAGAGAACUCAUGCUUGAUGCCCUCAUCCUCAAGAAAACCUUCGAUUUGAGAGUUCUUGAACUCCGUCCCAUUGUCGCUUCUUAUCUUUUUUUAUUCUUAAUCUGAACUCAUUUUGAGCUUGUCUUAAGAAUCUCUUUAAGGUCUCUUGGGUUUGUGAUUUUUCCUGCAAAAAGAAUACCCAAGUGAAGCGAGAAUAGCAUCCAUAAUUAUAAGACAAUACUUACUCCUGUCGAUGCUUAUGUAAGCGAUCGGGCCGAAUAAAUCCAUGUGGAGUAGCUCAAACGACCUGUCGGUCAUCAUGAUAUUCUUGUGUGGAUGGUGGGCACCAACUUUCUUUCCUGCUUGACAUGCACUACAAACCCUUUCUUUCUCAAAAUGAACAUUUGUUAGUCCCAAAAUAUGUUCUCCCUUUAGAAGCUUGUGAAGAUUCUUCAUUCCAACAUGGGCUAGUCGGCGAUGCUAGAGCCAACCUAUAUUAGUCUAAGCAAUUAAACAAGUGUUGAGUUCAGCUAUGUUCUCAUUAAAAAUAACUAAAUAUAGCUGACCCUCUAACACUCCCUAAAAUACUAUUGAAUCGUCACUUCUUCUAAAGACAGUAACACCUACAUCUGUAAAAAGACAGUUGUAGCCCAUUUUGCAUACUUGAGAAACAAAAGGCAAAUUGUAAUCUAAAGAAUCUACAAGAAAACAUUUGAAAUUGAAUGGUCAGGGGAUAUAGCAAUUUUACCCAAACCUUUGACCAAUCCUUGAUUUCCAUCCCCGAAUGUGGUAGCUCGUUGGGGAUCUUGGUUUUCUCGUAGGAGGAGAACAUUCUUUUCUCCCCUGUCAUGUGGUUUGUGCAUCCGCUAUCAAUUAUCCAACUUGAACCUCCGGAUGCAUAAACCUGCAAAACAAUUUAGGCCUUGUUCUUAGGUACCCAAACAGUCUUGGGUCCUUUGAUGUUAGAAACAAGCACCUUGGGUACCCAAAUACAAGUCUUGAACUCUUGUGCUUGCCCCCAACAUAUUUGGCAACUACUUUGCCUAAUUUGUUAGUAAGCACAUAUCAUGCAUCAAAAGUCUUAAAUGAAAUGUUAUGUUCAUUUGAUGCAGCAUGAGUUUUCUUUUUAGGCAUUUUAACAUGUGUAGAAUGCCUAGAGCUAGAAGCCUCAUUUUUAUACUUAAAUGCAUGAUGAGAAGUAGUGUGGGGUUUUCUAGCAUGAAUUCUCCUAAUUUUGUGCUCAGGAUAAUUAGCAGGAUAUAAAAUGUAACCCUCAUUAUCCUGAACCAUGGGAGCUUUGCCCUUUACAAAGUUGGACAAUCUCUUAGGGGCAUUAAGCUUGACAUUGCUUCCCUGUUGGAAACCAAUGUCAUCCUUAAUGCCAGGGCGUCUCCCAUUAUAGAGCACGCUUCUAGCAAAUUUAAACUUUUCAAUUUCAUGCUCAUUGAUUUUAGCAGUUAAUUGAGCUAUAUGAUCAUUUUGUUGUUUAAUUAGAGCAAGGUGAUCAUUUAUAGCAUCAACAUUAAUAUCUCUACAUCUAGUUCAAAUUGAAACAUGCUCGACAGUAGAUGUAGAGGGUUUGCAAAUAUUUAAUUCCUCUAUCUUAGAUUUUAGCAUGACAUUUUCAUCUCUCAGACAGGAAAUAGAAUCAUUGCAAACAUUUAACUCUCUAACCUUUGAAAUUAAACUAGCAAUUUUAGUCUUAAGGCUAGAAAUCGAUUCAUUCAAUUUAUCAAUCUUAGCAUUUAAAAUAGCAUUUUCAUUUCUAAGACUGGUAAUUGAAUCAUGGCAAAUGAUAAGCUCUUUAGUUAGGUUUUCACAUUUCUCUACUUCCUGAGCAUAAGCAUUUUUCACUUUAACAUGUUUUUUAUUUUCUUUAAUGAGGAAUUCCUCUUGGUUGUCCAAGAGUUCAUCCUUCUCAUGGAUGGAUCCUAUCAAUUCAUUCAAUUUUCUUUUUGUUCCAUGUUGAGGUUAGCAAAAAGAGUAAGUAAAUCAUCUUCGUCUUCAUUAGAACUACCCUCAUCACUAGAUGUUGUAUACUUGGAGGUGGUUCUAGAUUGUACCUUCUUUUUUUUGCCGUCCUUGGCCAUGAAACAUUUGUGACCGACGUUGGGGAAGAGGAGACCCUUAUUGAUGGCGAUGUUGGCGGUGUCCUCGUCGGAGGAGUCGGUGGAGCUCUCGUCGGAGUUCCAUUCCCGACACACGUGGGCAUCGCUGCCCUUCUUCUUGUAGUACCUCUUCUUUUCUUUCUUCUUCCCCUUCUUGUCGUCAUCCCUGUCACUUUCACUAGACAUUGGACAUUUAGCAAUGAAAUGACCGGGCUUACCACAUUUGUAGCACACCCUUUUGGAGCGGGGUUUGUAGUCCUUCCCCCUCCUAUGCUUGAGGAUUUGAUGGAAGCUCUUGAUGAUGAGCGCCAUCUCCUUGUUGUCGAGCUUGGAGGCGUCGAUUGGAAGUCUACUUGAUGUAGACUCCCUCUUCUCUUCUUUUGUUGCCUUGAAUGCGACGGGUUGCACCUCGGGUGUGGAGGUGGCUCCUUGCUCCAAGUUGACGAUGUGUUUGGAAUCUUUGAUCAUUAGCUCAAAGCUCACAAACUUUCCAAUAACCUCCUCGAGAUAAAUUAGCUUGUAUCUAGGAUCCCCAUGUAUUAAUUGAACUUUUGUAGGAUUACGAAAUACAAGGGAUCUAAGAAUAACCUUGACCAUUUCAUGGUCAUCCCAUUUUGUGCUCCCGAUGUUGCGCAGUUGGUUCACCAAGGUCUUGAGUCGGUUGUACAUUGCUUGUGGCUCCUCUCCCUUGUUGAGGACGAAUCGACCGAGUUCUCCCUCAAUCGUUUCACACUUGGUGAUCUUGGUCACCUCGUCCCCUUCGUGCGCCGUCUUCAGCACGUCCCAAAUUUCGUUGGCAAUCUUUAACCCUUGCACCUUUUUAUACUCCUCUCGACACAAGGAGGCGAGGAGUAUAGUUGUGGCUUGGGAGUUAAAGUGCCUAAUUUGGGCGACCUCGUCCGAGUCGUAGCCUUCGUCCACCACCUUAGGUACCUGCGCUCCGAACUCAACAAUGUCCCAAAUGCUUGCAUGGAGUGAGGUUAGGUGAUGCCUCAUUUUAUCACUCCACAUACAAUAAUCCUCACCAUCAAAAUAUGGUGGUUUGCCUAAGGGAACGGAAAGUAGAGGAGCAUGCUUAGAAAUACGAGGAUAGCGAAGGGGCAUCUUACUAUACUUCUUACGCUCAUGGCGCUUAGAAGCGACGGACGAGUCGGAGCUCGAAGAAGUGGAGGGUGACGAAGAGUCGGUCUCGUAGUAGACCACCUUCUUCAUAUUCUUCUUCUUGUCACCCUUGCGACGCGUCAUGGUGGAGGAAGAGGAUUCCUCCUUAUGCUUGUGGCCGGACUCUCGAAAGAGUUCUCCCCGAGCUUGCGGGCUUGUCGCCGGUCAUGAUCUCCCUCUUGGCGUGUUCUCCCGACAUCACUUCGAGUUGUUAGACUCUUAAUGAAGUAUCGGGCUCUGAUACCAAUUGAAAGUCGCCUAGAAGGGGGGUGAAUAGGCGUAAUCUAAAAUUUACAACUUUAAACACACACUACAAGUCGGGGUUAGCGUUAGAAUUAAAUCCGAGUCCGUUAGAGAGGGGGAAAACAAAUCAACCAAGAAAUAAAGCAGAUGAACAUGGUGAUUUGUUUAACCGAGGUUUGGUUCUAAAGAACCUAGUCCCCGUUGAGGUGCUCACAAAAACCGGGUCUCUUUCAACCCUUUCCCUCUCUCAAACGGUCACUUAGACCGAGUGAGCUUUCUUCUUAAUCAAACGGGUCACUUAGACCCUGCAAGGACCACCACACACUUAGGUGUCUCUUGCUUUGAUUACAAGUCACUUGGGAACAAGAAUGAGGAAGGAAGAAAGUGAUCCAAGCAACAAGAGCGCAAGAACACGAACAAACACUCUCUCAAGUCCUAGGUGGUUGGAAUGAGUUUGGGACUUGGAGAGGCUUUGAUCUUUUGGUUUGUGUCUAGGAGUGAAUGCACUAGCUCUUGUAUUGAAUGAAAACUUUAGAAGACUUGGAUGCUUGGAGUUGUGGUGGUUGGGGGGUUUUUAUAGCCCUCAACCACCAACAAGUCCUUGGGGAAGGUUGUUGUCGAUGGGCGCACCGGACACUGUCCGGUGCGCCGCCAUGUCACCCAACCGUUAGGGUUCGGGAGCAGUCGACCGUUGGCACCGUUGUCUUCUUGUGGCACCGGACAGUCCGGUACCACACCGGAUAGGUCCUAUUCACUGUCCGGUGCGCCUCUGACUCUGUGCUCUGACUCUAUCGCGCACUGUUCUUCAUUAUAGCGCUGUUAGCGCUCUUUUUGUAGUCGACCGUUGCGCUGGAUAGUCGUUGCUCCGCUGGUGCAUCGGACAGUCCUGUGACACACCGGACAGUCCGGUGAAUUAUAGCGGAGCUCGCCUGGAGAAACCUGAGAGUGGCUGGUUUGAGUUGUACGGUCCUGGUGCACCGGACACUGUCUGGUGGCACACCAGACUGUCUGGUGCGCCGUUCCUCAGCACACUCUGGUUUCUUUGCUACUUUGAAUUUGGAUCCCUAACUUGAAUAUUUAUUGGUUUGUGUUGAACCUUUAUGCGCCUAUAGAACAUAUAUUCUAGAGCAAACUAGUUAGUCCAUAUAUUUGUGUUGGGCAUUCAACCACCAAAAUUACUUGUGGAAAAAGGUUAACCCUAUUUCCCUUUCAUCCCCCACCUGUGGUACCUGCUCUCCAAACUCAACUAUGUCCCAUAUGCUUUCGUGGAGUGAGGUUAGAUGAUGCCUCAUUUUAUCACUCCACAUACAAUAAUCUUCACCAUCAAAAUAUAGUGGUUUUCCUAGGGGAACGGAAAGUAAUGAAGCACGCUUAGAAAUGCGGGGAUAACGAAGAGGCAUCUUACUAUACUUCUUGCGAUCAUGGCGCUUAGAAGUGACGGACGACUCGGAGCUCGAUGUGGAGGGUGAAAAAGAGUCGGUCUCGUAGUAGACCACCUUCUUCAUCUUCUUCUUCUUGUCACCUCUCCAAAGCGACUUGAUCGAGGAAUAGGAUUCCUCCUUGUUCUUGUUGUCGGACUCACUUGAAAGAGUCCUCCUCGAGCUUGCGGCUUUUUCGCCGGUCAUAAUCUCUCUCUUGGCGUGAUCUCCCAACAUCACUUCGAGUUGUUAGACUCUAAUGAAGCACCGACUUUGAUACCAAUUGAAAGUCGCCUAGAGGGGGGUGAAUAGGCGAAAAGUGAAAUUUAUAAACUUAAACACGCACUAAGGUCGGGGGUUAGCGUUAGAGUUAAACUCAAGUCGCAAAGAGAGGGAAAACAAAUCAACCAAAAAAUAAGGCAAGUGAACACGGUGAUUUGUUUUACCGAGGUUUGGUUCCAAAGAACCUAGUCCCUGUUGAGGAGGUCACAAAGACCAGGUCUAUUUCAACCCUUUCCUUCUCUCAAACGGUCACUUAGACCGAGUGAGUUUUCUUCCAUAAUCUCACGGGUCACUAAGACCCCGCAAGGACCACCACACACUUGGUGUCUCUUGCCUCGCUUACAAAGCACUUGAGAAUAAGAAUGGGAAAAGAAGAAAGGCAAUCCAAGCAACAAGAACUCAAAUGAACACAAAAAUCUCUCUCUCACAAGCCACUAAGUGUUUAGGGUGAAUUUGGGACUCGGAGAGGAUUUGAUCUUUUGUAUUGUGUCUUGGAGUGAAUGAUAGAGCUCUUGUAUUGAAUGUGAUGUUAAGAAAACUUGGAUGCUUGAAGUUGUGGUGGUUGGGGGUAUUUAUAGCCCCCAACCACCAAGGUAGUCGUUGGGGAGGCUGAUGUCGAUGGGCGCAACGGACAGUCCGGUGCGACACCGGACACUCACUGUUCAGUGUCCGGUGCGCCGCCAUGUCACCCAACCGUUAGGGUUCUCGAGCAGUUGAACGUUGGCACCUUUGUCAUCUUGUAGCACCGGACAGUCUGGUGGUGCACUGGACAGUCCGAUGCCCCUCUGACCCACUGCUCUGACCUCUGCCGCGGUACUGUGCUGCAUUGUUCAUCUGUCAGAGUCAACCGUUGACGUGAGUUAGUCGUUGCUCUGCUGGCACACUGGACAGUCUGGUGAAUUAUAGUGGAGCGCGCCUGCGUUUUCCCGAGAGUGGCUGGUUUAACCCUAUACAGGCCUGGUGCACCGGACACUGUCUGGUGCGCCAGUCCACAGCACACUCAAGUUCUUUGCUCCGGUUAAAUUUAGUCCCUAACUUGAAUCUUUUAUUGGUUUGUGUUGAACCUUAUGCACCUGUAAUACAUGAGUUCUAGAGCAAACUAGUUAGUCCAUUUGUUUGUGUUGGACAUUCAACCUCCAAAAUUAAUUGUAGGAAAAGGUUAACCCUAUUUCCCUUUCAGAGCUCAUGCUCGGCAAUUUUAGCACUUAAUUGAGCUAUGUGGUCAUUUUAUUUCUUAAUCAUGGCAAGAUGAUCAUCUAUAGCUUCAACAUUAAUAUCUCUACAUCUAGUACAAAUAGAAACAUGAUCAACAGUAGAUGUAGAUGGUUUGCAUGCAUUUAAUUCCUCAAUCUUAGCAUUUAAUUUAAUAUUCUCAUUUCUAAGACAGGAAAUAGAAUCAUUGCAAACAUUCAAUUCUUUAACCUUAGAAACUAAACUAGCAUUUUCAUUUCUAAGACUAGAAAUUGAAUCAUGACAAAUGUUAAGCUCCUUAGUUAAGUUUUCACAUUUUUCUACAUCCUGAGCAUAAGCAUUUUUCAACUUAACAAAUUUUUUGUUUUCUUUAAUGAGGAAGUCCUCUUGGCUAUACAAGAGUUCAUCCUUCUCAUUAAUGGCUUCAAUCAAUUCAUUUAAUUUUUUUCUUUUGGUCCAUGCUAAGGUUGGCAAAAAGAGACAUUAAAUUAUCUUCAUUAUCGCUAGAGCUACCCUCAACACUUGAGAAUAAGAAUAGGAAAAGAAGAAAGGCAAUCCAAGCGACAAGAGCGCAAAUGAACACAAAAAUCUCUCUCUCUCACAAGCCACUAAGUGUUUGGAAUGAAUUUGGGACUUGGAGGGGAUUUGAUCUUUUGUAUUGUGUCUUGGAAUGAAUGCUAGAGCUCUUGUAUUGAAUGUGAUCUUCAGAAAACUUGGAUGCCAAAAGGUUGUGGUGGUUGGGGGUAUUUAUAGCCCCCAACCACUUUGGUAGCCAUUGGGGAGGCUGCUAGCGAUGGGCGCACCGGACAGUCCAAUGCGCCACCGGACAAACACUGUUUAGUGUCCGGUGCGCCGCCACGUCACCCAACCGUUAGGGUUCGGAGCCGAGUCGACCGUUGGAGCUUUGUCCUCUUGCGGCACCGGACAGUCCGGUGCCACACCAGACAGUCCGGUGCCCUCUCACUUUCUGCUCUGACUUCUGUGUGGAACUGUUGCUCAUUGUAGCUGCUGUCAGAGUCGACCAUUGGCGCAGAUAGUCGUUGCUCCGUUGGCACACCGGACAGUCCGGUGAAUUAUAGCGGAGAGCGUCGUUGAAUUCCCGAGAGUGGCUGCUUCGAAGUGUACGGCCCUGGUGCACCGGACACUGUUCGGUGCGCCAUUUUUCCACACACUCAAGUUCUUUGCUCCGUUUUAAAUUGAGUCCCUAACAUGAUUCUAUUAUUGGUUUGUGUUGAACUUUAUGUAACUGUAAUGCACGAGUUCUAGAGCAAACUAGUUAGUCCAUGUGUUUGUGUUGACUAUCAACCACCAAAAUUAAUUAUAGGAAAAAGUUAACCCUAUUUCCCUUUCAAUAGGUCCAUUGAGGAAGGCACUUUUCACGUCCAUUUGAUAAAGCUUAAAGCCAUGGUAAGUAGCAUAGGAAAGUAAUAUACGAAUUGACUCAAGCCUAGCUACGGGUGCAUAGGUUUCAUCGAAAUCCAAACCUUCGACUUGUGAAUAUCCCUUUGCCACAAGUCGGGCUUUGUUCCUCGUCACCACACCGUGCUUAUCUUGCUUGUUGCGGAAUACCCACUUGGUACCUACAACAUUUUGAUUAGGACGUGGAACUACAUGUCAUACCUCAUUACUCGUGAAGUUGUUGAGCUCCUCUUGCAUAGCCACCACCCAAUCCGGAUCUCUUAGUGCAUCCUCCACCCUGUAUGGCUCAACAGAGGACACAAAAGAGUAAUGUUCACAUAAAUGAGCAACUCGAGAUCUAGUGGUUACCCCCUUGUGAAUGUCACCAAAAAUGGAGUUCACGGGGUGAUCUCUUUGAAUUGCUUGGUGGACUCUUGGGUGUGGCGGUCUUUGAUCCCUUAUUUCUUGAUCAUCUUCCUUGUCUUGAUCAUCUUCAUCUCCCCCUUGAUCCAUGUCCUCCUCUUGAGGUGGAUCAUCCUCUUGAUCUUCAUCUUCAUCAUCUUGAGCCUGAUCCUCGUCUUGAGUUAAUGGAGAUGCUUGCAUGGAAGAUGAUGGUUGAUCUUGUGCUUGUGGAGGCUCUUCGGAUUCCUUAGGACACACAUCUCCAAUGGAAAUGUUCCUUAGCGCAACGCAUGGAGCCUCUUCAUCAUCUAGUUCAUCAAGACAAACUUGCUCCACUUGGGAGCCAUUAGUCUCAUCAAACACAAUGUCACAAGAAACCUCAACUAAUCCAGUGGAUUUGUUGAAGACUCUAUAUGCCCUUGUGUUUGAGUCAUACCCUAGUAAAAAGCCUUCUACAACCUUAGGAGAAAAUUUAGAACUUCUACCUCUUUUAAUAAGAACAAAGCAUUUACUCCCAAAACUCUAAAAUAUGAAACAUUGUGCUUUUUACUAGUGAGGAGUUCAUAUGAUGUUUUCUUGAGGAUUCGGUGAAGGUAGAGCCGGUUGAUGGAGUAGCAAGCGAUGUUGAUUGCUUCCGCCCAAAACCGGUCUGGAGUCUUGUAUUCAUCAAGCAUGGUCCUUGCCAUGUCCAGUAGAGUUCUAUUAUUCCUCUCUACUACACCAUUUUGUUGAGCUGUGUAGGGAGAAGAGAACUCAUGAUUUAUGCCCUCCUCUUCAAGAAAUCCUUCAAUUUGAGAGUUCUUGAACUCCAUCCCAUUGUCGCUUCUUAUCUUUUUGAUCCUUAAUCCGAACUCAUUUUGAGCCCGUCUUAAGAAUCUCUUUAAAGUCUCUUGGGUUUGAGAUUUUUCCUGCAAAAAUAAUACCCAAGUGAAGCGAGAAUAAUCAUCCACAACAACUAGACAAUACUUACUCCCGCCGAUGCUUAUGUGUCACACCCGGGUUUUGGGGGUACCAAGACCCGGGCGCAAAAUAAUCACCAAGUGUGCUGGGACCAAGUCUCACACAUAUGAUGAAUCAUGGUACAGAAACAAAUGUCACAUCUUUACUAUAUAAUAGGAGUUCUAUACAAAAUAAAUAAAUAAAUACAUCAUAAGGAGACAACGAUCCAGCAACCCAAAGUUGACUGGGAGACGACGACCUAGACCUCUCACGAACUCAUCACAUCAUCCUCCAUGUGCCUCAUCCUGCGGUACCUGUUCUUGACAUGUGGGGGUGUGAGACAGCAAGAGUGAGCUCACAUACGUCCAUCGCUCAACAAGUUGUGGGCAAUAAUGUGCAUGAACUCGCCAAAGGUGGGAAAUCAUGUGAAGUGUAAGGCUUACCAAAGUGGAUGGUUAAAGCUGAGCAUUGUUUUUAAAGUUGGUCAAAAUUUUAUUAGCAGAUACUAAGUAUAAGUAGAUACCAACCCAAUUAAGUAGUAGAACAAAAGUGAUAACAACACCCUCAAUGCAAUGCAUAUGACAAAUUGAAUUUAAUUCCAUAAAUUAAUCAUGUGAGUGUCUGAGCUGCUCAUGACCGUGAGCACGGCUGAUAUACCAGUUUUACACUCUGCAGAGGUUGCACAUCUUUACCCACAAAUCAUGUUACCCAUCUGCCAAGGGAUCGUGACUUCCCAUACACUCUACUGAGGAGGCGAGGCAGGGUAACACUACGAGGCCUUUACAAAGUUCCACUAGCUUUAGAAAACCCGCUACAGUUUCUGGGAAGCUCUAUUGCAAGGAUCCCUCGCCUGACCGCCAUCGCAGCAAAAUCAACCCCAGGACCUCCCUACACUGACCACUCCCCUACUGCCCUUGCCCCUUUUGGGUAAGGUAGUACUCCACUAGCUUUCCUAAUUAGUCAGCCAAGGGCGUCCCAUACCACCCUUGUGGUAGCACUGUUUUCCCGGGUGGAUCUCCAUGUUCCAAUUAACAUAAUGUUCUUAUCAUGAACAGUAAUUAACAAAUUGAUAACAAAAGUAUGAAUAAUGUGUAUCUCAAUGCCCAAAUCCACAUAAAGCACUAGCAAGUACUACCCAGAAGUUCAGUGGUAAACAAUGCAUAAAGAUAGACAAACUAGGGUAACCUAUUGGGUCCCAUCAAAAUUAGCAUAUGCAGAUCAUUAUGAUAAUAAGAACAUGAGUGGGUAAAAAGAAGUGAUCAAGGGCAUAACUUGCCUGGGACUCAAGAUUCCAGGUACCAACAUGCUCUUUAGAUUCUCGUGACCUCACUGCUAAUCGUAGCAAUACAAACAAAAAAUGGCAUAGGCAAAAUUAACAUCACAUCAAACAUAAGUACAAACUGAAUAAUAAGGAUCUACGCGAAGCUACGAGAUCGUGGGAACGAGAAUCACUAAAUUCGGAGUUACGGUUAAGGAGUUAUGAUUUAUGUAAGAUAAAUGUGAUUUAAAUAUUAAACUAUAUUACAAAUUGGUUAAUGUAUAUAAUAUGAGAGACUAUUCUAUAAAUAAUUAAUUCAACCUUAUUCUGAGUCAUUACUUGAUUAUAAAUCAUCUUUUAAGGCAAAGAUAACCAUAAGAUCAGGAUAUUAUAUUAAUAUUAGAAUAAGCAAAUCUAGAAAACAUCAAAUUAGUUACCUAAUUAUAAAAGUAUGGGAUAUCAUAUCAUCAAUGUUGCUAAUGUGUAGACAAUAUUUUUAUGAAGCUAACGCAAUUUGAAGCUAAACAAAGGUACUAGGUGAUAAACAAUAUUAAAACAAAAUUAAUGCAACUGGAACAGAUCAAUUUGGAGUUAAAACGGAUGAGAUAUGCACUAAACAAUAUUCUAGGUUAUUUAGAAUUAAUUUUAUACCUAAAAUGACUUCCAGGGGUUUACAUGCAAAGUCUCCAUUUAAUUCUAUUUUCUUUCCACUGGAAAUGGACGGUGGGUUCUAUUCUAAAGGAAGGUGGGGUUUCUUUUGCAAAUUGGCGGUCGAAGGGAUAUUGUUGGGUCAUGACCGUAGGAUCACCCGCAUACGGUCAGGAUUAGAACGGGUCCCAGAUUUAUAAUAUCGACGUGCGAGACUCAACCGUUGGAUCAAGGAUCAAGAGUCCAACAUGGUUCAGCCGAGGCGUUAACCCUCCAUUUAAUCUAGGCCACCGGUGGACAGAUCAAUGGCUAGCAUCAGCCCCGGCUGAUGAUCAAAUCUCCACUAUUAAACGCAACAUCAACGGUACUUGGCCAACCCCCCAUCUCCGGUCCCAAGCCCAACGGCGCACAGAGCGCAGCCACCGGGAUACGCUGAUACGGCACCUCGGCCAUAAUGGACGCACGGAAGGCAGAAGGGGCGGUAAGCGAUCUCACCUUACGACGAUGCGUAGCAAGGGAAAGCGCAAGCAACAACUCGCGGGGCCUGGGCGUGGUGCUCGGUUGCUCGACGACCGGAGGUGCGGUGGUUAGCAGCACGACACGACUGCGAGAGAAACGACCAGAGCGCGAGAGCAGGGAAGGCUUUAUACUGCGGCGUGGGCGCGAUCGCGACGGUGGUUGCCGAGAUCCCCGGCGCGGCCUCGGUGUUCUGUUUCGCAGGAGAAGACGACCACCGCGCAGGGCCCACACGUAAGCGACGCAAGCGCGCGUAGACGCGAGGACGCAGCCUGGCGCACGAUCUCGUUCGCCAAAGACGUGGUGUCCAUAUGCGCGCGCUGGCGAGCGGCUUCAUCGCGACGGAUUUGCAUGCUAUCGUCACACUUGACGUAAGUGCAUUCCUAGCCGGUAGAGAAAAAAAACAGCAGCCUGGGUGAAAUAUGCUCCUGGGCUAAGGUAGGCGGCCCAUCCAGGUGAGGUCGGCUUCUUCUUUUUAAUUUCCUAUCAGUUUCUUUUCUUUUGUGUUUUUUCUAGUUUUAUUUUCUACUUCAAUUCACAAAUUUUAAACUUAAAUCUAAAUUGAAUUUUUCAGAUCCAAGUUAAUAUGAAUGACCAAAAAUAUCCAGCAUGAUAUGCAAGUCACAUCUACAUAUAUUGUUUUAUCCAUUUAAGCGGAUGAAAUUUAGUAGGAAUAAUUCAUGUAAGAUGUUUUACAAUAUUGAUUAUAAAAAAAUUCAAACAUAUAGCCACAUUUUAUAAGUACAAUAAAAUAAAUCUAUAAUCUUCACAUAUUUAUUUGAAAGGAUAUAAUUUCUUAUGUAAACUCUACGAUGAGUUUCCUAAUUUAUUCCGAAUGUGAUUUUAGAGUGUUACAUUAUGUAAGCUAUCAGGUCGAAUAGAUACAUGUGGAGUAGCUCGAGCGGCCUGUCAGUCGUCAUGAUGUUCUUGUGUGGAUGGUGGACUCCAACUUGCUUCCCUGCUUGACACGCGCUACAAAUCCUGUCUUUCUCAAAAUAAACAUUUGUUAGUCCUAAAAUGUGUUCUCCCUUUAAAAGCUUAUGAAGAUUCUUCAUUCCAACAUGGGCAAGUCGGCGAUGCCAGAGCCAACCCAUGUUAGUCUUAGCAAUUAAGCAAGUGUCUAGUUCAGCUUGGUUAUCAUUAAAAUCAACUAAGUUGACCAUCCAGCACUCCCUUAAAUGCUAUUGAAUCAUCACUUCUUCUAAAGACAGUAACACCUACGUCAGUAAAUAGACAGUUGUAUCCCAUUUUGCAUAAUUGAGAAACAGAAAGCAAAUUGUAAUCUAAAGAAUCUACGAGAAAAACAUUGGAAAUGGAAUGGUUAGGGGAUAUAGCUAUUUUACCCAAACCUUUGACCAAACCUUGAUUUCCAUCCCCGAAUGUGAUAGCUCUUUGGGGACCUUCAAUUUUUUCUUUUGUUCCAUGCUAAGAUUGGCAAAAAGAGCAAGUAAAUCAUCUUCAUUAUGUUAAGGCUCUAGAGUGUACCUUCUUCUUCUUGUCGUCCUUAGACAUGAGACAUUUGUGGCCGACGUUGGGGAAGAGGAGGCCUUUGUUUAUGGCGAUGUUGGCGGCAUCCUCGUCGUCGGAGGAGUCAGUGGAGCUCUCGUCGGAGUCCCAUUCUCGGCAUAUGUGUGCAUCGCCGCCCUUCUUCUUGUAGUAUCUCUUCUUCUCCUUCUUCUUCCCCUUCUUGUUUCGUUCCUGUCACUUUCACUAGAAAUUGGACAUUUAGCUAUGAAAUGACCGGACUUACCACACCGGUAGCACACCCUCUUGGAGCGGGGCUUGUAAUCAUUCCCCCUCCUUUGCUUGAGGAUUUGGCGGAAGCUUUUGAUGAUGAGCGCCAUCUCCUCAUUGUCGAGCUUGGAGGCGUCAAUUGGAAGCCUACUUGGUGUAGACUCCUUCUUUUCUUCUGUCGCUUUGAAUGCGGCGGGUUGCACCUCGGUGUAGAGGUGGCGCCUUGCUCCGAGUUGACAAUGUGUUUGGAGUCUUUGAUCAUAAGUUCAAAGCUCACAAACUUGCUGAUAACUUCCUCGGGAGACAUUAGCUUGUAUCUAAGAUCCCCACGUAUUAAUUGUACUUCAGUAGGAUUACGAAAUACGAGGGAUCUAAGAAUAACCUUGACCAUUUCAUGGUCAUCCCAUUUGGUGCUCCCAAGGUUGCACACUUGAUUCACCAUGGUCUUGAGCCGGUUGUACAUGGCUUGCGGCUCUUCUCCUUUGUUGAGGACGAAUCGACCGACUUCUCCCUCGAUCGUCUCGCGCUUCGUGAUCUUGGUCACCUCGUCCCCUUCGUGCGCCGUUUUGAGGAUGUGCAGUACUAGACAAAACGAAUAAAAAUGUUGCCUCAGCUAUGUCCAUGUCUGCUUCAUAGGUCGAAUUCUCUAUUUGUUUUCGAGACAAGACAUAUUCUCCUCUACUUUAAAUAUACAAAAGAUUUUCUCUUCUAUAACUUCGAUGGUGUACCUCCAGGGAUUACCUUUUUGUUUUUGCUGUAACGAAAUUGUGUUUUGAUUUAAAAAAAUGGCUUUCACAUUUUUUAAAAUUUAGCAACCGGAUAUACCAAAAACCGGAGCGAGAACUGCUGCUUGUACGUGAGCAAUAACAAUAAAUUUACCCACAAACCGUACUUCUCGUUCGGUAAAUAAAUCCAUGUGUGACUCCUAUAAAUAUAGUGAUUUUUUCAUCAUAUUAUAUACAGAGAAACUCUAUCUCUCCUCUCCUCUAUCUAUCUUUACGCUUUACACGAUUGAGACCAAGAAAAGCCAAUACCUUUAGCUCUUGCCAUCAGGAUUAUUAUAGGCUAACUCUACGGUGCAUCCUACCAACAUGGGACCAAGGGCUGACCACCCAACAUAUCGAAACCUUAAAAACGCUCUUAUCGGGUAUCGUAAUUAGGGGUAACUGGAUCACACACCUAAACGCGCUUAACCCCUAGAGUACCGUCAUACAUAUUCCCUCAGGUCAAGAAAGUAUGAGCCAUGAUUCGUCCGAGCCCUCACUCGGGGGUCACUCGAAACUCCGCCUCGCUCGAGCUCACCCUCAGGCAAGGGCAGCGCUCGAGGAAAUCCUCGUCCCAUCCGAGGUCCCCUCUCCACGGAACCGUCGUUUCAAUGUUAUGAAAGGCAUGCCCGAGAACUUGAGCAUUCAAUGUGUAUACCUACCCCACGUGACAUCGUGUCAAACAGGGGCGAUAGGACUGCAGUCCCGUCCACUUUCACCAACUACGAUGACGCAUGCCCGAGAAUAACGACUACUGCUCCCCCAUGUCGUUUGCCAACUCUGAAUGGGACCCUCGUACGUCAAAGCAUGGUCUGGCCCUCGAGAGGAAAUUACGCUUCACCCGAAGCCGGCCUCAGCCUCGGAGCAAACUCUGCCUCGCCUCGAAGCAAACUCUGCCUCAGCCACCUACCACCACCACCACCCCCCAUGAAUACCGCAGAAGGCCGCUCCUUCAACUGUUCCCUGCGUGACUGCAAGCCCCAGAGUAGGCUCGAACAUGGCCUCGGGAAGACUUCCGCCUCGCCCAAGCGUGGCUUCGGCCUUGAUAAUAUAGACAAAAGGAUACCCAACGUCACCAAAAAACUAUAGAGCUGACGCCAGAUACCCUACGUAUUGCCAAGAGCUUUUUGCCAUACUUACCACUGCUCCAACCACUACGACUCGGAUAGCUCCUCCAUCGGACAGGUUCGGGUACGUGUCCGAGCCCCGGACCUUGGCCUCGGCUCUCUGCUCGGUGAAAGAUAUAAAUACAGGAACCAGAUUAACUGUUGUAGCUGCAAUGACAUUAACUGUUGUAGCUGCAAUGACAUUAACUCUGGGUGGUUAUCGAUCCAUAUAUUAUAUGUAUUGAAGUGAUAUCCUCAUCAAUGAGUCAUCAGAGGCCGAGUGCCUUAGACCAUUACUUGCAGACUGCUUCUCCUAGGUGCGGGAGUGUCCUUGGGUUUCUUCAUUCAUGCUUUGUAAAUAUAGAGAGCAAAAUGACUUUGUAAAUCAUAAUUCAAAGAGUGGGUUUCUUCAUUCAUGCUAUGUUGUACUCAGCUCGACCCAUCGAUGAAGUCAUAAGCAUUUCACAUGCCGAUGGAAGAUUAUUGCUAUUCACCUAUUCAUGCCACACACAAUGCACUAGUAUGUGGAAAUCAGAUUCAAAAUUGCGUGCGAAAUUGUUUGAAAACGGAUGGAGGAAAUCCAUAGUGUUUGGUUUGGUGUGAGAGGGGCCAAAUUUAUCAUCGGAUUGGGGGCACAAGAGGAUCAGAUCAUCAGACCCAAGAUUCAGUAUUCGUUCCUCUGAGCCCAGCCAAAGCCAACACGACGUCGUUCGUUCCCAGGAUCCAAAUCCUCGGUGUUUACUACUACUAAUAAUAACAUAAAAAUGGAACCAAAUUCCUGAAGAUUUCUACAGCAUUUGGUUGAAGUUGGAACACACGAGCAUUUACGCAACCAGUCCUUUUUCCUUUUCAUCAAUCACUGAGCCUCUUCUUCAGCUUCGGCGGCGGCAAUCUCUGAAUCCAAGAGGGAGAUGAACUGCUGGCUCACAUGCUUGGCGACAGAUAUCAUGUCGAAGAUGACGCUUGGAUCCAGCCCUGCCCCUCCCCUCUUGGUAAGCCCGCAUAUCUGGCCAUGCCUGUUGACUGACACCGACACUGCAGAACUCAUCUGGGAUUCUUCCUCUGAGGUGGCAUCAACGAUGUAGUGCCGACCCACCUGAAAUAUGAAACAUGCGUGUACAGGGCACUGACCUGAAUUUUCGUAGAUACUGCAGCAGGAGAAAAAGCAUAAAAUAGGGCAUUUUUUUUGUUGCCGGUGGUGGCCAAUUGUUUCCUGGGUAGUGUUCUUCACGUGUCAAUGCAUGCAGGGGCACUCUCAACUGAUAAGUCUAGUGUGACAUGAAUAGUAUUGAAGCUACUCAAUAUUUUGUAUCUCAAAACUCUCAAGAUACAUACGCUAGAGGUUGGACCACUUUUUAACACUUUGCACGCGAACAUCAUGCAAUCAAUAAUGCGUAUGUCUACUCAUACUCAAGUACUCAACACCAAAGAAUAAAUAGUUCGGUAAGGAACACAUUACCUUGGUUAAUGUAAUAAUAAUAGGCACACCGGAUGUGUCAAACUGCAGAAAUUCCUCAUCACUUACAUCAACUUCAGGUUCCUCAUCAGAUGCAGCACUAACAGAAACAUUAACUUUUGGUAUACCUGUAUCACUCAAAGCAACCUGCAUGUACAUGGAAUGUUAGCACCCUACAAAUGUGCUAAUUGCAUCGUAUUGUGUCCAACUAAUGCACUGCCCAUCAGUCAUAGCAUGGAUUUUUUGUGUUUUACAUAAAGGAAAAAAAACACUUUAUCUCGAAUAGAAUGGUCUGAGGAUAUGCCAAGGGUUGUCAUGUCACUUGACCAGACUCUUAAACAACAAAGUGGGAUUCACAGAAGAAAUGAAUCGGUGAAUUUUGGGGUAGUAACUCAAUCAUAUACACAGCUCACUGGGUAUUGUUAAGCUAGCACAAACUAAAAGUAGAAAUUAUAGGCUCCAUUCAAACAGUUGCAAGAAAAUACGAAAUUUAAAACUGCAAGUAACAAGCAAUACAAGUCAAAAAGUCACCUUUAUCGCAACAGCUAGCGCAUCUAGCAAAUUACCAUCAGAACUGACCACAAGCCCAUCAAUGUACAGAUCCCAGCAGACCUUUCCAUCAACAACAAUUAGGGAUGACAGAUCAAUUGCAGCACCUGAAAUGAGAAUGUUGUUACUUGAUGCUGACAGAUGUGUUAUCAAUUCAAUGCAGCAUAGUCAAUUAAAUGGCAACAAAAUAUUGUUGGUAUAAGUUUAAAUUGAAAGAAAAGUGUAUACACACAAACAGUUGGAUACCAACAUGAGAAUCAAUUUCUCAUUAAAGAUUUCUUGACUAUAAGUCUGGAUCAAAGAAUAACUGGUUAACACGCUAAUCUCUAAAUGAAAUCUCCCCAAAAACCUGGAAAUUUGAAGGACAGUAACAGAUAUGAAAGUUCAACAACUACAGCGCACUAAAAUCACCUUUAUAUGAAAUGUAGUAUGACUGGCAGAAAUAAUGGCACUAAUUAAUUAAUUAUUUUUUUGUAUAUGUCAUCCAUAAUAACACUUGCAACAUUAUUAUGUACGCCUGCAAUUAAACAGGCAUGGCAAUGGCAAACGGUACUGAUAUGUGAUGCCGCUCUAGUUUGCGUAUCCAAGCAAACAUGCUUAAUAAAUGAUAACGUACAUCCAAAUUGAUAGGUAUAAUUCACUGCUUAGCAAAAGUUUAACCUAAGGAAAAUACAUCUAAUCAAUUGUACUACCAGUCGUAACGACACAAAUAAUGAUGACACUCAUGUCCAAGUAGUAGUUAUAACUGAUGAUAAAUAUAAACAAUAAAGACAUUAGGAAUAUCAAACUAAAGGAGAUCACCGUACGCAGACCACGUCAAAUACAAGGAUUUUAGGGAGGCAAUGAAGUUAUAUCUUACCAGCACCACUUUUACCACCCAACAAGCAUCUUUGCAGGGAAACAGAGAGCUCAGCAGACAAUUCUUCAGAGCCUCUACCCUAGAAAAUUCCAAAUAAAGGAAAUAAGAUAUGCAUACAGAAGUAAAGUCCAGACUACAGUGCCAAACAUUGGGUAUAUGAUGAACACAAGUAAUAUAUUAGACUGUUGGUUAUUUUCAUCCGAUCCAGCCACAGCAAAUCGCCAACCUCAAACAGAGGCUCAGCGGUUGGACUACAGUCGACAAAAAUGUCAACUUUUCCUUUGUCAGGGUGAAGAAUGCUUGGUUUUCCUAGUUCAGCCUGCAGAUGCCAAGCCAUCGAAAACAUAGAAAGUCAAAUAAAAUGACACCAUGGAAGAGAUACAACACUCUAUUUGCAAUGAGUUUAUUUUAUCGAGUUUAUCUAAGUAGUAACAAUAUCAGUAGACAGAUAGACACCAACUUGUUGACUCUCUAACAUAAUGUUUAUUGCCACUGAGAUGGAUCAAACAAAACUUGCAUUGAGAUUUCAGGGUUAACAGAUUUACAUAACAAAAUCGAGUUAAAGCAUUAUCUUUGCAACAUACGUGUCUAAUGCUUAUUAACAAUCAAUAACUGACAACCUCACUGUCUUGGGAACAUCAGAGAGGACUGAACUAGACAUGAAAAGAAAAUACUUGCCUUGCCCUAUUUGCAGCAAAAUGCAAGCGGAGGCAGGCUCUUACCUUGACACUAGCGAUUAUUUCAGUGGCCCCCAACCUAACACGCGCUGAGCCAUUCGCCUGUAACAAUCACCAAUCCGAAGCAGCAUAAACGCGCAGGCACAGGGGCAUUCCAGAAAAAAAAAAGGAAAAGAGAGAGGCUUGUGGGUGCCUGCCCCAAAACAAGUUGUGAAACCUAACUGUGGAAUGACUCCGGUUUCGACGGAAAGGGACCGGAACUGCAGCCGCCUACGUCCAUCAGUGCGAAAGUCCUGUGCAAUGCCGCGCGGAUGAAGUGUUUCUCCCCUUCAGAGAGGCCCACCAUCGUCCUGGACACUGCGGGACAGAAAUGAACACAACCGGUGCCAGAGGCAUUCCGUCGAACACCUAGAGUGCUACUCAGUUAUGUCUCGUAACUGGAUCACAGCCCAGUACGAAAGCCAAAUAGCGGGAACUCGAGGGAAGGGGUGUGCGUACUUAGUGGAUACUCGUCACCGGUAAUUUGAAGGGAGUGAGAAUGAGCACUGAGACCUGGCCUAGCUACAGGAGGCGAGAGAGCGGGAGAAGAGAGCGGCAGGGGUGAACGCAGCGUUGGGAAAUUUUAUAGUCUGCCACCUACCCAACAGAAACAGUCAUGGCACAAUGGCCAUCCUGCUAAAACUAAUAAAUAACUUCACAGAAUUGCAAACCGGUGCCCUAAAUUUCUUCUAAAUUUGCCACUAUGUGUAUACUUUAAAUAAGUGCCAAAUCAACCUGCUUUUGCUCUUGAACCUUGAGGGCAAUGGCAUUAUUGGCAUAUGUUGAGCUGAAUUCGCUAAUACUCCGUUCAGAGAUGCAGAUAUUGGAGCAUGAAAUUGGAAAUUAGAAUCAGCUUUAUAAAAUUCUAUGUCCUCCAAUAUCAACAUCCAAAUAUCAAAGGGACAUAAGAUUAAUCAGAUUAAUUAAUAGUAUGCGUCUAAGCUUCUUUUCAAAAGAUGAAAUACAGACUUGAACAAAGGCACAGGGCCAAGACACAGAACACUCAGCUUCAGAACUACACCAACAAGGGGAUCUAUAGUUUAAUCAACUUCGUCGCCGGAAUAGAAAAUUGACAAGGAACAAAAAAAAGAAUUGUCCAAGAACAUCUUGUAACCAAGGAAGCAAGCAUUCGAUUAUUCUAAGUAUAAAUGUGUGAUCCAGCAAGAAUCCAUUAUUGCAAGCUCGGGCUUAACAGCAAGAGCGCCCGAUUCCUUAUACACACACACAUACAACCAGGUGUCUGUCUACACGGUGAGUUCCGUCCUGGAGACAAGAAUGCCAUCGGGAUCGGCGUAGAGCCACUCGCCGUCGCAAAUCCUGGUUCCAGCGAUGUUGACGGGGACGUGCUUCUCGCCCAU